rnacentral:lncRNA from 1 species
UUUUUUUUUUUUUUUUUGUAAGUGGGAAGUUUAAAUUUAAAACCUUCUACUUGUCAUCUCUCCAAUCUUACCAUCCAACCACAACCUCCCCCCUCCAACAUAAUUAUUACUAGCUAUCGAGGCACACUCGAUGAGCGUGUAACUUGUUAAAAAAAUAUUUUUAAUCGAAAGAAUCACAUAAAUGGUGCAAGUGAAUAUAACUAUUUUAUGUAAUAUGUAAUCAAAAGUGUAUUGUAUAGAAAUAUGUACAAUGAACCAUAUGAACAUUAAAAUUUGGGAGAAAAGGUUGAUUGAUUAAAGAAGAAUGGAGACUUUCAGAAGAUGGUUUGGGAAGGAAAAAAAACCAUUGAUUAAGGAGAACGUGAGAAUUGGAGGGACAUAUUUUUGGUUAAAUAGAAGUUGUGUGUCAGUUGAUAAUAGAGAUAAUAAUUAAUGGAUAAUAGAGAAGGGUAAAUUUAAAAACACAUAAAGUUAACAGCAAAUUAACUACUUACACAGGCUUCAUUAUUGUAAAGAUAUGGAAAGGGACAAAAUUUAUGAUGACCCAUGUUCAAGGGGCUAGAAUUAUAAGAGUACGUAUGCUAACAACAAUCUUUUACACAUAAAACUUGCAACAAAUAAAAAAAAAAAAGCAUGCGAAAUUGUAAAGGUCCCAAGUCUGAACUCGAACUUAAUUCUGAAUCAGACAAAGUCAAAGCAAACCACUCGAUGUUGCAUAUCCUGUGCAACGAGGAUUGGUGUCUGCAAUUGAAUUUUUUAUUCUCUAUUUCUUUUUUUUUUAAUGUCAUAUAUAUCCAUGUAACAUCAUGUUUAAGCUAAGGUAAACUAUUUAGGGAGCCCUUGUACCAUUUCAAUUAUCCCAAAUUGGACUAUUAUCUACUAUUUUAAGUCUCAAAUUGACCAUUUAAUAAUAAACCAUGUGAAAUAUUGACUUUUCAGUCUAUUUCAACCAUUAGAUCUAUUAAAACAUUGCCCUUAGAUCCAUCAACUUUUAUGGUGGAUAUAUCCUAAAGGAUCAAAUUUUGACUCUUUUUAUUAUUAAGAGGCUAAUUUAAAAUUUAAAAAGAUAAAGGACCAUUUUAAUGCAAUUGAAAUAAUUUAAGAACUCCCUAAAUAGUAUUGUAAUAGGAAGAGAGCAACUGUUACAUUGGCUUUUUAAUCCAAGAGCACUUUUUAAAGGUGGACAUUACCAAAGUGCUUUAUAACACGUUUGUACGAACAAUAGUGUAUAUUUUCUAGUUGUUUAUUUACGCCUAAUGCAAUUAACUAGUUAAUUAACAAUGCUUAUGUGAUGAUAAGAUUCAGUCUUUGAUGUAGCGAAAACUAGAGAAUAUGUAUAAAUUAAAACUCUCAAUUUCAUACCCCAUUUUCAAUUUCGUACAAUUUUUGGGAUCUCUCAAAGUAUCCUCAAGGUUAAUUAGUUGUAACUUGUAACUUUUCCUUUUACUUAACAAUUAAAAUAAUCAAAGGCGUAUUUUCCGAAUUAAAUUUUUAUUGAAUGCCAUGAGAUAUCACUUGGAUGGAAAGAUUGGAAUUAUUCUUUUCUCAAAAGCUUCAACAAUGCUGGAGUUUUCGCUUUAUCCUUGCCAUGCAGCCGAGUCAAACUAUGAUUGCCGCAAAUAAGAUACCACCAAUUUGCAUUACAGACAUGUGUGUAUAUAUGUAUAUAUGUAUAUAUACAUGUAUAUAUGUAUAUAAAUACUGUGUGUGUAUAUAGGGGAGGGAUGAAACUUAAGAAAUUGAGAAAAAAUAGGGAGAUUUGAAUCCAAAACGUUUAAUUCUUGAAAUUUUAACCUUAACUAUUAGAUCAAUCUUUGAUAAUGUAUAUUAUAUAUCUCUUGUCCUACUCAAAUUUCACACAUGUAAAUCACUAGCCAUAGAGCUCAAGAUGUUUAAAUUCAAAAGAAAUCAUAAUUUGCACGACAAAGUCAUUCGUGGUCCAUGUGUUGUUGGGACCAAUCCAUAAACAAUCUUAUUCACAGACAAAAAGAAAAAAAAAAUCUGCUAAUAAUAUUUUGUAUAAAAGUCAGAGCAUAUGUCCAUUUUAUUCUAUGAAUGACUUCGUUAACAGGUAGAAUUACUAUUUUUUAAACACUUUCAGAUGAAGUGUUUCACAUUUAGUUUCUAAUUAUAAGUGGUAAUUAAGGUUAGUAAAAUCUCAAGGGAGGUUUGUAAAAUUGUCCUUGAAUGUCAUGAAGCAUAUGCGAAAGAUUUUGUUUCACCAUAAUUUUUGAUGCCUAAACCAAAAUUUUAAAUAUCGAUUUAAUGACGGGACAAAAAUAUUGAAAUUAUUCUUUUUUUUUAAAAGCUUCAAGAUCAAGGCUGGAUUUUUUUUUAAAAAAGUUUUGUAAUGCAUCCAAGUCAAAUUGUGCUUGCUGCUAAUUAAUUAAAUACCAAUGUGUAUUAUCACUUCUCCAACUUUAUUUUCCCACAUGUAAAUCACCAUCAAUAAAUCUGGAGAUGUAUAGUACAAAUUCAAAAGAUCAUAACUUGCACGACAAAAAUGAAUUUGUGGUCCUUGUUUUGUUGGGACCAAUCUGAUAAUAUACCUUUUUUUUUUUCUUGAAAGAUUCAACCUGCCUAGCUAUUGGAAUAUUGGACAUUGGCCACCUAAUUGUUAUCGAAACCUUGUUCUGUACUCUAUAUAUAAACCCAAGCCUCAUCUUUACUUCUCCUACACUACUUAAAAAAAAGGUUACUCAAAAAUGGGAAACUGUCUCCCAAUCCCCUCUUUCUUACAAAAACAAAGCAAAUCUUUGCCCAUUGACACCAUUUUCAAGUUCCCCUCUCCAAUACCCACAUGGUCAUCAGGUUCUAAUCAAUUUAUCUUCUUGUUUUCUUCCAUUUUUAGACAAUUCAAGAAAAAUUAAAAGCAAGCAUGGUUCACUAAAUUUCCAGUCUUCUUAACUUAAAAGAGAAAUCUGACCAUUUUGAUUUUUUUUCUUCAUUUGGUAUUUUUUUUUCUACUAGACUGAUUUUUAAUUUGAAACAACAGCGGCUAAGUGAUGUAAAUUUGUAUAUAUAUUUCCUUUUCAUUACUUGACUAAUGCAUUUGAGCUUGAAUGACAGAGGGUGGCUUUGCAAGUGAUUAUAUUGAUCUAGGUGGACUCCAAGUGCACCAAAUAUCAACCUUCAAUAAAGUUUGGACCAUAUAUGGAGGAGGACCAGAUAAUCUUGGUGCAACAUUUUAUGAGCCAUCCCAAAUUCCAGAUGGAUUUUUCAUGCUUGGUUCCUAUAGCCAACCUAACAAUCAACCCUUUUUUGGUUGGAUUCUUGUUGCAAAAGACACCUCCACUGAUCAAUCAUCAAGCAAUGAAACUCUCAAGAAACCAACUGAUUACACUUUAAUCUGGAGCAGUGAGUCCUUGAAGACCAGCCAAGAUGGCCAUGGCUACAUUUGGUUGCCAGUAGCACCUGAUGGCUACAGAGCCGUUGGCUAUGUUGUGACCGCGACACCCGGACAAGCCUUCUCUUGAUAAAGUCCGAUGUGUUAUCUCUGAACUCACUGAUGAAUGUGAAGCUGAAAACUGGAUUUGGGGCGAAGGCAAAACAAGCAGUGAUAGUGAUUUCAAUGUGUACAGUUCAAGGCCUAGUGUUAGAGGGAUACAAGCGCAAGGCGUCGGUGUAAAUACAUUCAUAGUCGAGAAUGAAUCAGAUGAUAAUUCUUCUUCAACAACCAUAGCUUGUUUGAAGAAUAACAACUUCAGCAAUUUUUCAUCCAUGCCUAAUAUGCAACAGGUUGAAGCAUUAUUUCAGGCAUAUUCUCCUCGGAUAUUCUUACACCCCAAGGAAAAUUACUUUCCCUCUUCAGUCAAUUGGUAUUUUGAGAAUGGUGCAUUAUUGUAUACCAAGGGAGAUGAGUCAAAUCCUGUUGCCAUCCAAUAUAAUGGUGCCAAUCUACCCCAGGGAGAAUCCAAUGAUGGAGCUUACUGGCUGGACCUACCUGUUGACGAAAAUGCCAAAGAAAAAGUCAAGAAAGGAGAUCUACAAAGUGCUGAGGCUUAUAUCCAGAUUAAACCUAUGUUAGGUGCAACAUUUACAGACAUUGCAAUUUGGAUUUUUUACCCGUUUAAUGGUCCUGGAACGGCUAAACUUGGAUUAAUCGACAUCCCAUUAGGCCGAACUGGCGAACAUAUUGGAGAUUGGGAGCAUUUGACCCUAAGAAUCAGCAAUUUUAAUGGGAUUUUGUACAAGGUUUAUUUUUCAGAACAUAGCAAAGGAAUAUGGGUAGAUGCACCACUACUUGAAUUUCAUGAUGGUACUAAUAAACCAGUCGCAUAUUCGGCAUUGAGUGGCCAUCCAAACUAUCCAAAACCAGGGCUUGUUUUGCAAGGGGCAGGUGAUGUUGGAAUAAGAAAUGAUGCAGCAAAGGGUGACAAGUUUUUGGACACGGGAGCAAAGUAUUCAAUAGUUUCAGCUGAGAAUCUUGGCUUGGGAAUUGUUGAGCCACCGUGGCUGAAUUAUUUGAGAAAAUGGGGUCCUGAUAUUGUGUAUGAAUCUGGGGUUGAAGUUCAGAAAGUGGAAGGAUCGUUGCCUGAAAAUCUGAAAUCUGCAUUUGCAAGAUUGGUGAAUAUUUUGCCUAAAGAAGUUUAUGGGGAGGAAGGUCCUACCGGUCCAAAGGUGAAAGGUAGUUGGAGUGGGGAUGAAAGAUCAUAAAAAUAUAUGGUAGAGGCUUAGAGCCCACAUUUCAAAAUAUCACAAUGCAUUCAAGUCAGAUACCUUUUUUUUCCUGGUCAUUUUUUGGGUGUUAGUUACAGCUUGUCUCAUAUAGCAUUGAUUCUUCAUUGGACAUAUCUAUUCUUUUUCUGUUUGGCUUGUAAUUCUCUGGAAAAUAAAUGAUAAGAAACACCUUCAUGUACUUUUCUUUUCCAAGAUGUGAUUAAAUUAAGCAUAAUGUUUCCACAUGAAACACCUUCAUUAGUAAUUUAAAAAUCCACAGGUUAUACAAACAUUAUAUGCAGUUAGUUUGUACAGUCACAUUCUUGAACCAAAUUAACCACUCCAACGUCCAAUUUUAUCAGGAAGUUUAUGAAGGUAAAGCGAUAAAAAUAGUACUACCUAUUGUAAUCGAUAGUUUAUGCAUAGCCAAUUUUAGCUAAGAAUACAACAAACUAAGGGUCCGUUUGUUUCGGGUGAAAAUGUUUUCCAGGAAAAUAUUUUCCUAAUUUCCCGUGUUUGGUUGCACAAAAGUUACUGAAAACAUUUUCCUAUGUAAAAUAUUUUCACUCAUCUUAUGGAAAACAACUUCCCUUCCAAACUUACUGAAGUUGUUUUCCGAAAUGCAUGCAUCCCGCCUGUAGUAUGUUUCAAACUUACUGAAAACAUCUUGUAGUAUGUUCUUUUUUUUUUUUAGUGUAAAUAGGAGAAUUCGAACUCAAAACCUCUUCCUUACACUCCCUUCCCCGUACCACCCAACCCAACCCUCCCACUAGUAUAUUCAAAAUAAUAAUAAUAAAAAAAACCUCAUCCUGCUCAUCCUAUGCUAGUAAUUAAUUAUGUAUAAUAGGGACAUUCUUUUCUAGAGAAACUUUCAGCAGUGAGAGUGCAAGAUAUAUGUUAUAAUAAGCAUUGCAUGUAAUUGAUAUUUGACACUAAAUGGCCAGCAAUUUGUUUAUUACUUAAGGAGAUAUUUUUUAUUCAUAUAUACAUUUCUCCAAGAUUUUUAAAAUUAAACAAUGAGAUAAAUUUUCUUAUUCUGCAUGGGAAAGAAGUAUGUAGUUAUAAUGUGUAGAAAGUAAAGAUAGAGAUAAAAGUGAAAAUAUUUCAAAAGUUAAAUAAACACCAGAAAAAUGAAGUAAGAAAAUAUUUUUAAUAAACUAACCAAACACCUGAAAAUGAUGAAAGGGAAAUGAUUUUCAUGGAAAAUUACUUCCAUGGAAAAUAUUUUCCCAAGGAAAACAUUUUACUUCCAACCAAACAGACCCUAAAAAGAAAAAAAGGAAUUAUGAAAUUUCUUAUCAAAUUCGUACAUGAGAAUGAGAAUAUAAAUCCCAUACUUGAAUACACUGGAACUCUACGUACAAAUACACUUCGUUAACUCUAGUAAGUAGCCAUCAUCGACAGCCCAAUGUUGCCAUUUGGCUCUCUGCAGUGUUAAGAGUCUCGUGACUAACUAGUCUAAUAUUUAAAAUUAACUGAGAUGAAGCUGAAAAUAGCCUGGCUACUAGAAUUCAAAGAAUAAAUCGUGCAAGGCAAUGGUAAUCAUCUUCAUUGUCGUUUUGCUUUGUUGAAUUACACAGUAAUAUGAUAUUUAUUAAUCUUGGGUAAAUUACAUAUAACCCUUGGGGUUUCGUCUAUUGCCAUAUGAUCCCUAAUGUUUCAAUCCACUUUACCCUCCUAUGAUUUUAUGUAAAAUGAAAAUUUGACGAAAAAUAACCUAUGUAACAUUGUUAAUUGAAAUACCAAUAGUGCCCGUUAUUAAAUAUUAAAUCAAUUAACGAUUUAACUAUCUCAUAUAAAAGUAUAGGGGGAUUAUGUGGAUAAAUGUAAAUACACAAGAGGUAAAGUGAAUAUUUAUACAAAUUAUAAGGGAGUUACAUGAAGAUUAAAAUUUUAUCACACGUGCUUUUAGAACGCAUUUGGUAUAAAAGCUGUAACUGAUUGUAUAUUUCGUCUAUUUUAUACUUUACAUAAAGCCAUAGGGGGGUUAUGUAACUAUUUUGAAACACAUGUCAAAUCACAGGCGGAUUAUAAGUAAUUUAUCCAUUUUACCCAUUAAUCUUCUAUCUCUUCUAGUAGCAGCUAAGUUGCCAUUAGAAUAAGAGCAAAUGGCCAAGAUAAUCACCAAACUAUUUAAAAUGGCACGGUCUGGUCAUAAAACUCUUUUUUUAGCCAAAAAGGUCACUCAACUAUUUAAAAUAGGACUAUUGGGUCAUGUUGGCUAAUUUAACAGCUAAACUAAUCGAAAAGAAGCAUAUUUGACCUGCUAUUUUAAGUUAUUAGGGGAAAAAGUCCUAAAUUACAGGUCAUUUUCGGUUGAUUUAGCAAAGAAUGACCUGAAAUGUCUAUUUUAAAGAGUCAAGUGACCUUUUUAGCAAAAAAAAAAAAAAUUAAUGACCAAAUUGUACCAUUUUAGAUAGAUUAAUGAUCAUUCUGGCCAUUUACUCUUAAAAUAAUAAAGUGGUGGACAAAUUGUCCAUUUUGAUUGAGGUAUAUACCCGCGCCCAUGAGCGGAGCCACAACAACUCAAUCUUUUAGAAUUUUUAGAAUAGCCACAAAAAAUUUAACCUUUCUAUUAUUGCCCCAUUUUUCCUUCAGCACCCCCCCCCCCCAAAACAAAACCCGGGCGCAGAAAUUUGAUAAUAUUCCCUUUAACCCCACAAUUGUCCCUCAAAAAUUUUAAAAUAUUUUAUGGUUACCACUAUCAUUUCUACAAUGCAAUAUUAAAAUAAAAUAUAUUGUAGGAUAUUAUUUUUAUUUUCUUUCUAACAAAUUUUAUUCACUUAACAUUAAACUUUUCUUAAUUUUAUGAAUUACAAGUUAACCAACAUUCAUUUGAAACUUUUUGAUCUACUGCAGAAUGGGAUUCGGCCCUCGAUCCAAUUCUACUCACUCGUGGAUUCCAGGCCAGAUGUUUUAUAACAGUUAGAUUAUUCUGAAGUAUUUUAGCACCUUUUCAUGUUUAAAAGUGAUUCAUUACUAGUUUUUUGGUGUUUAAAACGUAUGAGAUUGAACAAGUCUCUUAACAUCAAUACUAACUUUGAGAACUUGAUAUAUGCUAUCAAAACUCUCCCUCUUCUUGUUGUAUUUUAGAAGUAAUUUGCUAUAUUCCUAUAGCAAAUACUCAGUGUAGUAAGGGCAAAUAGUACCUGAAGGAUAAUAUCAUUCUUCUUUUGUUUUGUGAAAUUUGGUACUGCAAAUUUUUGCAUUUUUACACUUUGUGUACAUCAACACAAGUAUCAUUUUAAAACACUGUAAAAUCUGAGUGGAAUAGAUACCCAAGACCCUGUGCUUGUUGCUGGAAGAAUGGUGAAGCCAUAGGAGGAGAAGCACUGCUAUAUUGGCUUUUUAUUUAGUCCAAAUGCGUUGUUUUUGAAUUAAAUAUAUCUAUUCAAUCACAUAAGACAUCACUUGGAUGGAAAGAUUGGAAUUGGUCCUUUUUCAAAAGCCUCAACAGCAAUGCUGGAGUUUUUGCUUUAUCCUUCCCAUGCAGUCGAGUCAAACUGUGCUGGCUGCAAAUAAAAAACACCACCAAUUUGCAUCAUACAUAUCUUGUUCAACUCAAUUUUCACACUUGUGAAUCACUAGCGAUAGAGCUCAAGAUAUAAAAAUUCGAAGGAUCAUAACUUGCACGACAAAAUCAUUCGUGGUCUAUGUUUUGUUGGAACCAAUCUAUUGUUUUUUUUUAAUUUUUUUUUGUAGGGGAUGGAUUAAAUUGAAGAAGUGGGGAGGGGGUUAAAGAGGGAUUUGAACCCUAGAACGUCUAAUUCAUGAAAUUCAAUUUAGCUAGCAGAAUCUGUUAAAGAUCUUGCUUACGAAAAAAGAAAAUAAUCCUUUGUGUAAAACUUAGAGCAUAUGUCCUUUUCUUCUAUGAAGAGUGACUUCGUUGACAGGUAGAAUUAAUGAUUUUUAAACGAUUCAAGAAAAAGUGUUUAACAUUUAGCUUCUAAUUAUAAGGGGUAAUUGAGGACAUUUAAUUAACUUUAUAGUCUCAUAAAUCUCAGCCGGAUCUCGAGGAAGCAUAUGCAAAAGACUUUUGUUUCCCCAUAAUUAGAUGUCUAAACCAAAAUUUUUAGGAACUUAAGCACAUGAUCCAGCUAAGUAAUUGGAAAGAUUAGAAUCAAUGCAGAUCUGGCCCUCCAAUGGAUUGAGGACUACGUGCAUUGCUUUACUUUAGCAAAUAAUUAGACAAAAGAGAUUGGAAUUUAUUCUUUUCUCUUUUCAUUUAAGCAUCAAGAGCAAGGCUGGUGGUUUUGCAAGGCAUUCGAGUCAAACUGUGCUUGCUGCAAACUAAUUAAUUACCAACGUGUAUAACCACAUCCUGCUUAGUUUUCCCACGUGAAAAUCACCAUCAAUAAUUCUCGAGUGCAUAAAUUUAUAGGAUCAUUGACUUGCACGGCAAAAUGAUUGGUGGCCUGUGUUUUGUAGGGACCGAUCUAACUAUUGGGAUAUUUGACUUUAGCCAUCUAAUUUUUAUCCAGACCGUUUGUUGCUUUAUAUAUAGAAACUGAAGCCUCCUCUAUACUUCUCCUACACCACUUUGAAAACGUUAUUAAAAAUGGGAAACCGUCUCCCAGCCACCUCUUCCUCAGAAAAACAAAGCAAAUCCCUGCCCAUUGACACCAUCUUCAAGUUCCCCUCUUCAAUGCCCAAAUGGCCAUCAGGUUCUAAUCAAUUCAUCUUCUUGUUUUCUUUCAUUUCUAGACAUUUCAAGAAAAGUUAAAAGCAUAUGUGCAUGGUCCACUAAGUCUCUAGUCUUCUUAGCUUAUAAUAGAAAUUUGACCAUGAAGCUACGAUAUGAUUGUUCAAUUGACUAUCUUCAUUUGGCCAAUUUGAUUUUAUUUCUCUUAGAUGUAGAUUUGUAUAUAUUUCCUUUUCAUUACUUGACUAAUGCAUUUGAGCUUGAAUGACAGGAGGUGGCUUUGCAAGUGAUUAUAUUGAUCUAGGUGGGCUCCAAGUGCACCAAACAUCAACCUUCAACAAAGUUUGGACCAUACGUGGAGGAGGACCAGAUGAUCUGGUGCAACAUUUUAUGAGCCAUCCCAAAUUCCAGAUGGAUUUUUCAUGCUCGGAUCCUACAGCCAGCCUAACAAUCAACCCUUUUUUGGUUGGAUUCUUGUUGCAAAAGACACCUCCACUGAUCAAUCAUCAAGCAAUGAAACUCUCAAGAAACCAACUGACUACACUCUAGUCUGGAGCAGUGAGUCCUUGAAGACCAGCCAAGAUGGCCAUGGCUACAUUUGGUUGCCAGUAGCACCUGAUGGCUACAGAGCUGUUGGCUAUGUCGUGACCGCGACACCGGACAAGCCUUCUCUUGAUAAAGUCCGAUGUGUUAUCUCUGAACUCACUGAUAAAUGUGAAUCUGAAAACUGGAUUUGGGGCCAAGGCAAAACAAGCAGUGCUAGUGAUUUCAAUGUGUACAGUUCAAGGCCUAGUGGUAGAGGGAUACAAGCUCAAGGCGUCGGUGUUAAUACGUUCAUAGUCAAGAAUGGAUCAGAUGAUAAUUCUUCUUCAACAACCAUAGCUUGUUUGAAGAAUAACAACUUCAGCAAUUUUUCAUCCAUGCCUAAUUUGCAACAGGUUGAAGCACUAUUCCAGGCAUAUUCUCCUUGGUUGUUCUUUCACCCCAAGGAAACUUACCUUCCCUCAUCAGUCAAUUGGUAUUUUGAGAACGGUGCAUUAUUGUAUACCAAGGGAGAGGAGCCAAAUCCUGUUGCCAUCCAAUAUAAUGGUGCCAACCUUCCCCAAGGCGAAUCCAAUGAUGGAGCAUACUGGCUGGACCUACCUGUUGACAAAAACGCCAAAGAAAGAGUCAAGAAAGGAGAUUUACAAAGUGCUGAGGUGUAUCUCCAGAUUAAACCUAUGUUAGGUGCAACAUUUACAGACAUUGCAAUUUGGAUUUUUUACCCGUUUAAUGGUCCUGGAACGGCUAAACUCGGAUUGAUCGACAUCCCAUUAGGCCGAAUUGGUGAACAUAUUGGAGAUUGGGAGCAUUUGACACUAAGAAUCAGCAAUUUUAAUGGGAUUUUGUACAAAGUUUAUUUUUCAGAACAUAGCAAAGGAAUAUGGGUAGAUGCACCACUACUUGAGUUCCAUGAUGGUACUAAUAAACCAGUGGCAUAUUCGGCAUUGAGUGGCCAUCCAAACUAUCCAAAACCGGGGCUUGUUUUGCAAGGGCAGGUGAUGUUGGAAUAAGAAAUGAUGCAGCAAAGAGUGACAAGUUUUUGGAUACGGGAGCAAAGUAUUCAAUAGUUUCAGCUGAGAAUCUUGGCUUGGGAAUUGUUGAGCCACCAUGGCUGAACUAUUUGAGAAAAUGGGGUCCUAAUAUUGUUUAUGAGCCUGGGGUUGAAGCUCAGAAAGUCGAAAGAUUGUUGCCUCAAAAUCUAAAACCUGCAUUUGCCAGAUUGGUGAAGAUAUUGCCUAACGAAUUUUAUGGGAGGAUGGUCCUACUGGCCCAAAGGUGAAAGGUAGUUGGAGUGGGGAUGAAGGAUCGUAAAAGAAGGCCAAUUAAAGACUUAGAGCCCACAUUUCAUAGUAUCACAAUGCCAUUAAAAUCAGAUACAUUUGUAUUUCCUUUGUUAUUGCAAUGUUGAUUCUUCAUUGGAAAUAUCCAUUCUUUUUAUGUUUGGCUUGUAAUUUGUUGGACAAAUAAAUGAUAAGAAAUACUUUUACGUAUUUUUCUUUUCAAAAUUGUGACUAAAUUAAGCGUAAUGUUUUUCUUCUUGUUACCUUCGUUAGUAUUAAAAAAAACAGAAAUUAUGCAAACAUUAAUUAUAUGCAGUUACAUUAGGAGCCUUGUUUUUUCACAUUCUUCUAACUAAUUUGCCACUCCAUUGUCCAAUCUUCAUCAAAUUAACAUAGAAGUUUAUGAGGGUGAAAUGAUAAAAACUAAUAACUAUUGUAACUCGUAUACUCGCUGAAAUUUUUAUAUUAUUUCAAGUGUCAGCCUCUUAGUGGUCGAUGAAGUUUUUAAAAUUUUUUUUUGGACAACAAAAGACUGAAUUUGCAUUACUUCAAAUAGUAGACUCGUCACAAAUAGCGCACGUAAAAAAGUUUUAUUCCUGGCCAAUUUUUGCUAAGCAAAUAACCAAAAAAAAUUUUUAUCUGCUCAAAAAAUAAUAACAUUUCAUUUAAAAUUCGAAUUUGACAUCGACAAUAUACAUCCCAUACUUGAAUUAAACCAUUUGUUUGGAUUGUAGUUUUCUGUAAAAUUUUUUUUAUGUUUUUCAUAAACACGUUUUUCAAUCACUUUUUUAUCUCACAUAAAUCAAAUUGUUACAGUAUUUUUUUCUGCGAAAACUCCUAAAAAUAAUAAUCUAAAUGGGAAGUCUACGUACAAAUACAUUUCAGUGAAGUCUAGCCAGUAGCAGCCAUUGACUAUCCAAUGUGGCCAUUGGCUCUCAGAAGAGACAUGCCUAACUAUUUUAAAAUUGCAAAUUAAUUGUGAUGAUGCUGAAAUUGAAAGAAUAAAUCGUCAAAGUCAAUGGUGAUCCACGUGGGACAAGUAUUCUCUUCUUCAUUAUCGUUUUGGUUUUUUUUUAUUCUUGAUUUAUUAAUUUUUAUUCUCUUUCAGCAGCAGUUAAGCUGCCUCUAGAAUAAUAAAUUGCUAAAUGAAUUGUAAGUAUACAUUGGUAAUGAACAAUAGAAAACAAUAAAGUAUGACUUAUUUAAUGAAAAAUAAACAAUAAACAGUAGAGCACUGAAUAAAUUAUCAAUAAAUACUCAGUCAAUAAUUGAAUAAAAAUAUAGAAAAAAGGCAGCACAGAAUUGCAGCCACAUUUGGGUACUUUCUUUUUCUUAUGGCUCUUAAAUAUGAUCCUUUCAUAGAUAACGACAUUCUUAAUUGGCAAAAAGAAAAAAUUAUUCUUAUUGCUUAUAUAUGCAUCGAAGAGGUCAAUCAUUUAAUGUUUAUUCUAUUUUAAUGUUUACUUAUGUUUGAGUGUUUGUAAUUGCGCUCCUUCUUUUUUUUUUUUUUAGCAUUGUGCAUAAUUAACAACAAUCCCCCAUAUUUCUUGGAAAAGUAUAGGAAUACGAUACUCAAAAUUGCAAGUGAGAAAUUAAUUAAUUUCACUUAACAUGUGUCCCAUUUAAUUAUCCCUUAAUAUGUGUGGAAAAUUUUAAGUCACAAACCUUCACUUGAUCUCCUAAAUUUGGACAAUCUUAGUAAUACAAUAUUAAAUUUCUCUUUACAUCUCUUUUCUUGCCCUCAUUCUACUUGAUGCAUAUAUGCUACUAGAAAUUUGUCCGUGCAUAUAUUGCACGAGGUAACAAUUUAAUGGAAAUGCGUGAUAUUAUUUUAGUUGCAUUUGGGAUGUCAAUGUAUUUUAAAGUAUUAUGAUCAAAUGGAGAAAUUUUUAAAAAUUAAGUAAACAAGUAAUUGAAGUGAAUAUUAAUUAUCUAUUAUUGUAUAAAUUUAUUUUACAAUGAUAAGCAAAGAGGUAUUUGUUGUAAAUUUAGCGACUCCAAACCUAAAAGUGUAAUUUCAUAAUAUUAAAAAUAUUAUAUUUAAUAAGGCUCAUCAAGGCUAUGAGAUUGUAGCCCUAAUUCAACAAUUUAUCUAGUUCAUUUUCUUCAAUUAGUUUGAUGAAAAAUAGCAAAUUAUAUAUCGAAUCAAUAUUGGUUAUCAAUUAUCUCCAUUUGGCUACUUAAUUUCUGCUUUUUUUAAUGAAUCCUAAUAAUUGAAAUUAACGAAUUUGACCAAGCUAACAUUGUUUUUUUUAAUAAAUAUUUUUUAAUAUAAAUAGAGGGCUCGAACCUGAGAUCUCUCACUUACACUCGCUUCUCUCGAAUCACCCAAUCCCUCCAUUGUUUGGUUACUUAUUACUUUAGCAUUAAAUGUUCGACCUCAAGUAUUUUGACCAUAAAGAGGAAAAAGUUGUAAACAUAUGUUACAAUUUCAAGGCUUACGCAUACAGUGUUGCCAUAGACCUUGUGAUGGUCCAUUUAACUUCUUAUAUGUUCAAUGGCUCGUACCAAAAGAAUUUUCAAUCACCAUUUUAUCUCAAAUAUAUCACAUCACAAAAAGUAUUACAAUAUUACUUCAAAUAAUUUUUUCAAAUAAUCUCCUUUCCAAGCAAAAACAUACAUAUUCCAUCGUUUAAAAGCGGUAUAAAAUUUGCCGCAUCCUCGGCAGUAGAAUCCCAAAAACUUGAGCCUCAAUAGAAGAUUUUACAAUUGAUUGCGAAGUAAAUCAAACAAAUCAAAAUGCAAAAUUUAUACUCGUGAGGAAUUUUGGAGUCACGGGACCAAUAGGAAGCCAUUUAAUCUCUUCCCUUUAAAGCACCGCCAAAAACUUGAGGAGGGUGGAUGCAACGUUAUUAAUCCCACAUCGGCCAACGAGAGGAAGAGUCGGCAAUGGCGAGGCUAUAAAUAAUGUAACCCAAUACAAAGAAAAGCAUACCUUUCUCGGCCUUUUGGCUAAGAUCAAGUGUAGUAUCUGUUCUUAUCAGUUUAAUAUCUGAUACGUGGGCCAUUGGCCCACACGAUAUUAACUCAAUUUUUUAAAGGGGAGAGCCCAGUUUGGUAGCUUGCUACCGGGGCUCUCGAGCGUCGCCUUGGCGUGGCACUAAAGCCUGGGCCUGGCGCACCCUACCAAGUCUAGUUGAAAACUUGUUUGCGAAGAAGCCCAGCUAAGUGGGCUAGGUUUUGCAAUGACAAAAUUUAGUUAAUCAUUUGCAAGAUUUGGAAGGGAAGGUAGCUCCACAUUCAUCUCAAAUUUUAGAUAUGGUACCCAGCUUUUAGUUUCAAACUAUUUCUUGGCCUAAGAAAAGUAAAAAUUCUCUCUAUAAACAUAUUUGAGUCCUUUAGUUUUAAGUAGAACUGUUAAAUGGAAUGAGCAUGAUUGCUCGAUAAGGCUCGAGCUUGUUAAUUAUGAUAAAUUAGUCGAGUUCGAGAUAUGCUUGUUUAAUUAACAAGUCGAGUAAGUUCAAUUCAUUGUUAUUUGUAGUUCGAUUAGACUUGAUAAAAAAGAAUAUAUGUGUUAUUUAUUUUACAAUUCAAAAAUAUAAAAAUUAUAAAUUAUAAAUUUUUAUUAGGGUUAAUUUGCACGACCUGUGCAAGCUCGGCUCGUUUGUGAUAAACAAGCUCGGCUCAAUAUAUCUAACAAUAUAUUGAGGUUGUAGCAAAAGCAUUUUGUUGUGGCUAAUUGUUUUGUUGGCUAUGCUUUUGCUAAUUGUUCUACUCUUAAUUGGGCACAUAAAACAUAAUUGUGCAACAAGUUUAAACAUAUAAAUUUUUCAUCAUUCUAUUCAAAUUACUUCUUUGGCCGGGGAGUGCCAAAUGCUGUGGUUGAUAAGUGCCGUGGACGAAUUAGCCAUUGGCACUGAUCUUAUUGCCCCUAGCAAAGGAGAUGAAAUAGGGAUACGUGGGUGAAGAAGUCGGCUCCAUUUGAUUUUCAUCAUUCUAUCUUAAUGUUGUUUACCUACAAAAAAUUACUGUAAAUCACGACAUUCCUUAACGAUAUAUACAAAUAUGAGAAUUUCUAAAAUCAAGAAAGUGAAUCAUCUUUUACUUUUUUUCCAUCGUUUAAGUCACAUAUCGCUUAAUAUAUGAAUUUUUUUAAAAUACUUACUUUGAUGCAUGUCGUUUAGUACUCCCUCCGUCCCAAAAUAAGGGACGUUUUUUGGGAUUCUAACUUAUUAUGCAUAGUUUAAUCAAUUUGAAUGUGAGACAUUUUUUUCCAAUUGUGCCCCUUUGACCGAUAUCAAAUCUUAAUUGUUGUCUAUGGUGAUGUGAAAAGAAUCUGUGGGUCCAUGUAAAAUGUAAGCUCUUUUUCAUGCUGUUGCCAAGCACGGGCCUAUUUAUGGCCAUCAAAAUUUUUGGUGCUGUCCACGCACCUUUUUUUGGAUGUCUAUUUAUUGCUUUUGUGGGUUCCAUCAUACUUGUUUUUUAUUUUAUCAAUGUCUCUUUUGAGGCUACAAAUGGAAUGUUAGAGAAAAAAAUUGUAGUGUGACUCAAAUUUUGGGACAUGAAAAAAGGUGAACUAUGACAAUAACAAUGGGACAGUUAGUAGCUAGCAAGAGGUGAGAGAUGAAGUAACAGAGACCUUCAACCUUGAUCCCUAAUUAGCUUGAGGUUAACAAUUACACGCCAAGAUUUUAGUUCUUUGUCCCAUAUUACAGUGUCAUUACAUUCGAUGCUCGUCAUUUUCUUCAAGACGUGGGAAUACUCAGUCAAUAAUUGAAUAAAAAUAUAGAAAAAAGGCAGCACGGAAUAGCAGCCACAUAUAUAUAUAUUUUUUUUUGUCAAAAUUGAACAAGAAUAAUUCUAACCUUAAAUCCACAGUAAUACCAAAAGCCGGUAACUUCUGGUACCAUUGAGGAGACUAUAACUACACUCACACAGUAAUAGCAGCCACAUAUGGGUACUUUCUUUUUCUUAUGGCUCUUAAACAUGAUCCUUUCAUAGAUAACGACAUUCUUAAUUGAAAAAAGAAAAAAUUAUUGUUAUUGCUUAUAUAUGCAUCGAAGAGGUCAAUCAUUUAAUAUUUAUUCCAUAUUUAUAGGCAGAAUAAUUGAUAUUUUUUCAUAACAAAUACUUAUGGGAUGGGCUAAAUCCACGUUACCUCAUCUAAAUCCACACCCCUAGCAUUAAGAUGACAAUAAAGUCCUUAGGAGAUUUAUAGAAACUUUUUUCAAUACAAAGCUUUUUUUCAUAUAGCAAGAGAUGUUUAAAAAACUAAUCACAAAUUUUAAUUAAUCAAAAUUGUUUGAUACCAUCAUCUUAGUUAUUGAUCCGGUGUUUUCUAGAAUUAUACUUAAAUCAACUUUGAAGUACAAUGCACCAAAAAGGUAAAAAUAUUUUUUCUUAACACAAUUAAAAAAAAAAAUCUCUCAUCUCCUUUUACAUGAUAAAAAGAGAUAAAAACAUUUUCUUCACCAACUAAGGGAAAAAAAAUAAAUGCCAUCAAAGUGAAUUAAAAAAAUAUUAGAAAUUUUAAGAUCAUUCAUAAUGGUGUAAUUUUAAUGCAAAUUAGUAUCAUCUAUUUUCACCAAAAAGACUAUUUUUUGAUGGAAAAAGUUUCUCCCUAUAAAUCCUACGGGUUUUUGGGUCAAUUUAGUUAUAAGUGUAUGGAUUUAGAUUGUGGAGGUGUGGAUUUAACCCCACCAUACUUAUGUUUGAGUGUUUGUCAUUGCACUCUUUUUAGCAUUGUGCAUAAUUAACAACAAUCCCCCAUAUUUCUUGGACAAGCACAGGAAUACGAUACUCAAAAUUGUAAGUGAGAAAUUAAUUAAUUUCACUUAACAUGAGUCCCAUUUAAUUAUCCCUUAAUAUGUGUGGAAAAUUUUAAGUGACAAACUUUCACUUGUUCUCCAAAAUCUUGGACAACCUUAGUAAUACAAUACUAAAUUUCUCUUUACAUCUCUUUUCUUGCUCCCAUUCUUACGUAGACACCACAUAAUCACAUCCUAAUUGAUGCAUGUAUGCUACUAGAAUUUUGUCCGUGCAUAUAUUGCACGAGAUAACAAUUUAAUGGAAAUGGGUGAUAUUAUUUUAGUUGCAUUUGAGAUGUCAAUGAUAUUUUAAAGUAUUAUGAUCAAAUGGAGAAAUUUUUAAAAAUUAAGUAAACAAGUAAUUGAAGUGAAUAUUAAUUAUCUAUUAUUGUAUAAAUUUAUUUUACAAUGAUAAGCAAAGAGGUAAUUGUUGUAAAUUUAACGACCCCAAACCGAAAAGCGUUUGGUAAUUUCAUAAUAUUAAAAUAUUAUAUUCAAUAAGUCUCAUCAAGGCUAUAAAAUUGUACCCCUAAUUCAACCGUUUAUCUAGCUCAUUUUCUUCAAUUUGUUUGAUGGUCAAUAGCAAAUUAUAUGACGAAUCAAUAUUGGUUAUCAAUUAUCUCCAUUUGGCUACUUAAUUUCUUCUUUUUUUUUAGUGAAUCGUAAUAACUGAAAUUAACGAAUUUGACCAACCUAACGGUGUUUGGUUACUUAUUGCUUUGGUAUUAAAUGUUAGAUCCCAAGUAUUUUGACCAUAAAGAGGAAAAAGUUGUAAACAUAAGUUACAAUUUCAAGGCUUACGAUACAAUGUUGUCAUAGAACUUUGUGAUGGUCCUUUUAACUUCUUAUAUGUUCAAUGGCUGUACCAAAAGAAUUUACAAUCACCAUUUUAUCUCAAAUAUAUUACAUUACAAAAAGUAUUAUAAUGUUACUUCAAAUAAUCUCCUUUCCAACAAAAACAUACAUAUUCCAUUAUACCAAAAGAAUUUUCAAUCACCAUUUUACCUCAAUUAUAUCAUAUCAGAAAAAGUAUUACAAUGGGUCUGUUUGGAUUAAGAGGUUUUCAAAAAAAAUUUCAAAUUUUGGGUCCGUUUGAUAACAUAAAAAAGUGCUGAAACUGAAUCUUUUCAGACAUUCAGAUAUUUUGAGUGUUUGAUAAAUGAAAAUCUAUAUGCUGAAUUUGUUAAGUAGUUGCUGAACUUGUGUGUAUUUUUUUCAGUACAAGAAUUCUAACUGAAUGCUUAAUUCUGAUAAGAAUCAAUAAAAUUACUUCAACUAUCUUAUCUUAUCUACCAAAUAUAUUCUUAUUUGUUAAUUAUACUCAAAAUUUUUAUCUAAUUAAACAACCUGAUAUUCUCUAUCUAAUGGUUUUCUAUUUCUCUUUUCUCCCUUUUUAAUGACUUUCACAUCUUCUCCUUACUCCUCAUAUAAUAUAUUUUAUAUUUAUAUUAAUUUGAUUUAGAAAUAAAUAUUGUCAUUUUCAUACCUAACAAUUUUAAACUAAUUAAAUCAUAGGUUCUAUUUCUUUUUUAAAUGAAAAGACAUAAGGGCAAAAUUGUUAAGUUAAACUUAUUAAGCAUUCAGUUAUAAAUAUUUAUCAAAUAGUAUAAAUAGGUUUAGCAUUAAAAUUCAGAUAUUCAUAUAUUUCUUUUCAGUGCUUAAAAUUCAGCAAAUUAAUUAUUGUAAUAUUCAGAUUUCAGAAUUCAGACUUCAGAAUUCAGAUUCAGUUUAUCAAACGGAAUCUUUGUUUUGCUUGUAUCAUACACAUAAUUUCCAACCACUUUUUUAUUUCAUAUACAUCACAUUAAAUAAAUAUUUCAAAUAAUCUUCAAUCCAAACAAACCCAUACUUCAAAUAAUUUUUUCAAAUAAUCUCCUUUCCAAGCACAAACAUACAUAUUCCAUCGUUUAAAAGCGGUAUAAAAUUUGCCGCAUCCUCGGCAGUAGAAUCCCAAAAACUUGAGCCUCAAUAGAAGAUUUUACAAUUAAUUGCGAAGUAAAUCAAACAAAUCAAAAUGCAAAAUUUAUACUCGUGAGGAAUUUUGGAGUCACGGGACCAAUAGGAAGCCAUUUAAUCUCUUCCCCUUUAAAGCACCGCCAAAAACUUGAGGAGUGUGGAUGCAACGUUUUUAAUCCCACAUCGGCCAACGAGAGGAAGAGUCGGCAAUUGCGAGGCUAUAAAUAAUGUAACCCAAUACAAAGAAAAGCAUACCUUUCUCGGCCUUUUGGCUAAGAUCAAGUGUAGUAUCUGUUCUUAUCAGUUUAUAUCUGAUACGUGGGCCAUCGGCCCACACGAUAUUAACUCAAUUUUUUAAAGGGGAGAGCCCAGUUCGGUAGCUUGCUACCGGGUUCUCGAGCGUCGCCUUGGCGUUGCACUAAAGCCUGGGCCUGGCGUACCCUACCAAGUCUAGUUCAAAACUUGUUUGCGAAGAAGCCCAGCCUAGUGGGCUUGUUUUUGCAACUACAAAAUUUAGUUAAUCAUUUGCAACAUUGGAAGGGAAGGUUGCUCCACAUUCAUCUCAAAUUUUGGAUAUGGUACCCAUUUUUUUCCGUUUCAAACUAUUUUUUUGAUAUAAGGAAGUAAGAAUUCUCUAUAAAUAUAUUUGAGUCCUUUAACGUGAAAUUUUUUAUGGUACCGAUAAAUAUUGCAUAAAUAUAUUGUCGGAUUUUGUUGUGGCCAAUGCUUUGGCUAAUUGUUUUGUUGGCUAUGCUUUUGCUAAUUGUUCUACCCUUAAUUGGGCGCAUAAUACAUAAUUGUUCAACAAGUUUAAACAUAUAAAUUUUGUAUCAUUCUAUUCAAAUUACUUGGGGAGUGCCAAAUGCUGCCUUUGAUAAGUGCUGUGGACUAAUUAGCCAUUGGCACUGAUCUUAUUGCCCCAGCAAAGGAGAUGAAAUAGGGAAACGUGGGUGAAGAAGUCGGCUCCAUUUGAUUUUAAGAAUUUGCACACAAAGGGAAUAACAAGAUAGUGUUAAUGUUGUUUACCUACAAAAAGUAACUGUAAAUCACGACAUUCCUCAACGAUAUAUACAAAUAUGAAAUCUUUAAAAUCAAGAAAAUCUAUUAUCUUUUAGUUUAUUUCUGUCGCUCAAAUCAUACAUCGGUUAAUAUAUGAUUUUCCUUAAAAUACUUCCUUUGACGCAUGUCAUUUAGUAUAUAAUAUUUCCAUGGGUUAGUAGCUAGUAGCUAGCAAGAGUGAGACAUGAAGUAACAGAGACCUUCAACCUUGAUCCCUAAUUAGCUUGAGGUUAACAAUUACACGCCAAGAUUUUAGUUCUUUGUCCUAUAUUUCAUCGUGUCAUUACUUUCGAUGCUCGUCAUUUUCUUGAAGACGUGGGAGUAGUUUGGCGUUUCAUGUCCUAUUGAUUAUGUUAAAUUCUCCACGGAAUGUUCUUAUUACUGACAAAAACCAUGGAAAUAUCCCCGAAGAUGUUACGCUAUCUGUGUCUCAUCUGAUUAAUAUUAAUUUCUUGAGAAGAAGGCAUGUCUGGUUCAAGAAUCAAGGGUUGCUAAUUACUCGAGCCAUGCAUCAAACUAAAAGCAUAUGGUUUGAGCCUUGUGUUUCUUGUCGAUCCUUUGAGGGAAGAAUAUAAUUUGUUGUUUGCUACCAGAUUCUUACAAUCAAGAAGUAGCUAAUCUAAUUAUCUGAGUAACCUAUGAAAAAGACUUCUAGCCAAAUAUGAUUAACCAUCUAUUGGUCACUUAUAGUAGCUUGAUUCUCACAAGAAAACUUCAAGGACGUCACGAAAAUGCAACAUCACCAACAGUACUUUAGCAUCCUUUCAUCAAGUCCUAAAGAUGUUUAACUUUUAAAUUGAUGUAUAAAAGUACUCAUUGCUCUUUCUUUCCUCAAUUUGUUUUUGUAUUGCUCAUGAAUUGAGCACAAGGGAAUCAAUUUGGCAUAUCUCAUCCUUCUGGCUCUAAAAGUUUCAAAAAUCCUGUCCAUUUACUUGCAUAAGUAGUUAAUUCUGGUGCAAGUUUUUGCUAAAAAUGUGAGUUAGAAGAACCAGAACAAAGAAUAAACAAAUAACAAAAUCAUGAGUAAGAAGAAAAAGCAGAAAACAUUACACUUAAAUAGCUUGCAACACUAGGUUAUAAGAAACCUUGUGAUUGGACCAAAAGAUCAUAACUUGCACGAGAGUAUAAAUUCAUUUCUUGGUGUGUAGAUUUUGUGGAGUGAACUUUGUCUUAUAUAUCAACUUUCUAAUGAAUUGGCUCCCCAUGUUUGCAACAUGCAUUUUCAUUGUCAAGUUUUCGUAAUCUUAAUUUGUUUUGUAAGCUCUAGUCUUCUGUGCAUUCUUCUUGGUCCUCCAUUUACCAGACCCGCAAUGAAAGAAAGCAAUUUGCCAGUACUUUCCACAUUUGAAUUUCCCUUUCCAUUACCAACAUGGCCUCCUGGUUAAUAUCAUUCCUUAUUCUACCUUAAAAUUAUUGGAUGAUAUCUUAAGUCAUUUCUAACUCAUAACCAUUGUUGAUUUUUCCUUUUUUUGGUGCAUAAAAUAGGUGGUAGCUUCGCUAGAGGAUAUAUGGACCUAGGAGGACUUCAUGUGUACCAAAUUACAACUUUCAAGAAAAUAUGGGCAGUGUACCAUGGUGGACUGAAGGACCUUGGAGCUACAUUUUACGAGCCUUCAGAAAUACCAGAGGGAUUUUUCAUGCUUGGAAGCUAUAGCCAACCUAAUGAUCAACCUCUUUUCGGCUCAUUACUUGUCGGAAAAGAUGUCGCUAACGGCACCGGUCAGCCGGAAACUCUAAAAAGCCCUAUCGAUUACACACUAGUCUGGAGCAGUGAGCUGUCCAAAAUCAGGCAAAGUGGCCCUGGUUACAUUUGGUAUCCAAUUCCUCCUGAUGGUUAUGAAGCUGUAGGUUAUGUUGUUACUAGCGCAUCAGAGAAGCCUUCCCUGGAUAAAAUCCGAUGUGUUCGGUCUGAUUUCACUCAUGACUGUGAUAUUGAGAAAUGGAUUUGGGGUGAAAGUUCAUCAAUUAGUGCUGAUGGAUUCAGUGCAUAUAGUCUAAGACCAAGUGCUAGAGGGACCCUGGAUCAAGGUGUACCUGUUGGUUCAUUCAUAUUCAUGAAAAAUUGGGAUGCAGAUGCACUCACAUCUGUAUCUUGCUUGAAAAACAACAAUUUCUCCUUGUUUUCCAUUGAAUCCACGCCCAAUCUAAGGCAAAUUCAUGCACUAUUUCAGACAUAUGCUCCAUUGAUAUACUUUCAUCCCCAAGAAACUUACCUUCCCUCUUCAGUAAAUUGGUUUUUUUCCAAUGGAGCGUUACUAUACACAAAGGGACAAGAAUCAACCCCUAGUCCAAUCAAAUCCCAAGGUGAAAAUCUUCCACAAGGUGGUUUAGAUGAUGGAAGAUAUUGGCUGGACCUUCCUGCUGAUGAAACGUCAAAAGAGAAACUCAAGAGAGGCAAUUUUCCAGGCUCUAAGGCAUAUCUUCAUGUGAAAUCAAUGUUUGGUGGAACAUAUAGUGACAUAGUUAUUUGGAUUUUCUGCCCAUUCAAUGGACCUGGGAUGCUUAAAUUUGGACCUAUUGAUAUUUCACUAAGCAAACUUGGAGAACAUGUUGGUGACUGGGAGCACAUGACUCUAAGAAUCAGCAAUUUUAAUGGAAUGCUGCAAAAAGUUUUUUUCUCCCAACACAGUUCUGGAACAUGGAUUGAUGCAUCAAUUCUUGAAUUUCAAAAUGGAAGUAACAAAUUUGUGGCCUAUUCAUCUUUGCAUGGCCAUGCAUUUUAUUCAAAGCCAGGUUUGGAUUUACAAGGUGCUGCUGGAUUUGGAAUAAGGAAUGAUAUGGCUAAAAGCAACUUAAUUUUGAACACUGGAGAUAGGUAUGUGAUAGUUUCAGCUGAUUAUCUUAGUCCACCAAUUGUGAAGCCACCAUGGCUGUACUAUGCUAGAGAAUGGGGACCAAGAGUGACAUACAACCUUGGUCUUUUAGUGAAAUUUGUGGAAAAUAUUUUGAUAGGAGUAUACAAAUCAAUUUUUCAAAGUUUGGUUAAUUUAUUUCCAAAUGAACUUUUUGGAGAAGAAGGUCCCAUUGGCCCCAAGAUGAAAAGGAAUUGGAAGAAAGAUGAACUUUGAGUUAGAUGGCAAAGUGGUAGAAAUCUCACUUGGUUCAAGUAAAUUCUCAAUUGCAUCUAUGGAGAAAAGAAAGAAACGAAUUCAAUUGUACAGUCAAAAGACUUCUUUUUUUUUUGGCCCCUUAGAUUUUUAGGUCUUUCAGUUUUUUUUUUCAUUUAUUUAAAGUUUGUUUUGGAUGACAUACUUAAAAAUUAGUUUUGAAACUCUUAGGGUUGCAAGAUGUAUAUUGCUAGACUUACCACUUAUGUCUAUACCUUUGUACAGAUUUUAUUUCGAUCAAUUUGAAUGGAGUACAUUCCUAAUUUGAUCCAAUCUCCUUUGGAAUACAGAUUGUUACAAUUAAAGGACUUUAUUGACCCCAAGAAACCUUGCUUGUUAGAACAUUGAGUUUUUCUUUGGAAAAAAUACACUUUCUAUCCUCAUUGUUUGGGAGUUGGAUCAAUUAGGUCCCUUAUUGUGUCAGCAGAAACACAUUUAGUCCGGUAACUUUUGUUUGUUGACCAAUUAGGGACAAUUGAUGCUUAAUCACUCCAUUUGGAUUGAAAUUAAUGUCUAAUCACUUAAUUUGGAUGGAAUAAAAUGUGGGGGGAGGGGAGUGGGAUAAAAUUCAUGAGACUCGACCUAUUUCAAUUUCCUUCUAAUUCUUUAUAGCCAAUCAUUUGGCACAUUUAUCCUUUUUUUUCAAAUUUUAAUGAAUUUUGUGUAAUAAAUUUUGAGAUUCUAAUGAAUUUUGCCUCUACCAAUUCUUUUCACUAAUGAUACGUCCCCUAGCGUACUUUAUUCUAUCCAAAUUUAGUGAUUAAAAUGUCAAUUUUAGCCCAAAUUGAAUGAUUAAAAUAUUAGAAGAGGGUUGAAUUGAGUGAUACGGUAGAAGCGACUGUACGUAGAACGUUUUUUAUUCAAAACCUCCUAUUUACACAACAAAAAAUCUAAAAUUCAAAAAAAAAAAGAAUGAUUAAAUGUCAAUUAUUUCUAAUUGAUCAAAAAAUCAAAACUUUAGGGACUAAAUAUGUUUUCAUUGAAAUUACCGGGACUGAAUUGAUCCCACCCCAAGCACUGGGCUGAAAAGUGGACAUUUUCCAAUCUCUUUUGGGUUGAGACAAAAACCGGAUAUAAACACUCAAGACGAGCCACAGCUAAUUGUCAAAAAGUGGGAAUAUUAAGAAGACAAAUACUUCUAUGAAUCUGGUCUAUAUGCUGUCAGCGGUAAACCUUGUAGCUAUCAAAUAUUCAAGCCAUCAUUGUAAUUAGGGGUGAACAAACGGUACAAAUUCGGUAAUUCGAUUAGUUGAAUUCGAUUAUUUGAUUUAUAAAAAUCUAAACCGCUUUCAAUUUCGAAUUGGUUAUAAGCGAAUUCAUUUCGCAACCGAUUUCGAAUUCGGAAAUGGUAAUGAAUUCGGCCUAUUAAAAAAAAAACUGAUGAGAUAACCUGUUAUGGUCCCGAAGGAAGUGAUUGUGUAAUUUUUAAUUUACAAAUUGGGGCUCCUAAAUUAUAAUACAUUCAUUAUGUUCCUCAAUGAUUUAAAAAUUAUUACUGAUUUGAUCCCCAAAUUUAUUCAUAAUUUAACACAUUACUUAUGUUCUAAUCAUUUUGUGGUUUAAUUGGCAUUUUUUUGAUCACUUAUACCUAGAAUCCUUAGUCUAUGAUUUAAGGAACACAUAAAAAGUGAUUAAUUUAAAUUAGAAUAAACCUUAGACUGUACAAAUGAUUAGUGAUAAUUUAUGAAUUUAUAAUUUACAAUAAUUAAUAAUAAGUAAUAUUAGUUACAAACUUACAAAUUACAAUGAUUAGUGAUAAGUUAUAUUAGUUACAAACUUAUAAUUUAUUUCAAAUCAAAAUAAAACUUAUUUACUUACACUAAUAUCUAAAUCGUAUGUAUUCAUUUACUUAUAAUUUAUUGUGAAAGUCAAUACACUAAUACAUUGAUUUGCAAUUCAUAUGUCUUCACUUACACUGCUUAGUUGUCUUGUUUAUAUUUAAAACCUUAAGAUUAGUGAAAACAUGAAUGAUGUAUCAAAUUACCAAUAUCUAAAUUCUAAUUACUAAUUAUGUUUAUUGUUUAAUUUUUAUAUUAUACAUAUAUGUAUUAAUUAUUAUCUAAUUCUAGUCAUGUUACUCAUAUAUAAAAUAAUAUGUAUUAUAGUUAUGUUAUAUUGUUAUGUAUUACUAUAUAUUUGUAUUAUUAUAAUCAUAUAACAAUUAACAAAUACUAAAAUAAUAGAUUGUACAUUAUUAUAUAUUAUUAUUAUUAUAAGUACAUGAUAAUACCAUAUACUACUAUUAUUAAUAGCAUUUACCUAUAUAAUAUAAUAAUAUAUUAGUAGUAUAUACUAAUACUAAAUAGCAUUGAUCUAUAUAUUAUAUAAUUUUAUAAAUUAAUUUGGUAUUCGAAUGCAGUAAUGCGGUACCCUAUUUCAUUUUACCAAAUUUGAAUGCGAAAUCGAUUAUUACCAAAUUCUAUAAUCUCAUUACCUAUUUCAUACCAUAUUAGAAUUCGGUAAAUUCGGUACGUACCGAAUUUGUACCAAAUUACCAAAUACCCAAUUUCAAAUUACCAAAUUGAAUUUGAAUUCGGUUAUGAAUUCGGUAUGUACCGAAUUUGCUCACCCCUAACUGUAAUAUCACAUGACACCACAUACUAAUAACUUGUAAAUUUGUAUUUAUAAGGUCUAAAGAAUGAAUUACAAAAUUAAUCAUAAUAGAAAUUACAGUUUGAUUAAGGAUAAUAGAACUUACAUUUUGAUUAAGGUUAGCCGGAACAAGUUAAUGGGUAUGAUUGGCCCAUUUUUUGAGUUUUGUGAUUAAUUAAUUUUUUUUCUAAGAGAAUCAAUGUUCACCUACCCAUAUAUCUCAUAUUUUAAAUUAAAAAUUAAAAAGCUAAAGAAAAAUAAUAGAACAGAGUCAUGAAAAAAAUAUAAGAAAUUUUAGUACUAAAAAUUCAUUACCAUUAACUUGUUAAUCAUAGUUAUAACAAUCAUGAUUGAUGAAUUUUUAUCGUAUGAAUCCUAAAUUUACAAUAUUUUUCUCUCCUUAAAAAUGCCAAAAAAUAAAUAAAUAAAAAAAAACACACACACACACACAUUUUUGUUUUGCCAGCAACGAUACAUUAUAUAACCUACUCUAUCCUAAUUUAGGGGAGAGGGAGGCUAAGAAGGCUUGUGUUAGGAGCUAGUGGGUAUACAAACCCAACUAGACCAAGGGACUGCUAUGGCACUUCUUUUAGAUUUUUUUUGUUACAAGUGAAGUUUAAAUCCGCACCUACAAUCCAAUGAGGGAUUUAGGUUCCACCCUGGUGGCCACUGAGCUAAGCUCAGUGGGACCAGGGGCAGGAACGGUUUCGUGGCAAUUAUGUACAUUUUACAUAGCGCGUAAGUUUGUUUUCACACGACGUAACUUUGUUUGUACAAUGUGUAACUUUAGAACAAAUUUUUGUGAACCCCACAUACAUUGUAAAAAAUGAAGUACAAGAAGUGAUCUGAAUCAUACAAAUUUUUGGGGCCAAAUCUUGGCCAUGAACCGUCCCUGCCCCGUAUCCAAACUCGGUGGUUCACACAGACACACACAGCGGAUAAGCUUUGAGAGGAGUUUCAGCAGACUCUCAGUCCAAGUGGAUCGUUCUCCCAGACGGCGUCAGUCAACCCUUGACCAUUUGUUUCGUUGCCACCCAAGAUUUUCUACUUUUCUUCUUUCUAAUCUUCAGUUUCCUGUUAAAUCACGCCCAAAAAAAAAAAAAAGAUAAUCUUCAAUUUGGUUCAUCCUUUUUUCCUUACUUCUAGUUUGUUUUGUCCAAUAUGGUGCUUGCAUUUAAGAGAACCUAAAAUUAAAUAAUUGAUACACAAAAUUAUAUUUAGUAUGAGUAGUAGUAGUGGUAGUAUUACAUUGACUUUUAUUUUCUUACUAAUAAAUAACUAAAAAUAUUAGAAAAUUAUGUAAUCAAACUCUAUGUAAAUUACGAUUUCAUUAGCAUUUUAGAAUUUUGAGUAACAAAAUCAGAUCGAUAAAAUGACUAAAAAUAUGUAAGUAUUAGAAUAAACUAUUUUAACAAUUUACCUGCUAAAAUAGUUUUCUUCUACGUACAUAUAUUUACAUGAAAAAUGCAGUAAAAUAAUAGGAAAUGAUUUUUAAUUCCCCCAAAUUUCAGACAAACAAACGUACCUCAAAGUCUCAAACCUUUGACUUCUCCAUUAGAUAUUUUCUCAUUUUCCUUUUUCUCAAGAAUUAUUUCUUUAUAUUUUGAGCUCUUCUUGACCGCCUCUUCUUGCCUUUGCUGACCGAGACCUGCCUGAAACCCCAUAAAAAAGAAAUAAUAAUAAUAAUAAAAUUUUCAUAAAGUAAAUUCCCACCCAACACUCCGAUUUAUAAACUCCGAUCACCGGAGAUAUUUCCGGUGGAGAUCGGAAACUCUUGAAAAUCCUCAAUCCCACCACUAAUUGACUGCAUUUCCACCGCCCCUUUAUCCCUAUGGACUCCCCAGACAUCAAGGAAGAGCUAGAGGAGACUGAGGAGGAGGAGGUGGAGGUGGAGGUGGAGGUGGAGGUGGAAGUGGAGGUGGAGAAGAGAAAAAAGAGUUCUUUGUAUAUAUUUUUUGGUGCUCUUUUCAAAAUCCUUUUCACCACUUGGGCAACUUUUUCUGUAUCAUUUUUUGUGGUUUUUGUAGCUGUUGUUCUGGGCAACCUGUCAAUUUGGAACCCCAUUUCUGUUCCUUCUCACUGCAAGAUCCUGUCCAGUAGUAAGUACUUUCGUUACCCCUUUUCAUUCAUUUUCUGUGUACUUACAGCUAUUCUUAUUUUGGUUGCGGAAUUCUACUUCAUUUUGUUUUAUUUUUGGUUGCUGAAUUUUUGUUUGAUAUGAGGAUUUGGCUUACUUUUCAAGAAUCCUUCUAAGGAAUGGACGUUUUGGUACUGUUUGCUGGUUGGUUGAUGAGAUUGAAUAAUAUAUGAAAAUUUGAGAAAAUUGUUUUUUACCAUACACUAAGGGUUAUCUAUGAAAUUUCUUAUGCCCCAGCUGAGAAAAUGUUUGAUGGGGUUGAUGUUUUGGUGCAAAUUGGUGGAAGAUUGAUGAAAAGUUGGAGUGUGAGUGUAUGAUCAAGUCGUAGCUGUAAACACAAUUUUUUUAAAUAAAAUUUUUAAGGCAUGCUUUAGAUUAUUUAUGGGGGAGAAUUUAUGCAAGGCAGUGGAAAAUAUGCAAGUUUGAUUAACUAAAAAAUAGAAUGGAUGCCAGUAUGCAAGAAGUAAUCAGAAGUUUUGGUUGGUGCUGAUAGAAUGUGAGAUUCCUGCUUUUCAAACCUUAGGGUCUCUAGAUUUCCUUAUAAGAUGUUGCGAAUCAAUAAUGCCAGUAUUGAGCAUAGUUUCAGGCAAGCAUAUGUUGUCAGUGUUUAGGAAUUUGGUGGCUUAUGUUUCUUGUAACUGGAAAGGGAAGAUGGUGUUUUGAAGUUUUGAAUGCUGAAAAUGGCACAGAAAAUUUGAAUCGCUUGCUCAGUUUUGCAUGAAAAUUGUUUUGCAUUCAAUUUGUUGAACUGGCUUUAUGACUGAAAAUUUUGAAUUUUGCGUAUUGUCUGCUUACUCAGUUUAGUAUAUAAUUCCCUCAUUGUCCUUUUUCAGCUGCAUUUUUUGUUCUCGAUAAUUAUUUUGAGGAGUCCGUGUGCUGCUGUUGUCAACUAUUUAUGUUUGUUAAGUCAUUCUAGCUGUCAGGUAUAACGUUUCGUCACCUUUUAUAAUUUGGUAUCAAUGGCCUUUUUCAACUGAUGAAAAAUGAUACAAUGCAGAAAAAAAAGUGGAAAUAAUCAAAUUGGUAUACUAAUCUAUCGGUCUGAUCAUUUCUUGCUGCCAUCAGAUAACUUUUUUAGAUAAUUAUCAUGGCAUUCGCAAGAGCAUUAGUAACGCAUUGAGAAACAAAGUGAGCUGCGCGAAAGGGAACGAAUGGUUAAUGUUGAAUAUAUCUGUUUGUCGUUAAAUAUUUUGUUGGGGGCUCCACUCUGUGAAGCGUUAAUGCUCUAAAAUCCUGUUCUAACAUCGACUAACUUCCCUUGCUGCCUCAUUUAUAUAGACAAGAAUAGUCUCAUUGCCCAAUUUCGCAAAGAAAUCUGCCAUUUUUUGUCCCCUUCCUCAAGGUGUCUUGAAACCUUUUCAUUUGAUUGAUCAGACAAAUGCAAAAUUGAUAUAAAAUGUGGUCUUUUUUGCUUGUAUAAGUUUUGCUCGAGGAGUAGAUUCCUUGAGCUAUCAAGUACUGGUGAUGGAAAGGCACAUCCUCUACGAAAAAAAUAAGGAGCACCAAAUUGAAGAAACCUUUUAUAGUGAUCGCUUGAAGAAUCUCAUAAAUUAAUCUCUUUUUGAUAAAAAAAAAAAUGCAAGAAUUUUGGUGAAUGUGCCAAAGGGGAUGUCCGUUAGAUCCUCUUGUCAUCCUUGCGUCUCAUACAUUUGACAUUUCUCGAAGAUACUUUCAGGUAUCUGUGCAUGCUAAUGAGGGGCACAUGUUGCUUCAUUUCUUUUGCAGGUGUGGAUCUGAGAUCAUCCAAAGUCUGUGAGCUAGGAUUACUAAAUUAUAGAGCCAAGCAUGUGUUUUAUCCUUAUGAGAGGAAGAAGUUCCGAUGUCGUUAUGAUUAUUAUUGGGCAUCUGUUUUUGAGGUAUGGAAAAUUGUGAUUAAGUUUCCUAUCUGAUUUUGGCUUCUUAAUAUGUGGAUCUCUGAGUUAACCUCUUAAGUGGAGCCCAUGAUAGUUUGAUUAAAGACUUUGUCUUAAUGAGUUUCACCAUUGGCGUAAUCCUUUUACUUUCUGGAUAGCAAAUGGUCUGUUUCAGAGAAUUAGCAUUUGAUACAAGAAAUGUAGAACAUAUAACUUAAGUUUUCUUUCUGCCAAAAUAUUUUCUAAAAGUGGUGGACAAAGUUAUGUACUACUGUAAAGAAUGAAAUUUUGUUGCUUCUGGAGAGAAUAAGGUAUAAGUUCGCAACUACAUAGAUUUAAUGAUUUACACAUUUUAUCUUUUAUUGGACAAAAUUUAGUUGGAAGGUCAAUGUAUGGUUGUUUUACCAAGUAGUUGUGAUUACACUACUUUGAUAAUUGGAAAUAAGAAGUGCAUUAUAGCUUGACCAAUGAGUAAAACUAGUAAAAGCAUCUGUGGUUAUGUUAGUGAUAUAGAUGUAACUGAAAGAAAUGGUACCUAUAAGCUAAAGGACAGCAUCUAACAUAAAUCAAGAAAAGUUGUUUUGGAAAUCAAUCUGCUUUUCUUAUUUAGUCAGUAAAUAAAUUCUUAGAUUACUCAAUCAAAGUGUCUUAAAUAAAUGCCUCUAAGCCUUAAAAUGCAGAAAGGGACAAAAUACUUCUAUGACUAUGACUAGUUUUUUAUCUAGUUAAAGAAAAUCUUGCUCUUCCAAAUACUUUCAAGUAUGAUUAUUAUUGUGAACUUAAUAUUACCUAUUGCAGGCAGAAGAACCACAAAUGCACAGUCUUCAACUUGAAGUGCUCAAGCAUGUCUUGAAACUGCUUUUUUUUUUCCCUACCAACUUUCAACAAAUAAACAAGUUAGAAAAUUUAAAAUGAUUGAAUAAGGGUAGUAGAGAAAAUAAAAAUUAGAAUGAGGAAGUUGGUAUGUACCUGGGCGUUGCGCUAAAUAUCAUAAUUAAGUUAGGAAUGAGACUAAGGUCCAAUAAUUGUCACUGGUGGGAUGAAGCAUAUGGACUGACAUGUUACAUGUGCAAGGAUCUGUUGACAAAAGUUGUCCAGUUUUAGCUUUUAAUUCAACAUUUUGAAACGAAACAACUUCAUGAUCAUGUACAGUUCAUAUGUCUGACUUUUUCUUUUUUUCUUUUUGAAUGUCUCUUGCAUGUACUCUUUUAAGAAAAUGUUGGCCCUUUCUGUGAUAUAUUGUAGAUUUAUAUUCUCCAAACAACAGGUUGAAUAUGUAGAUCGGUCAGGCCAGCGGAGAAUUGCAUUAGCAGAGGCUCCAAAUGAAGCCCUUCCAUCCAAUUGUAGACCGACUUUUGGAGCUGCAUGGUUAACCAAAGAUAAAUUUAAGGUAGAGGUUGAAUUUGAAGCUUUCAGCGUGGAAAUUUACAACCUUCGACUAAUCUCCAUUGGAUUAAUUUACUUUGUCGUUUCAAUUUUAAUUGUGCAUUUCUCUCCAUAACAUCAUUACCUUCUGUUUUAGGUCAAUGAAACUUAUGAUUGCUGGUACACAUUGGGGAUUUCCAAGGUUGACAUACGUCAGGAUGGUCUUUUCAAUUGCCAGGCAAAUCAUCCAUCCAGUUUUGAGAUGCUUAGACGAUACUCUAUCCUGUGAGUAUACUCCUUUAAAAUGGUUUCUUGUCUAUUCUUCUUUAAUCCGCUUCUUAUAUACAUCUAGUCUAUUGAAAGAAGAUUAGCAAAAUCUAGAUGGUGAUUAUUCCUUAUUCCACCUGGAAAGAAAUGCUUUUAACUAUUUGCAGUCUACUGGUUAACUUAUGAGCACAUAGACCAAAGAUAAACUUCAUCCACUGUUUCUGCUUUCUGUAUGAUAAUCAUUGCAAUUUGUUGUCAGACUGGAUAAAUUUUAUUGUUCCAAUUCAAUCUCACACACACCCUACCUUUUUGUAAUCUCAGAAGUUAAUAUUCCAUGUUUUGAUCCUCUUUUAGUUUUGCAUUGCGCAUCAGUUUCUUCAACUAAAUCAUGACAGUUUGCUUUGUGUUUACCUCUUACUGAGAGACUUCUUUUAGCUGUAAGGAUCAAUGCUUUACUAAUUACUGUUGGCAUCCUGUUAUGUUGAUUUUAUGCUAAUUGUUGAACUAUCUACAUAGAUUUCUAUAUGCAACCCUGAUAUCAAUUUUUAAUCAGCUUCUUCGUUUCUGUGCCAGCUUUAUUCAGCAUUUAAUGUGAAUUUCUUUUGUAUCAAAUUUUGGAAAUUUUAACAAUGUCAGUAAGAAUGAAUUUGGCAUUAAAAAAUCAACUUGUUUCCAGUCCUUGUGUCAGACAACAUUAUGUCAUAUUUAGGUAGAGAUCCAUCUUUGUCUAAAGUCUGUUGUUCAUGGUAGCAAGACCAGGCAAUAUUCUUCCUAGUCUCUUAGAAAGUCACUUCCUUCCUUAUAAUUUGUACUUCAGGUUCUUCUUAACUAUGCUUUGCUGCAAUAUAUGGUUUUCCUUUAUGCAUACCUCUCUUACUGUGUUUGAAGUUCAUUUUGUUCUGGCAGGUCUAUUAGGAUACUGAAAUCCUGGAUUACAAGCAGCAGAUCACUUAAGCACUGGAGAUUGGAUGUUGUGGCUGGAGUUGUGACUGGGUUCUGUACCUCCUUGGUAACUGUUGGCUUGGCUAGAGUUGUCCACCAAUUAAAGUCUUCCUUGCACCGUUGCUCUGCGGAAAGGACGCAUCUAUCUUCAUGUGCUGUCUAUAUCAAGCGAGCUUGCUUCUUCAUAGCAUAUUUCUCCUUUAUGGGUUUCUUGGCCUUAAUGUAUUUAAGAAGAAUAGGCCUCCCUCAGAUGUCUGGGAUGUUUGCUACCUGGUAGCACUUCUUGAUUGAGGUUACUUACCACCCAGCCUCCUGAAUUCUGCCAAUUUUCACAUUGCAGAAUGAAGCAUAAUUAUGUAACAGCAAUGCACCAAUAUAGGUUUUGGCAAAUGAUCUACAUAUUAUAGAAUCUUUCUAGUCAGUAUGAUUGGAUAGUUUUCUUGUUUGCCCAAAGUUCAUCAAAGUCUAUAUAUUAUAGAAUCUAUCUAGUCAGUCAUCAAGCUUACAAACUCUUAUAUUGUCUGUAUAACUUUACAAUCAUUUGAAGUUAGCCGAUUUCAGCAAUACAAUCUUGCAGUCUUCCUAGUCAUUAUCCACAAGAAUUUCCAGCAUUUCAGUCAGUUUAGAUCUGCCAUCCUUGGACAGUAAUGAGGAUAAAUAUUCAACAGCCUCAGUACCCUGGCUAUCUUGAUAUUUGUUAGAAUAUGGCUGUAUAUCUAUCUUUUUCUUUAUUUGUUAAUCCAAUUUUAGGUGGGAAUCUUGAGUACAAGGCACUUGCAUGUUUAUUUCUUUGUUGGCUAUUUUUCUUUGCCUUUUUGUUUUCAUGCUUUUGAGGAAGUGAAAACGUCAACUUCAUGUAUGAAUACACCAUGUGAAGCAGGAUCCGUUGUGAAUAAUUUGUAAAUGGUUUUGUGUGCUCUUUCAAGUGAAAUCAAAGUUUUGUGAGUGAAUUCGAAUGUCUUUUUUAUAUUGCUCAUAAACUAAAUGCAUUAAUUCUAGCUACUAGUCUCGUGAAUAUUCCAUGUCCCUUCUUUUAAAAUAAGAACAAACUCGUAAGAAAUUCUAAGUGUCAUUUUAACUCUAGAAUUUUUUUAGAUCCCGCCACCAAAUCCUGGCAUAUUAUAUGUAAACAACUAUGGAUUUCAGAUUUCACGACAAAGACAACUAAUCAAAAAAUUAAAGAACCUCAGAAUUGAACCAAAGGCUUAAGAUAGAACCCCCAGAGCUUUUAGAAGAAUGUAUGCUAGAGUGCAAAAGAUUAUCAAUCUCUACCAUGUCGUUUCAUGUUUGAUAACUUUUGGCGAGUAGUAUAGACUUGAUUGUUAAAUUAUUGCAAAUUUAUUUCAAUACUUUUGUAACUUUGUUUUAACGUUAUAUUAUUUUACGAAAAUUCUAUGGUCUUUCCUUCGAUUUUGCAAAUUUUGCAAUUGAACUCUGGGAGCGUUUCAUUGGAGAUUACAUUUCUAAGUUAGGGCAACACCUUGUCCUCUUAUGCUGAAAUGGAAGUGGUAAUACAUGCCAAAACCGAGAUCCCGUCCUUGCACAUUUUGACAAAGGCUUAGGUAGAGGAAAUCAAAUGGAUUAAGGAGCACAAUGAGUUGUUGUCUCUAAUUGAUGAAAAAGAGGUUGAAUGUUUGUCAUGGACAAUGCUAUCAUCAAAUGAUGGUUCGUUAGAAAGACAAAUCUCGCUUAUUUGAAGUGAGGGAUAAGGUUUUGAAGUAAAUUUUUCCGAUUCAAGAGGAGGUUAAAGAAAAGUUUGCUCCAACUUGGCAAGGGCCAUUUAUUGUUCAAAGAGUGCUAUCCGGAGGAACGUCCAUUCUUACAGAACUGGAUGGACAGGUUUUUCCUUUGCCAAUCAAAGACAUGUGUAAUAAAUUUUUUAUCUGAUUAUGUGAUUUUUUCUUUUUGAAAUACCAUCUAUGGCGGAUCAAAGGCGAGCCUUCUUCUUUUCUCUUUGAACAUCUUAUCCCUAGUUUUCCCCAUUGAACCUCCAGAAUAAUUUAACCCUUUAUUUGAUAGCCCUCCUAAAGAUUGCAAACCCCAUACUGGGGUAAAAUUUUAUCUCAUAUUUGUCAUGAAAAAAAAAGAGAAAAAGAAAAAAGAAGUCAAAAGCCAAACUGGGGCAAUUUUUUCGGUCUUAAUACCCUCAUACAGGGACAAAUAUUGAUAAAAUGCGGUCUUAGGGUUUUUGAAACCUCUUUGAAAAUUUUUCUUUGAAGCCUUAACACUUUUUCUACACCCCACAUGACCCCAUCAUAAAAAUCAUAAAGUCUCGACCUCCGCCUUAGUGGUAUUUCUAAUAAAAAUCACUUAAUCAAAUGGCAAAUGAUGUCAAUAUACCUUCACCAUUUUUACAUGGGAAGGGUUGUCGCGCUGAUGCCAUCCUUUCUUUAAAUACAUUUCUGAGUUGAUAAAGGUCGUUAAAAAGAUUUGUUCAUUAGGUGAAAACCUGAAAGGGUGUCUUCAAAAGAAUGGAAGAAAGGAAAAGAAAAAAAAAAGAGAAAAAAAAAGGAUGAAAAGAAAAAAAAAGAAAAAAGGAAAAAUAAUAGAAAAUGAAAACAAAAUAAAAUAAAAAGGUGUGACCUUUGUGAAAAUCUAAAAGGUUAAGGUCAUCAAGGUGAGAUUUUGGAGCACAAGAGAAUCAUGAAUGAAAAGCGGGUUGCCGACACUUGAGAUACAGGCCAUUCAUUCAAAUCUGGUCAUUAGAAAAGUUGAUUUGUGGUACAAAGUGAGGUAUGGCUGACUGAUGCUAGAAAAUUGAGAAGAUUCAAAAUAAGUUGCAGCACAACUCUUGAGGAGCAGUCUUGACAUCGAAAGAUCAUGCUUGCAUAGUUCUCAGGGCCAAAAGGAGCACAAGGAAUCACAUGGUAUUCGUAUCAUAUGAUCAUUCAUUUUGUUUUUUCGAAAGCAUGAAAAAUGUGGCCUUCAUUAAACAUGAUUUACACUGGGGCAAAUAUCAAGAGGAAUGAGCUCCAAUUUUGGUAAUGCAUUUUAAAUCGGCUUUAAAGUCGAAAGAUAGUGACACAUGUAUGUACCUCUCAAAUCUCUUGAAAGGAGAGUUGUCAUUGGUAUUCUUCAAGUUUUAGAAUUUGUCACCUUUGUUUUUUUUCAAAAACAAAAAAAAAACAAAAAAAACAAAAAAACAAAAAAAGAUUACAAAUCCACCAACUUGAGCCACAAUGUCAAAAUGCAAAGCAGAUGAUUGGUUGAACAAAAUUGAUUCAAAUUGAGUCAAUUUCUGAAAUGAUUUUUCAGGUAAGUAUUCAAGAACUUUUUCAUGCAAUAACGUGUGUCAUGUCUUUUAUCACCAUUAGCAUCGAGUAUUGACUCACUAGCGUGUGUUUUGCUUUUUUAUAUCCGUUAGCAUCGGGUCCAACCCACUAACGUGUCUUUUAUCACCGUUAGCAUCGAGUAUUGACUCACUAAGGUGUGUUAUGUUUUUUUUCACAUCCGUUAGCAUCGGGUUCAACCCACUAACGUGUCUUUUGUAUAUCAUGUUGGGAUUCGGCAGGUUUGGGUGUUAUCCCACUGACCAUUUUAUUUUAUUGGAUUCGGGUUUUAUCCCACCAAUCUGUUAUUUCUUGACAAAUUUAAAUUUCUGUUGGUGAGUCUCAGCGUCCACCGCGCACCCUUCUAUCUCCCAUUCUUGGCAAAUUUAAUUUUCUGUUGGAGCGUAAUCGCGUCCCUCCGCGCAUCAAUUUAAAUUCCUGUUGGUGAGUCUCAGCGUCCACCGCGCACCCUUCUAUCUCCAAUUCUUGAUCAAUUUAAUUUUCUGUUGGAGCGUAAUCGCGUCCCUCCGCGCAUCAAUUUAAAUUCCUGUUGGUGAGUCUCAGCGUCCACCGCGCACCCUUCUAUCCCCCUUCUCGACAAUUUAAUUUCCUGUUGGAGCGUAAUCGCGUCCCUCCGCGCAUCUUUUUCUAAAUGACAAUUUAAAAUUUCUGUUGGUGAGUCUCAGCGUCCACCGCGCACCCUUCUAUCUCCCAUUCUUGACAAAUUUAAAUUCCUGUUGGAGCGUAAUCGCGUCCCUCCGCGCAUCAAUUUAAUUUCCUGUUGGUGAGUCUCAGCGUCCACCGCGCACCCUUCUAUCCCCCUUCUUGACAAUUUAAAUUUCUGUUGGUGAGUCUCAGCGUCCACCGCGCACCCUUCUACCUCCCUUUCUUGACAAAUUUAAUUUAAUUUUCUGUUGGUGAGUCUCAGCGUCCACCGCGCACCCUUCUAUCCCCCUUCUUGACAAUUUAAAUUUCUGUUGGUGAGUCUCAGCGUCCACCGCGCACCCAUCUAUCUCCCGUUCUUGACACUUUAAUUUUCUGUUGGUGAGUAUUAGCGUCCACCGCGCACCCUUCUAUCUCCCUUCUUGAUAAUUUAAUUUCCUGUUGGAGCGUAACCGCGUCCCUCCACGCAUCUUUUUUCAAAAAAAAAAAUCAAAAAUAAAAAAAAAUCAAAAAACUCAAAUUUAAUAUCUUGUUGGUGAGGUCUCAGCGUCCGCCGCGCACCCUUCUACCCCCAUUCUAAGCAAUCACAUUUAAUUUUCUGUUGGAGCGUAAUCGCGUCCCUCCGCGCAUCUUUUUCUAGUUAUGAGAAGUUAUUUUUCUUGACUGUUUUGAUUAAUAAUUGUGUUGUCUCAUUCAUUUUGUAUUUCAUGUUUAGAAGUUCUGAUAACUCAGACUUUUUCGACUUUGCAAAGACUACAGUUUGUCAAUGCACUUGUUUCAUUGUGGUUCACUUGCAUUCGAACUACGUUUGACCUGAUUCCCAUGGUGGGAUACGUAGGCAACUCUACAUGGGUUCGGUCACAUUUUCUACAAUGUUAUUGCAUCAUUUUGUCCAAUAAUUUCAGCCAAGUGUUGGCUUGUUUAUUUUAGCUCAGGUGCAGUUAAAAGAGACAGGUAAGCAAUUUAGUGUCUACGUCUUUGUCUUGAGUUUCUUUGAAACUCUAGACAAAGAGGGGCAAGCUGUAGACACCAAAUUUUUGUCAAUUUUUAAUAUUUUCUCAAGAUUUUUCUAUUUAAUGAAUUAUUUAUUUUCUAGCAUUUUAAUGUGCAUUUUUCUCAUUUUUGCGGGUUUGCUUGAAAAAAAGAAAAAAAAGUGAGAAAAGAAAAGAAAAAGAAACCAAACAAAACAAAAAAACAAAAACAACAAACAACAAAAAGAAAACAAAAAAAAAAUCAUCAUAAUCAUUUUCUCUACCAAAAUACAUUUAACCCAUUUCACACUCAAUUGCCAGGGACCUUUCUUUUCAUUGGCAGAAGUCAUCAUUUCGGAAAAUCCUACACACAAGCUCCAUUUUUGGCUACAAGUCCCUCUCGGCUCUCUCUGGAAAAAAGGAGGGGAAAAACAGACAAGGAAAAGAAGGGAGGCUCUCGGCUCUCUCUCUGGGCUCUCAACCGAAAAAAAAGAAAAAAUUUUCCCUCCCUCUCUCGGCUAGCUCUUAACAGACAGGGGACAAGCCACAAAAAAAGGCACUCCAAUCCCUCUGGGCUCACUUGGCAGAGGCAGAAAAAAAAAGGAAACGCACGAGAGAAGUGGAAGGGAAGCUCUCGGAAUUUUGCAGCCUGACCCCUCACUCUCACUCUCUCGGACUUGGGUGGAGGAAAGAAACAGAGAAAAAAAAUCUUCCCCAACUCCUCUCGGUUCCAUCUCAACCUCACACACACCUACAUUGAGGUAAUUUUUAGUUUUGUCUAGCACAUUAAAUCAAUGCUUCAUUGUUUAGUUUUCUUUCGUUUCUGCUUGCUACUUUGCAUUGUUGUUGUGGUAUUGCUGAAAUUUGGGAAAUAGCAUGAACCAGAUAAAGGAAAAGGAAAUGUUUCUUGUGAAUGCAUGUUAAUUGUUUGAAAAAAUGCCAAAAAGAAUUUUAGGGGCUGUUUUGCUUUAUUUUGUCCAUUUUAUGUUGUUUUCUUGUCAAAAUAAAAUCAUAUUUGUAUUGUAGAAGAUGCAAGAGUGUUGUGGCAUAAUUUUUAUGAUUUUUGGUGAAGGGUAUGUUGUUUUGAAAAAUCAAAACUGGACUGAUUUCUUGUCAUUUUGGCCACUUUCGAUUCCUUUUUUGUUAAAACUAAGCCCAAAAUUGGAAUCUACGCGAAAAAUCGAGUUGGGGUGUAUAUUUUGAUAAUUUUUUGUGACCGGAAAAAAAGUUCGCCGGCGACCGACGGCAGUCCGCGGUGGCGGCGGCGGCGGCGGCUAACAUGGCCGCCAGCUGAAGCUUCUUCGGCUGGCCGAAGAAGACAGAAACGUAUGGGGAAGAAAAGAGAAAGAAAAGAAAGAAAAGAAAAGAAAGAAAAGGAAAGUGGGUUGGGCUAAGUUAUUUUUUUUUAGUGGGCUUGUUUCUUUUUUUUUUGGUUGGGCUAGAAGGUAGGAGCCCAUGUUUCCGCCAGCUGAAGCUUCUUCGGCUGGCCGAAGAAGACAGAAACGUAUGGGGAAGAAAAGAGAAAGAAAAGAAAGAAAAGAAAAGAAAGAAAAGGAAAGUGGGUUGGGCUAAGUUAUUUUUUUUUAGUGGGUUUGUUUCUUUUUUUUUUGGUUGGGCUAGAAGGUAGGAGCCCAUGUUUUUUUUGGUUGGGUUUGAGGGAUAAAAAGACGGGCUGGCCUGCUCGUUUCUUUUGAGUUUCGGUUGGGCUUAGGUAGUAUCCGGCCCAAAUAAAUAAAAAUAACGGCCCGAUGGCCUUUCUUCUCCCAAAUCAGAAACCGAAUUUUGCACUUUAGCCCCCUGAUCUCUGGAGUAGUUCACUUCGGCCCAGAAUAUUUUAAAUUCCUUUCACUUAGGUACUUAAUUUAAUUUCACUUUGGUCCUUGAAUUUUAUCUUUCAUUUAAUUUUGACCCUUAAACUUUGGAAAAAUAUAACUUCUGUCCCUAAAAGUUUUCAAUCUUUGCAAUUCAGUCCCUGAUGAAUUUUGACUCUCUUUAUUAUGAUUGUUUCUUUUCUUUAAUAACUAAUUAUGUUAUUUUUGAACAUAUUCAACUUGCAAUUUUUAGAUGUUCUUAAAUUUCUUUGCGUUUGACAUGUUAAUGUGAAUUUAGUAUUUUAACAUUAUUAUUAUUUUCAAUUAAAGUGGUGCCAUGAUUCUUUUGUUCAUUGUGAGUAUAAAUAGGACAAUUUAACUCCAUUUAGUCACCACUUCAAACGGGAGGUACCCCUAUUUUUAUUAUUUCAAUGUCAAUUACGUGCUCUUAUGUGCUCUUAUGUGUUCCUAUGUGUUUAUAUUUUUAUAUGCUUUAUUUAUUUGAAUUAAAUAUUCAUUCAAAUUUUCUUAUAUAUGUUUUAAUUAAUUUUUACAAUGAUUCAAGAGGCAUUUAAAUACCUCAAAAAUGUAAUAGAUAGGAUAAUUAGAUUUGUUUUAUUAUAUUUUUCCCUUCUAGAUUGUAGUUAGGCGCUCUCCGAUGUAAUAGAUAGGUUGCGUGUUUAUGUGGCUUAUGUGUUAUGUGUUUUAUCCGUUUUUCUUAGGAUUUUGGCAUCUAGAUAUUAUGUUUACGUGUUAUGUGCUACGUGCUCUUAUGUGUUUAUUUGUUUUAAUUUAUGUUUUAUUUGUUUCACUAUGAAUUGUUGAUGCAUGACGUCACCACACUAGUCCAACGUUAGUUGUGGUUUCUCCCUCCGCUUACUUGCUAGUCCAACGCUAGUAAGGAUUUUUAGAAAUGGGCUAGUCCAACGCUAGACCCUUUAGGUUAUCUUGCGCUAGAUUCAUCUUUGUGUGCUAUUCACUACAUUUUCAUGUAUAUUUUUAUUUUUAGGAUCUUUUCUCAUUUGCAUGAUAUUCCCUAUUAUAUUAUCCCCUACCCGCUAUAGGUGCUAAUCAUGUCAUUUAGAAUUGCAUCCCAUUUAAGCUAGUUCAUUUGCUUGUUCAUGUUAGGAUAAUUAUUUUUCAAACAUGGGAAAUGGGUGAUUAUAACUUUCUAGUUUAAAUACCCUAUUAAUCCAUGUAUAAGAAAAUUAUGUCACGAAUUUUUUUUUUGCCUCCCGUACCCUUUAUGUUGCAUUCCCUUUUUCUUUGAUCACUUAUAUAUAUGUAUAUAAUUUAAUUUAAUUUCUUUUAUUUUCUUUUCUUUUUCAUCAUUUGCAUCCUUGUGACACCUUCGAGGAUUUAUUUUGACCUUCGCAAUUAAUGCGAUUGGUUCAAUUAAACCCUUGAAUGAACAUGUUGUCCCUUGCGAUAUUUUUUAGAUUUGCAUUCAUAUAGAAAACAUCCAAAUGUGAUAAAUUAAGGGUUAGAUUAGGAAAAUUUUGACUAAACCUCGCAACUAGCUUAGACUAGGUUGAAAGGGUGCCUUAGAUUUGAGUUAAUCGAAUCUUUGCCUUCCCUUUCUUCAACCGUGACUCCCGAAUCCAUUUUCUCUUGUUUUCAAAGACCUGGAGUUGUCAAAAAGGGUUUUAUUUUGUUUUACUUUAUUUUUUGGGUGACUUGGUACACCAAAACUCCAUACCAAGUGGCGACUCCUGUUUUUUCUUAAAAACCCUUUUUAGACUAAAUUUUGGACCCAAAUUGUCGCAUUCUUUUUAAGUCCCAUUCUAGGUCCCUUUUAACUUGUUUAAAAAUAAAAUCAUAUCUUUUAUAAACCUCACACUUUAUUUUUCUUUUCCAUCGCGAAAAAUGGGGCGCGACAGCUUUGUUAAUGCAAUUGGAAUUCUUUGGUUACUUUUGUUAGUAAAGUUGCAAAACAUUCGAAUUGCAUUUCAUAAAAUACUUGGAUGCCAAACUAAUAACUAGUGAAACAACAUGGAUAACUCCCAAAACACUAUUCAAGCUUUGCCAAAUUAAGCAAAUGUACAUGUUAUAUCAAGCAAAUAGAGUUGAGAGCAACUAUAUAUGUAGCAUAAAAGGUAAAACUAUUAAAAAAAAAUGAAAACAAGCUCUACUACUACAAAUGCUCCAUUUGGAUUAGUUGUUUUUUGGUGUUUUUGAAAUAUUUUAUUGUAAUAAUAUAUAUCAAAAACUUUUACUAUAUAUGCUUUUUGAAAUAUUGAUAUAUUGUAUGGAUGAGAUGUUUUUUGAAUUGUUUUUGUUUGUGUAUUAUUAUAGUAUUGUAUUUAAAAAAUUUGUUUUUGAAAAAUAGGCGAAUCCAAACAGAGAGUUUUUAGGUAAAACAAGCUCUUUUCUUUGGAAAGAUGUACAAGGACAAAUAUUUCCAUGAUCUUCUGAAAUCCUAGUAAGUAUAAAAUUCAUGAAUUUUAGUAUGAAAAAAAAUUCUUAUUUGAGGAAGAUUGUAUUAAACCAUGGUCUUUCUUCUUUACAAAAUCCUGGCUUAAAAGAAAGCAAUAGAUUUUGUGGAUUUAGUGCAAUAAUAGGGAUGAGAUUGUUGAAGAGAGAAAGCACUUACUUGGCACCCGGUUUAGCAACAUUCUUGAAGAUCAUCUUGGCACAAUUUCUUGCCUCCCAUUCACUAGCAAUCUCCAUUGUCCCAAAUUCAUCAACACUCCUAGAAAUGGUGGACAGGCCAAAAGACCUAACAUAGUUAACCAACCUCUUCACGUUCCAAGCAGAAGCUCUACUUUGCAUGCUCAAUUUCCUCAGCUUCUCCAUAUCAAUCCUCCUCGUCCCAACCCUUUUGAACUUCAAACUCUUGGAUUUACUCAGCUUCGCCGGCAGCGAUUUCGAUGCAGUCAAGGUCUUAUGAUGUGCUUUUUGAUAAGCUACAUCAUCCAUGGGAGGCCCUGAAAGAGUAUCCAAAACAUAGUGAUGGAAAACACUCUCCUUCAUACGAUCAAAAUAUGUUGCCACGUGAAAUGAUGAGGCCAAAACUUUUACUAGCACAAUUUUGAUGAGCCAAAUUGUUGCCCCGAUUAAUACAGCCACCAAAGCUUGGAAAACUUUUUUGAGCAUUUUGUUGUUUUUCUGGACUUCCAUGUUGAACAUAAAUGUUCAUGCUAGUAAAACCAGGCCUAGCCAUACACAGUUUUGGAAGCUCCUUCGAAGGCCAUAGACGAAAUACAAGACUUUUUCCUUUAACAUGAAAUUUCUUUCGAUGAGAAAAACUAGGAAUUUGAUUAGCCAUCCAGAGACUAAUCUGCCACUGAAAACUACCAUGAUCAUCAAGCACCAUUUCCAUAUCUCAAGACCCCAUUUGAGUUUAUUCUUGAGAGAUGAAAUUGUGAGAGAACAUAUUAAGCAAGUCAAGAUAAUGAUAAACAAUAUCCAUUCAACCAAAACCCUGCAAUGACUCUUGAUCUUCUUCUUUUUGAGCAUCUUGACUUGGCCAUUUCCAUCUUCUUCCCCUUCUUCAAAUUCUUCUUCAUCUUCGGAGCUUUCUUCAUCACUAUCACAAUCAUCAAUAGGAGAAGGAUUUUGUCCACUUGGCUUAUUCAAGGGUUCAUUUUCAGUACCGGAUAAUUGAGAUAAAGAACGAUGAUAGACUGGAUUAAGGUUGAAUUCUACUGAUCUUGCUUUCGGUUUCGAAAAGCUGAGACCACGUAAGGUUUGAACUCUUGUGCGGAUUGGAGAAGGGGGCUUGUUUUCUCCAAUUAUGUUGUCAUUUUGUUCAUUGAUUAACACAACAUGGUCAGAGACAGGUUUUUCCAUCCUUAUGGUUUCUACACUACACACUACACCUCUGUGGUUUGGUUUUGCUUGUUCUUUAACAUCUUUUCAUGGUAAUAUAUAUAGGAAAAGUCUAUAUACGUGAGUGGGAUUGAGACCUCACAACCCUACAUUACAUUUUUUUUAAAACUCAAAUUUGCAUGAAUGUUUACAGGAUCAAAGUUCGAUUUUCAGUUCCAAUUGCUCAAAAUUUUGCGAAUAUAGAUAUUAGAAUUACAUCAUGUUAAACCAGCACACUACGUUGAAUUGUUAAAUCAACAUACUACAUUGAAUUUUAAAUUUGGUAGAGCCAUACAGAAAUUGAACAUUUCAUGAACAGUAAAUUUAACAGUCUUAAAAAAAAAAAAGAUUAAAAAAACUAUCUCAUAUUUUCUAACAUGCGUGCCAACUGAAUCUGAAUACAAACUAAAGAAAAUAAGUGUGUUCUAUAGACACACCUGCAGUUUUUACCAUAUUUUUAGAUUUUUUUUAAGUGACAAUCUUCAUUGCAUAAUCUUCUCAGAGUGGAAUCACCAUUCACCACCAUAAACUUUUGUAAUUGUAUACAUUUAGGAAAAUACAUCAGUCUAAAUCCGAAUAAAUAAAUCUCAGCCUCGCCUAGCUAGUAGUUUUUGUUGAUGCCAAAAUUGGGAUUAAUUGUCAAAUUAGGUAAUACUAGUUGAUAAAAUAUGAGGGUUUAUGUCCAGAGAAAGCUCUCAAAUAACUUCUCAAGUGUGGAAAUUUCCGUGUAAAUAUGGAAUGAAUUCAAAUUUGAAAACUAACCUCCCUUAAAUUUUUGGGAUAAUUUCAGAAACCUCCUUCAGGUUUCUGACAAUUUCAGUCAGCUCCCCUUAGGUUUAUAUAAUUACAUUGACCUCCCUUGUUGCAACAAAAUUACUAGAAUGUCCUUCACUUAAUUAGUUGAUCCAUAAAGAAAGAUACCAUUCCACUACAACCAGCAAAACAUUCCCAAUUGCCGUAUAAUCUAAAGAAUAAAUUUGAAACCAAUAACUGAAAUCAUGAGGGACCGGAUGAUUGAUGAUUGGUUAUUGUUGUGUCUAUUUAUUCAAAAAAAUUUAUUAGAUAUUCGUAAAAAAAUUUAAUAGAUAUCCAUAACUGCAUUUGUUGCCUAAAAAAUGAAAAGCAAAAAUGAAAAAUGCAUCUUUCUGUUUUUGAUUUGCUACUAUGAACAGUGUUUUUUUUAUAAUGGAAAUAGGAUUAGUCUCUAACAGAGAUUAUGGAGUAAUAAUGGGUUAUUCUUUGGAUCACGGUGGGGUUGCUUCUAGUAUCCAUAUAGGUGGUGAUGGGCUAGAUUAGCUAUUGUUAGUAGGUUGAGAAAGUUGCAAGUAAGUUUUUAGGUUUUUUAAAUGGGGGUUAUAUUUGAUCUCGUAAUUUCUAGUGAAAGCCUUUGGGAUGCCAAAUGAUUCUAAGGCUGCAAAUAUUGUUAAAAUCACUUGAAAUGAAGACUGAGUUAUAAAUAAUAGUUUGCUCGAUUGGUUUGGUAUAGUGGCAGGUUUGCGGUGGUUUAAGAAAACGAAAAUUUACAUGAUUAUAUUAACUUUUUCUCUUUGUUGUUAUGUCAAUAAGGGUAUAUUAGGAUUUUUGAAGAAAAAUGUAGUAUAUUGGGUCUAUAUAGUUACCUAAACAGUAAAAGUAAGGGAGGUAGGUGUAAUUUUUAAAACUUAAGGGGAGGUGAUUGCAAUUGUUGUAAAUCUCAGGAGAGGUUUGUGAAAUUAUCCCUAAAUUUUUUGACGAAUCUUAAUGGCCUCGAAAAUAUUUCUAAAUCAAAGCCAAAAGUUUUUUUUUUAAAUUUAAACCCAGCAAGAAGAUUUAUUUUUGACCAAACAGUUGCCUCCCACUCUUGGCCGAGAAGGUCCAUCUCACUUCAUGAAAACAUGGGGAUGUUUAUUAGUAAAAUACAAAAAAGUCCACACGGUUAAGUGAACCUACAAAAAAGUUCUCUAUAGUUUCAAAACAUAUACUCUGGUACCUCAUAGUUUGAAUUAAUUUACAAAUUAAUGGAAAUUGUCUGAGUUAAUAGGUUUGAAAUACACGCUCGUCUUUUGUGAGUAUUUGUACUGGAAACAAAUAAAAUUUCAAUUGAUAUACCUAUUAUACCCUUAAAAAUGUAAUGCAAAUAAACCCCUAUGGUUAAACAAAUCUACAGAAAAAGCCUCUAUGAUUUUUUCUUUAACAAACGCCUCUAUAGUUUCAAAUCAUAUAAUUCAGUAUCUCAUGAUUUGAACUAAUAUGAAAAAUUAUAAAAAUCAUUUAAAUUAACAAGUUUGAGGGUGCUUGACCUGAAAAAUAAUUUUUAAAUCAAAUUUUUAGCUGAUAUACUUAUUAAACCCUUUAGAGUUCAUAAAAUUCUCAAAAACAAUCCAAAACUCCUAAAUACAACUCAUCUUAUUUCUAUACAUAAAAUAAAUAAAUAAAAACUCCCAACUACAACUCACCUUAUUUCUAUACACUAAAUAAAAAAAUUUUCAAAUACAAUUCACCUUAUUUCUAUAUACAAAAUAAAUAAAUAAAAGAUCCUAAAUAAAUUCACCUUAUUUCUAUACACAAAAUAAACAAAUAAAAAUAAAAUACCACCCCCUCCACCACCAGCCCCAACUCUUGCCACCGUUACUCUCCACCUUCCACCACCAUCCUUCCCUUCAUCGCCACCCCUCCCUCUCUUUCUUCCUUUUCCCUCCCUUACAUCCCGCUGUCUCUCCACCUUCAAGGCCACUCUCCUACACUUUCUCUCAUUCCAGUGAUCAUGGCCAGUCAUGGGAGAUAGGGCAAGGGUAUGGGGAAGGUGUCACGACCAAAUUGCCUAUUCCCCGCAUCCUCUUUCCUCCCUUCUAUGAUAAAUUAGGUCAUGGGAAGGAGGUGAGAAAGUGCAAAAUAGGGUUGCAAUGGGAGGGAAGGGGGUGCAAGGGAGGAAAAGGAGUGAAGAGAGAGGGGGAAAAAGGAAAGGGAUGGGGGUUGUGAUGGUGACAAAGGUGGCGCUAGAAAGGGGUGAAUGAUGGUGGUAGCAAUAGAUAAUCAUACGGAGAUUUUCCAUAAGUUUGCAUAACCAUAGGAAAUUUUUUCAUAGAUUUGCUUAGUCAGGAUGAUUGUUAGGUGGUCUAUUUUUGCUCUUAUAUAUAAGGGUAAUUGUAUCAUUUCACCUGUCUCUGUUAGUUUUGAUGAUUUGCAUUGUUGUUUCAAAGAUUUUCAUUGUUGUUUCAAAUCAGUGUUCAAAUCACAAGGAGUCGAAAUGUAUGGUUUGAAACUAUAAGGGACUUUUCCGUAAGUUAGCUUAACCAUAGGGAGUUUUUCUAUAUUUUACCCUUUUUUUUUUUAAGAAAUAGUUGCAAGUAUGAAGGGAAAUAAAUUUGCAAUCUUUUAUGUACGAGUUCCGACUCCUUGUAAACUCCGGUUCUGCUUGUGAGCUUUGGCUAUGAUAAGAGCUUUUAUUUUUUUUCCAAAAACUACUAGAAAUUGUUCCCCAACUACUUUAUAGCCUUGCUCUCGAUUGCUUUAAGUUUUACAAAAUCUAAUUAUAGAAACCGAUUAUGGAGAAUAAUAAGAAUCAACAAAAGCUACCCUUUGAAUAAUUAUAGUCAACAAAAGCUACCCUUUGAAUAAUUAUAGAUUUUAGCAUUUUUUAUUAUUAAAAAACCAAUAACCAAAAUACAAAAGUAAUCAUGAACAUCACAAAAACUAAUUAUCUGAAAUCAGAAUCUAUAAUCAGUUAAAAUGAUCAAUCAAAAACAAGCCUAUAUUCCCAAUCCUCACAAGUUAAGAUUAAGAGUGUGAUAAUGGGUGUUUCUGGAUAGUAGAUUACUUGAGAUAAUUUUUUUUAAAAAAAAUAUUAUUUGAAUAGUUGGAUCCAAAAUUAUCAACCUAUUGGAUCUAAAUGCUAAGAUUUUGAUCCCAAAAUAAAUGUAGGUCUAAAUUGAUCAUAUUGGGUAAUACCAUUAAAUUAAUAUUGCAAUAAUCAAUCUUAUUAUCCUAGUAACAUAAAAUUUAUUUUACAAAUCUCACCUAGAUUUAUGUCACAUGAUCUUUAUAAAAUUUUAAAAAUUCUUCAUCGAAAUUCAAAAGUUGUUUAAGUUAUUCUCUACACUUGAUACGGCUAUAGAUCAAGCAAUGUAGAAGUUUUUGUACCCCCAUUGCAUAUGAAAAUGAUUCUUCAAUAAGCACAAGAUUCCAGAAUCCAACAUGAGAAAAAUUAAUUAAAAAAUCAACAACUAAUAGUUUUAGACAAUUACAAAAAGAGAGAACAAGAAGCCAAAAAAAAAAUAAUCAACUUAUGGUUAGAUAAGGUGGCUUACUAGAAAACAGAAACACAAAUAUCACAAGCCAAAACCUAUGUAUAAAAAGAAAAAAUUAUUACCAUAUAAAAAUCCAAGGAAUAAAAAAUCUAUUGGUGAUGCCAUAUCUUAGAUUUUAUUUUCACAACAAUUCUUUUACAAAAUACCAAAGUUGCCAUUUCCAAGUUCAAAUGUGUUUUGUAUUUAAAAUGGAUACUUUUUGUCAUUUUAAGAAGAGUUAAUAAAGAAAUAAAAUAUGUGAUGUGACAAUAUUGUUUGCCGAAUAUAAAAAAAAAAGCGAGGUCGCUCCAAUGGUUAAAAAAGAACUGUUAGGUCUUCUCCGUUAGUGGAUUCACGAUUCGAAUUCCGUGCUUGACAGUUGAGAUUGAGAAGAAUAUAAGAAAAAGUGAAAUGACUAAAAAAGAAAAAAUGAAAGCCUACAAUGACAACGUGAAGUAUUAAAGCCCAUGCCAUAGCCCUAAAUUUAGACCCAAACAAAGCCCAUUGGUCAAACCUCCACACCCCCAAACAACAUAGCGAGUGAGACUAGGAUUUGCAACCGUGUGGAACAAGGAUUAGGAUUUGCCCAUUGUUGCUAUGUAAACAUACUAGCAUGGUUCUAGCCGCGCUAUGCAGCGGCCUACCCACUGGUAUGAACAGCUUAAUCCGUGACAAUGAGGAUAAUUUCCUAAAACAUCAUCAUGUAUAUAUAAGCUCAAGAGGUAAAUACUAUGCAAAUCACAAUAAUACAUUACAUAAACUCAAUCAUUCAUGUCUUAGUAGAAUAGAUACUUGGAUGCCAGCCACAGUUACAUAUUAGGAGGCUUAAAUAAGCUUCAUUGCCCAAUGAAGUACAGCAUUGAUGGUUAAACUAUUACUAAGUAUAUUACGAUCCAUUACUUUUUAAGUCAAAAGAAUAAUGGAUCAUAAUAUAAUUCAAAAGAUAUUGUCUAAGCAAUGGAGGAAAGGCAAUGAACAAAAGAUUUAACAAAAGUACAGAAAUAGGCCAUAUUAGUCUUCCUUUGCUUUAGCUUUCUUGGUUGGACUAUCUUUGAUAUUUGCAGGUGGACCAUACAGUUUUGCAGGUUCUUUGGCAAACUCUUCAGGAGCCUUUGUUGGAUGUUUAGCAUGUGUGUCUGCUGGUAAAUCUUCUGGAAACUCAAGGCUUCAUUUUGCUCCACUGGUUGCAGAUGUCUGGCUGUCUUUGUAAGAACUGGCUCCAGCAAUUUCUUCAAGUACCAACUUUGUGCUUGGUGUGAACAAUUGAAGCUUAUUUAAGUCAGCAUAUUUAAGUUUGUCUUUUUGUUUCUUUCCAACAUUCUUAGAUCAGGGGAAUCAUCAAACAUUUCAUCUAUCAAUCUAAAACCUGUACUAAAUUUUCUCUUUUUUUUUUCAUUUUGAAACACAAAAAAUCAAAAUCUAAUUUUACUAUAAACAAAGCAAAAUGCUAAUCCAAAGGCACACAAAAUGACAGAAUCAAAGCAUCCUAGAAUAGCUAAAACUAAGUAAUAUAUAUAAAAUGACAACCUUAAUAAGCCAAAGGACAAUGAUACUAAAUGAUGUAAUUAUUGAAUAGAUAAGCAGCUAACAGCAUCAUGCAACAUUUGAAAUAAAAAACAGAGGGAAAAGUAAACUAUCAUAGCAUAACAUCAAACACAUUGCAUUCCUUAAUUAAGAGAAAGCAAUAAACAGAGGCAACAACAGUGAAAAAAAAACUUGCAGUUCAAAAUAGAAGGUGAUAAAAUAGAAACAUACCUAUAUUUUCUUUGCUCGCCUGAAUGUUGGCAAAAGUCCGGCAGCAUUUGAAAAUAAUAUAAAAACAGAGAAAAAAAGUAAACGUAAGCUAAUCGAAAAAAUAGCAUCAUAAUUAUUCUUUUAUUUAUAAUAUCAAACACAUGGCAGUCUUUAAUUAACGGAAGGUAAGAACAUGGCAAUAAAUAUAAAUAAUAAAUAAACAGAAGGUAAGAACAUUCAUCAAACUAAAAAAUUGCAACUUAAUAUGCUGACUGAAAAAUUGACAGAAACUAAAAUUAGUUGCUCAAACUAAAAUUUGCAGCUCAGUCAUCAAACUAAAACUAAAAAAUUGCAGCUCGAAAUAGAAGGAAAGAGAAUAGGAAUUACCUAGAUUUUCUUCGCUCGUCUGCUGAAUACCGGCAAAACUGGGAAACAGAGGUAUAUAUAGAGUUGGAAAUAGUAAGUUCUGAAAGCUAUAGCAUAGAUGAUAAGGCGGUAGAACAGCCAUCCCUAAAAUGAGCUGAUUUUGGGGAAAAAGAGAUUUGAGUGAGCUGUUUUUUGGGGAAAAAGAAGAAUUCACGCGAAUGUGGAUGAUUUUUUGAGAGGUAAUCGAAAGGAAGUACAAUUAGUUGGUGGAAGUACAAUUAGUUGCUCGAGGAAUUGACAGAAAAUUGAAGAUUUUGCAGGCUUCUAGAUUUUGGGGGAAAAAAUUUUACUGACCUAAUUUUUGGGGCAGGACAAAAAUUCACGUGCGUGUGGAGGAUUUUGUGGGUUGCAAUCAAAAGGAAGGACAAUUGGUUGUUGAAGGAAUUGGUAGAAAACUGAAAAUUUUGCAGGCUGAUUCGACGGGAAGAAAGCGGCUAUUUGAGAGAAAGAAAGAGGCUACUCGCGGGAAAAAAGGGAAAGGGAAAAAGGGGGAAGGAAAUUCUGGUAAAUGAAGAAGAAGGAAGCUCGAUGACUAAUAAGACCAUUAAGCUACUGUUGACUAACUUACAUCAUGAGUCAUCAGUCAUACUAAUCAUGCUAACAGGCAGGAACAUUACUUCUAACGGGUAUGACUGCAUUAAUUUGUAUAAUUAUAUAAUUAAUAAUAUAAUGUAAUUCAAAACAGCCCAUGUGAUAAAAAAAUCCACAAAUAGUCUACAAUUAUUGCAUUUGACCAGAAAAUUAUCAAAGAGAUAUUUUCAAAUAUACAAAAAUAACACUAAAUAGUUAGCAACUAUUUAAUGAGCUAGUUUUCAUAAAAAGAUUCAAUUGACCUUUCAAACCAAUUAAAAACCAAUCAAAAGGAACAAAUAAAAAUAAUUAUAUAAUGUAAUUCAAAACAACCCAUAAUGUAAUUCAAAAGAACCCAUGUGAUAAAAAAACCCACAAAUAGUCUACAAUUAUUUGCAUUUGACCAGAAAAUUAUAAAAGAGAUAUUUUCAAAUAUACAAAAAUAACACUAAAUAGUUAGCAACUAUUUAAUGAGCUAGUUUUGAUAAAAAGAUUUAAUUGACCUUUCAAAUCAAUUAAAAACCAAUCAGAAGGAACAAAUGAAAAUAAUUAUAUAAUGUAUUAUAUAAUGUAAUUCAAAACAACCCAUGUGAUAAAAAGGUCCACAAAUAGUCUACAAUUAUUUGCAUCUGACCAGAAAAUUAUAAAAGAUAUAUUUUCAAAUAUACAAAAAUAACCCUAAAUAGUUAGCAACUAUUUAAUGAGGUAGUUUUCAUAAAAGGAUUCAAUUGACCUUUCAAACCAAUUAAAAACAAAACAAAAGGAACAAAUAAAAAUAAUUAAACCAUUGUUACCAAUUAGCCCCUAAAUAGUAAGGAACUAUUAAGACCUUUAAUUUCAAGACCAAGGCUCAAAUAGGCAUUUCUCACUCUUUGAAUCCCAAAAAUCAGAAAACAAACUCCUUCCUAACUCCUUCCUCUAACAAUAUAUUGACACUUGGCAUUAAAGGGAGAACUUGAGUUGUUCUCUUAUCUAGUAGGUAGAUAGGGGCGGAUACCCCCUGUAUCAGAAAAAAAAAAAAACAUAUAGGGGCGGAUAAAUCUUCGAACUUUUUCAUUCUUGAGCCUCUGUUUCCUAACUUCUUGUUUUUUUUAUUCUUCUUGAAAGAAUUUGGUACUGUAUGGAUUUUAUAUGGUUAUGAUGAUUAAGAAAUAAAUAAACAUUUCGGCAAAUACUUUUCAAAUUUUCUAAAUGUUGGACAUGAUGGUUGCGAAAUGAAUUGGCAUUUAGAUUUGUUAGCAAAUGUGAAGGAUAUGAUGGUUAAAAAUAAAUUAACAUUUCGGCAAAUAAUAUUUGAAUUUUCUAAAUGUUGGACAUAAUGGUUGCGAAAUGAAUUGUCAUUUAGAUAUAUUACAAUUUAAUAUGACAUGUUUUUUGUAUUGUGUUACAAAAAAAUUUCUUUUGUAAUGCAUGUUUGCACUAGGUAGACGGUAGCUAAUUUUUUUUUAAAUUUUUAAGCAAAAUGCGAGUAAAAUUUAUGAAGUGAAAAGGUGGAAGGGAUGACUACAAAUUAUUUAAAUAUUUCAUAGAUUAAGUUAUUAUUUAUAAAUUUCUAUAUUUUAUGUAUUUUCAUAUCUAUUUAUUUUUUAUAACAUUCUUUGUAACCGUGCAUAGCACGGAUUUCUAGACUAGCUAAAACAAAAGAGAGAAGAAGAAGAAGAAAAAAUACUCAACUUAUGAUUUAAUGAAGGUGGCUCUACUAGACAACAAAAAACACAAAUAUCACAAGCCAAAACCUAUAUAUAUAUAUAUAUAUAUAUAUAUAUAUAAAACUACUACCAGACAAAAACCCAAGGAAUAAAAAAUCUGUUGAUAAUGCCAUAUCUUAGAUUUUAUUUUCACAACAAUUCUUUUACAAAAUACCAAACCUACCCUUCCCAAGUCCAAGUGUAUUUUGUGUUUAGAAGGGGUACUUUUUUAUCAUUUUAAGAAAAGUUAACAAAGAAAUAAAAUAUGCGAUGCGGCAAUAUUGUUUGCCGAAUGUAAAAAUGUGGGAUCGGUGCAGUGCUUAAAAGAGAGUUCUUAGUAUCUUUUUCACUAUUAGAUUCACGAUUCGAAUCCAUUAUGUACUUGAAAGUUAGAGAUGAGAAGGUUGAAAGUUAGAAAUGAGAAGGGCAUGAGAAAAAGCGGGAGAAUUAAAAUAAAAAAAUGAAAACCUAAAAUGACAACAGGAAGUCUUAAAGCCCAAGCCAUAGGCCUAAAUUCAGACCCAAAGAAAGCCCAUUGGUCAAAUGACCACGCCCCUAGAAGACAUAUUGAGUGAGACUAGGAUUUACAACCGUGUCGAACAAGGAUUGUGAUUUGCCCGUUGUUGUUACGUAAACAUAUAGGGGUGGAUAAAUCUUCGAACUUUUUCAUUCUUGUGUCUCAGUUUCCUAACUUCUUUUCGCAACAAAACAGGAUGUGGAUCAGAGAAAAAACUCUCGGCAGUGGUAGCUUUGGCUUUGUGUCGAUAGCCAAGACUAUCCCAAGCAGCUUCCCGGACGAUGAAGAAGAUCAAUUGUUCUUUGAUCUUCCGCCCAUUAUCGCAGUCAAGUCAGCAGAGUUUUCCUGUUCUGAGUCUCUUCAGAGGGAGAGAUUAUUGCUUCAUGAAUUUCAGAACUGCCCACAAAUCAUCCAUUGUUAUGGUGCCGACGUAAGCGAAGAAGACGGUCAUUUACUGUAUAACAUGUUGCUUGAGUUUGCCUCUGGUGGAAGCUUGGCGGAUUACGUUCAUGGUUCUCAAUAUGGUUUGCUUGAGGAGGAAGUUAAACAGUUUACACGAUCGGUGCUUCUGGGAUUGAGUUACAUUCACGCAGAGGGUUAUGCGCAUUGUGAUAUAAAGCCGGCCAAUAUCCUACUGGUUGAUGACGAAGAGGGAAACAGAACGGCAAAGAUUUCUGAUUUUGGGCUCGCAACAAAGGUUUCGAAAAGGCGGACAGGGAGGAAAAGAAAGAAGGGUAACAGGGGAACGUUGUUUUAUAUGGCUCCUGAGUCAGUUAUGUUUGGUGAAUAUGAUUCUAAGGUGGAUAUUUGGGCACUUGGUUGUACUGUUAUAGAGAUGUUCACCAAGAAACCCGCCUGGGACUUUGAUUUUGGUCAAUGUACUGAUCUUGAUGAUUUCGACGAGUUUUUUGACCGGAUUAAGAAUGAAGAGGUGGAAAUUCCACGUGGGUUGUCGAAGGAUGCUCAGGAUUUCCUGGCAAAGUGUUUGAUCAAGAAUCCUGGAUUAAGGUGGACUGCAGAUAUGCUUUCGAGUCAUCCGUUUGUUUCAGGUUUGGACAAAGCUCCUGUUGAUCAGGAAAUCUCAGAGGAAUCAGCGUUUAGUCCAAUGUCAGACGAACCAAGGAUCGGAAGCUCUGAGGAUGAUGAAUCAAGUAAGGACAUGGAUUCGAUCAAGCCAAUGUUGCUGCUGAAGAAUCUUGCUAGACUGGAUAAAGUUGCAGCAGAGAACUCUGUUUCUGACAGGAGCUUGGGCCUGAAGCCAACACUGAAUGAAUCCGUAUCAGAGAAAUCCUAUGAAUUCCGACUCUUCAAGAGGAGAAAAGGAUUGGAUCCUGAAGUUCUUUAUGAAGGAAUCCAGUGCAAUGCCAAUUUUGGAUUUUUACAAGCCUGUUGAUUUGCUUGGGCAUGAACAGAGAAGUCACAAGACUGCAUCUCUUUUGGGGUUUCUUAAUCUUUUCAAUGAGGGAACUUACUUUUUUUUUUUUUUCUAAUUCAGAUACUGAUUAGUGAUUAGAGCGUACAUUCUUCAAAAAACACGUAGGUUUUAUACUUUGUUAUUCAGGCUAAGCUUAUAAGGUGGUUGUUUUUUUGACCUUUUUGAGCCUCAAAAUUUGAGGAUAUUCAAUUACAUACUUGAGCAUGUGAAUGACUCUUAUUCUGCAAUUGUAACUGGCAGUCGUUUCUGAAAUCGAUUCAGGAUUUCAAGCUGUGCUGCAAUUUGUCUUUUCUUCCUUCUACUGAAAAUAUUCAAUAUGCCAUGUUGGUUUUACUCCAGAUUUUUGGCUUUAUAGUGGUUAAAUUGUACUGGAACACUAUUGUCAGAAUACUGAAGACCUUUUUUUUUUUUUUUUUUUAAUUUCUAGCUGGGAACUUCAGCAUUGUUCAUUAAGCAAUUUCUGAUUCUUUGGGAUAUCCAUUUGUUUCAUAGUGGAUGAUGUCUAUCCUUUUUAGUCAUAUCCAGAUGAUGCCUCUGUUAUUUGGGGUAUAUCACAAGUCUUCUAUUUGUCCAUCUGUUUCAAUUUUUUUUUUUGUCGAAACGAUAGCUUUGUAUUUCAUUUCUAAAACUUUACAGUAAAUGGACAAAGGUCCAAUCAAAAGGACAACAGUCGUACAUAUGACAAUGAUGCAUUAGCAUCUAAAAGUGGGAUUAACCCACUCUUCAUCUACCCAAAUGUUAAGAGCAUGCAUGCUCAGUUUAAUGCUAUCUACCUUCCCCGAAACUGCAAAAGAGAAAGAGCACUGAUGAAACAGAUUACAAAUGGACUUGAUAUCCUCAAUAAGAGUAGCUACUCGCCAGUUGCUGUACCUUGAUUCCAUAAUAUCUUCCACUAGUCUUUGAUUGUCCAGCUCUACUGUGAUUCUCCUCCAUCCUUGGUUGGCCGCUUUUAGUAAAGCCAGUCUCACUGCUUCUGCUUGAUCUUGCACUUGUCCAUCUGUUUCACGAUUAGAUGACUUCUGUAUUUUAGGGUAUAAGAUUUCUGUUAUUGGUUCUAAAUCUCCAAACAGAUAGGCCCAUCUUAAUGCAUUUUAUGAUUUGUUCUUGUAACUUUUUUGGUUGCUGCAACUUCUUUUUUCUUACAAGAAUAUCACUGUUUUCUUCUUUUGUGGAAGUUGUAGCAGCCAUGAGAUGAAAGACUAGUGAAGUUAGAUCUUUCCUAACAAAAUUGCAUUCUCAUUCUAAGUUUUUGGAGCACUUUUAUUGACCUAAAAGCCUCUUAAGAAAUGAAUGUAAAAUGCAAAAUGUGAUUGAAAGUUGGAAACUUGAAUAUGAGAGCAAAUUUCAUUACUAAAUGAGCCAAUGAGCUGAGAUGAUAUGCAUACAACACAUUACAUUACCACAUCUGGCCUUGGCAUGGGAAAAAAAAGAGUAAAAAGGAGAAAAAUUAGAAAUACAAGAAAACCUAAACAUUGAACCUAAUAAAGAAUAUAGUAUGGUUUACAAUACACUAAGAAAAAAAAUCAGGAAAAAAUUAUUGGGAUAUAGCCAAUUCUCCAAUUGAAAAUUGUGUUCAUAUUUUCUCAAACAAAUAUCUUCUGUGGUUUGUAUGGGACAUUGUCUCCUAUGGUUGGUGUAUAUAUAUCUGAUCUCCUUUGAGACUCUUCACCAGAACUAUAGUAUCUUUUGUUCUUUGCAUGUUUCAUCAUCUUUGUCAUGAAGUCUGCUUAGUGGAAGAAUACCAGAGCUUCUUCUGGCAAAUCAAUAUCUUCUCCUUGUCAACACCAUACUCUGUAUCUUCUUUACGGCAUCCCCAUUUCAUGCCCUUAGCUAUGGCUGCAACAGCAUCAACAUAAAAGCUGGACUCACGGACGAUUGCAUACCCGUUAGGCCGCAAUAUGCGAUCCAUCUCCAGCAAGAUGUACUUCAUUUCACAUCUGCACAUAUAAAGAAGUGAUAAUGAGGAACAACAGAAUCAGCAACUGAGUCUUAGAUUAUAUGCACCAUUUCUACCAUUUUCGUUUAGUAUCGCAAAAGUUCAGCAACCCACAAGUUUGUAGCUGGUAUUAUAAGGACCAAGGACCGGUAUUAUAAUCACGUCACAUAUAUCAGCCAAAUGCAGGCCAAACACAAAUCUAACAACAUAAAAUUCUCCUGUAUAAUCUAAGACUUCAUGGAUUGCUAUGACUUGUAUAUUGGCACAAGAAUGCACACACAUGCACAGACACAAAGAGAGCAAGGAGGUAGCAAAAUGAACUCCAAAUGCUUCUGCAGCUACAUACAGUGGUAUACUUACCCCCAAGCAAUGCCUGUGUUUCAAAAGCAACGGCCGAAACUUAAACAUAAAAAAGCAUUACUUGAACAUCAAAGAAAAUCCUAACAAAUACUCUUCAGAACCAGCAAAGAAGAAACAGGCCCAAGCUGUUUCUUCCAACUUAUUUCAGGUCCAGAUGGCUAAGAACUACAAUUAUAUUGCCGCAUAAUUGACCCACAUCAACAGCAAUGAAGAUAUGUGCAGACAACUAGCAGAAGGAAUCAUAAAGAUGCCCAUACCUGUGGCUUUCAGCAGUGAAGAGGCCAUCUACAUGAAGUAUAUCGUAAGUUCUUGGAUAUGUUGAAAAAGCCUCGCACCUUCAAAUUCACAGAAAAGUAAAUAAGAGAAACAACAACCCAGAACAAAAUUUAUGCUGCAAUACUUGCAAACCAGGAUAAUACACAUUUUGCUUCACACAUUACCAGUCAUGGUAGGUUCCAAUAAGGCCCCGGUCAAACACCACAGCAAGUGUAUUGCUUGCAUAUGAGGAAACCACAUUCAUCACCCACAAGGGAUCAUCAAUCAAAGCCGCCGCAAAACCUCCAUACAAUGUGUUCAUAUCCAUCACAUUUCUUAUCUUAUCCGUCCCGAUUGCAGGCAACAACUUCUUAUAGUGCUUAGCUCGUGCCUUCCAUUUACUAUCAUCAUGAUUGAAAGCACCAUCACUGCCACCACGAACAUCUGUAACACGUUCAGGAGCAACAUGCAGUCUUUGGGGCCAUUUGGGAAUUGAUUUCAACCCCAAUUUCUUGUACUUAUUAUCAGGAACAACAGCACAAGGCCGAAGUGGAGUGUACCAAGCUGAAUCUGGCUCAGUACCAUCAUCACACUUUGUUGGGUAGUUAUCUGGAGAAUCAAGCUUCUUGUAGCAGUUAUUAUCUGAAGAUUUCUGCCACACAGCAAUAUCAUCCUUCUUCUUGUAAAAUGUGAAGCACAUGGAAGUAAGCAAUUCUUGCAAUUUUUCAUAGUCUGAUUUCUGCUCUUCAAUAGUAGUAUUCCAUCCUCUCCAGCGGUUUUCAUAGUUCACAGGUGGGCCAGAGAGAACCCAAAAACCCCCAGGACGAAGUAUACGAUGUAUUUCAAGAAGGUAAAUUCCACCUGAAAUAAAAAGGAGAUACCCAUCAUCCAAUAAUGCCUUGGAAAUCAUUGCAGCAUUCCCUAUACCUACAGCUAUAAAUACAAUGCUGAAGAAUUGCAGUGAUCAAUUUUUAUUGCUGAAAAAAAAAAUGAGAUUCCCAUCAUCCAAUAAUGCCUUGGAAAUCAAUGCAGCAUUCCCUAUAUCCACAGCUAUAAACACAAUGCUGAAGAAUUGCAGUGAUCAAUUUUUAUUGCUGGUCAAAUUAACAGACAUUAUUCUGUCAAACUUUGACUCUCAAAUGAUAGCUAGAUAAUUCGGGGGAUUCUAUAUCCGAACAUUUGCUUAAUACUACUCACCGAAUUCAGUCCAUGGGAUAAGGCAUCUUGAGCAAUGAGCCAUGUCAAAUGAAUUUGAUGGAAAAGGAAGUCUCUGUGUUGAAAUGAUUCCCAAAAUCGCAGGAAUCCCACGUUCAAGAGCAAACUGAACUUGAGCCUCAUGAUUAUCUCUUGGUGCAAGGGAGACUGUCAAAAUAUUGUGGUCUAGUAAAUCACCUCCCCAGCUUGCAACCUAGAGAUAGCAAUGAAAUUUAAAAGAAUAAGAAAUCAAGUCUUAACCAUUUACUCGAAAAUAUUGCACGAAAGCAACAUGCCUAACACCUUUACAAUCAUUAGUUUUCUUAUGUUAAACUAUUGUUUAUUCUAGUAGAUCACAACACUCCUCACCUCAUCCCUACCAAAGCCCAAAAGGAUAAUAAAACUAGAACAGCUUCAAAACCCGUUUGUACAAUUUUCUUCAUCAGGAUAAAAAAACAGACUGUUGUACUGAAUCAGAAUGUAGAAGUCUUUACUUAUGAUCCCUAAAGGAAAAGUUAAAAGCACAGUUUACCAUAGGGGCUCCGAUCUCUGGACAACUUGAAGCAUAAAAGUUACCGUUGAAGCAAGAAGGACUGUAUCCAAUUAUUAGAAUUAAAUUACAUCAACAACUUAAGAGAACAUCAAAAUUCCUUUCGAUAGACCAUUGAUGAAAAUAAUAGCUUUCCAGAUAUUUUAUAAUCCAACGGAAAAAGGGGACAAUGAAAAAGGAAAAACAAUAUUGGUAGUGUUGGUAGUGUUGAUACAGAAACCAAACACAUAAUAAGUAACACAGACUCACCCCACACCCAGUAUCAAUGGCAGUGCGGAUAGUCCCAUCCUUCAUUCCGGGAAUGAGUUUCUGCAUCCGAUCAACAUACUCUCCAACUCCGUUGGGGAACAUGGUACCUCCACCAGGAAAGAGGAACUUGUCCCCUUCUUUCUUCAGCCAAUGUUGAUUGGACUUUUGUUUGUUAAUCCAGUCAUAUGGAACAUUUCUAAAUAGCAACCCCAUUUAGGAAUGUCAGAACAAGACAAAACGUUCAAAAUUUGAACUGCCAAGCAAAUAGAUGCAAAGAUGAAAUUAUAUCAUGCACUAUUACCUGUACCAACACUGAUCUCGGCUCUUAGGCCAUCUGAUGGGCAACUUAUAGCCAUCUGGCGGGGGAACCAAGCAUUCUUUCCUUUCAAAUGCUGGAGGGCAAUGCCUUUCUAGAAAAGUCAGCCGAUGCAAACCAUACUUCUUCCAUCUCUGUUACACUAAUCGUUAUUAGUGUCACUCAAUCAAUGGAGCACAGGCAAGUAAAUUUCAAUUACCAGCUCCUAAAAUGCUCAAUAACAUGAGAUAGUAGUUAAAAAUUUACCCUUGGAUCAGUGCAUGGAGUGUAGUCCUGAUAAUCGAGGCCACAUUCAGGAAAGGAAACAUCAUUUAUUUGGAGAGGGCCUGCAGCAAUUGACUUGGUUGAUUCAAUUGCAUCUUCAACAGUUUCAUAUCUGUCCUUCUCAGAACAAAAGAUUCCUCCAAGAUAAAAUGAAAAGCCACAUAGCACGAUAAACAUUAUUGCCAUGGGAACUGUCCUUGAACUUUUAUCUGGAUGAGAUGACGGUUUUCCAUCUUUCUCCCUGUGCUUCAUGAUCCCAAAAAUUGAUCAACUAACUGCAAGUGGAAGAACAAGGGUUAAAAUCAAAACCAGAAUAUAACUACACAGCCUGCUCUAUCGUUGCCAAGAACUCCAAAUCAACUUCUUCACUUUUCUCUUUGAUUAGCAAUUAGGAGGGGUGGUGGAAGGGGUGAAGAAGCUAACUGGAAGCUACUACUAGCACUAGAAACUACCGAAGGAAUUCCAGAAUUUGAUCCAAAGGAAUCUUAUAGAUCACAAAAAUUUUCGGGCAAAAGAAUAAGAAUUCAUUGAAAGAAAACAAUUUGGUAGCUUCAGAUAAUCUAUAUGAAUAGCAGAGCUGAUAUCUCUUUACCAAUCCAAGCAAUUACUUAAGCAUGGAAUCUUCUAAAUUAGAACCAAGAAACUGAUGCAAACAGAACCUAAACUUUACCAACAGCUUCAGUUCAUGAAUGCAAUUGACUGUCUCAAAAAAGAAAAAUAGGGACUGCAGAGUUCAAUGCAUGCAGAUCUAGUCAAAAACUAGGAGAUCUGAUUGCAUCUACUAUGGAAGAAUAGAACUUUGAUGUUACUUUAAAGACUUAAAAUUCCACAUGAUAUGGGCCCAAAUGCCUGGCCUUUUAUAAAAUUCCGCCGUCCUAAAACUAACUGAGGGCCCUCUUGGCCAAUAAGUCAGCAAAAGAUAAUGGGGAAGAAAAGGGGAUGCUGAAUCAAUCAGUCUCACACAAACAACUCAACUAAACCAUGCAAAACCCUCCGAAAGGAAGAAAAAGAAAACUACUCCUAUCAUAUUCAUUAACUGGUAGGAAAAUCAAAUAAAACAACAUAUAAAUAUUUACUGGUUGAUAAAAUCAUCACUUUAAAUUAACGAAAAGUUGCUACUUUCUAAUGAUCACUAUAACCUGAAUCACAAGAAUUCAAUCAAGACACAGGCAAAGCAAAUCUUCCGACACACACCUUCCCAACUCCCAAGAAUGCAUAAAUUUUAGAUCAAAAUCAUGUCUUUGCAGUUCAUUUCCUAUAAAUUGCAUAAAACUUUUCUACAUGCAUUGACAUGUUAAUUUUUAAAUGAAAAUCAAAGAAAGCUGCGAGUGUUUCUUGAAACCCAAUUUUUUAAAAAACAAAUCUUGAGCUAUGCAUUCAUCUAUAGUAACAGAAAACAAAGAACCAAGAAUGAAAAGAGUCCAAAACUCGAUCUAUUUCAGGUAAUUGAGGAGAUCCCUUUUCGGAAAAUAGGCAAAAAUUAUCAAUCGAAACCAAACAAACAACAAACAGGGCCAUAAACAGAAGACUAGGUAAUGUGAAGGAGAAAGAACAAUGCAAAUGAUCUGCCAGAGAUCUGACAAAUGAUAAAGCACUAAACAGCGAGUAUAAAACAGAGCAUGAAAGAGAAAAGGACCAUACAAUGCAGGUUCAGAGAUAAUCAACAAAGAUGAGAAAGUACCUCUGUAUUAUGUAUACAAGUAUCUCUAUAAAAAAUUUCUCUAUAUCCAAUUUUCCCUCUGCCGACUCUUGCAGAAUUCUACUUAACACUCGUAGGCUAAGAAAGAUCUAUAUUCAGAGAGGAAGAAGAGGAGAAUAAAGGCAAAGGGUCUUAUUCUUUCUUAUAUGAAAAGUGAGAAAUGGGAGAGAGGCAAAAGAGUGAGAGAUAUAUAUUUCUGUCCUCGGUCUCAGCCUCAGAAGAAGGACAAGAGAUCAAGAAACAUAUCAAAUUCAAGAUAGAGAUAGCGAGAGAGGAAGAGAUGUGAAGCAGAGACGGGGUGAAGGGGUGGAGGCCUUAUAAUAGGGAAGGAAAAUCAGAAAAAAACAAUUUUAAUGUGAAUCUGUUUCUAAAUCAAUCCAUUUCUAGCUAUCCAUUUGGUUUUUUCACGUGCAUGUAUGUCAAAUCUUUUUCUCUUCAAAUUUUAAAGAAAAAGAAAAAACACACCAUAUAUUUUUUUUUUGUCAAUAAACUAUUUUUCUCUCCUCUCUGGUUUUAUGCCUUGUGUCUUGCUAUCUCUCUCUCUCUCUCUCUCUCUCUCUCUCACACACACACACAGUAGGCUUCCUGCCUUUCUUGGUCCCUUCCGUGAGAUUUCUCUCUCUGGGAUGAAUUGCAUGUCAUGAUUAUGAUUAUCAGGUGAAGUGUGAGAAAGCAAUGAUUUCUAUUUUCUACCAGUUUACUAGUAUUAAUCAGGUAGGCUAAACUCUUCUGUAGUUAUCACAAGUUUGUCCCUCUGGAGUUUUCUAACUUCUAAGCUGGGGAGUGGUUUUUUUGCUAUUGACCAAAAAAUAAAAAAUAAAAAAAAGGAGAAAGAGUAGAUUUUGUUAAUCUUUAUGGGUUUUUUCUCUCUUUUUUUUUUUUAACAUUGCUUAAAGGUUUUAUAAAUGUUUUAGGAAUCUUGUUCCUCUUAGACUCUACCAACUGUUUAACAGAGGUUAAGUUAGCCAAUGAACGGUUUCCACGUAGGCAGUUGGAGAAAAGUUUGUACUUUGUAGGACUACUGAGUGUAGGUAAAGGUUCAGGUGGCUAAUCACGAACUGCCACGUAAGUUGCUGGGGGGAAAAGGUUUAGUUAAUGCGGUAUUUGUAAACGAGUGAGGUCCACGAUAAGGAUUUGAUGCAUGGGGAAAGGUAUAAAGGUCUGACCCAUUGUAAAUCCAAAGGCCAAUUAUUGGUUCUGAAUUUUAUCUUUUCUUUUUUCUUUUAUUCUUUUCUUGUCUUCGUUUCUCCCCAUUGUCAAUUGCAUGCAUGGAUAAAAGCUCCUCAAUAUUGUGAAAUCAUAGUCAUGUGUGUAUAUAUAUACACAUAGGUAUAUAUAUAUAUGGGUGAGAUUUAAGAAGCUAGAGGGGAUAAGGGAUUAAAAUUCAGGAUAUCCAAUUUUUGGUAUUACAAUUUUAACCAUUAGAUCAAAAUUUUCUCGACCAUGCAAAAUUGAUUUUGCAUAUUUGUAUUGUCAAUUAAUGUGAAAUCAUAUAGUCAUACAAUUUUUUUUGCUAGAUAUUCAAGUUUGAGUGGUUGAAUUUGGAUGAGAAAGAAAAAUAAAAGUGUCGAUCACUCUUGGGCAAUAAGUAGUGAGAUGAUCUAGAAAAUUCUAGUUGCAAUUAUUAAGAAGUGCACUAGACGUUGUUCUUUUUCACAAAAAGGUAAAAUUUUCUUUUGCAAAAGUGUUGCAUUUUAGAAAAUAAUUCUAAAAUUAUCAUUGUUUUUUUUUUGUGUGCUUAUCAUUUAACCACAGAAAUGAAAAAAAAAAGCCUUAUUAAAAUAUUUGACAUGAUGAAAAGACAAAAGUAAAUAAUUGCAAAAAAGUUUGGGUUGCUAGACACCAAACAAGAUGAAAAAUAUUGAUUUAUUUUUCUUUGAUGAGCAAGAAAAUCUCUUCCUUGAAUUAUUGCAUAACAAAAUUCAUUGCAUUAUGAAAUUAAGAUAUUUAUACAUAUUAAACAUCCUAAUUGAGUUGACCAUAAAACAUUGAAAAACAAAAAAAAAAAAAAAAUAAGGCUGCUAAGAAUUUAUAUCAUCAAAGUGAGUGAGAGCCAGCCAAGUCAUUGACGGUGCUGCAGCUGCAGAUCAGCAAUGCCAAGGCAAGUACCAUAAAGGACAUUAAUUAUUGAAUUCUCUUUUAAUAAUUUUCUUGUUGAAAUUAUCCUUUUUUGAUAGAUCAAUAAACAAUUAAUAUAGGGUUUUUUUUUCAUAAUAGUCACAGUAUUAAAUAUUGUACUUAUUGAAUUAAAAUAGGUUUUUUGUUUCAUAAUACUUAAAUAUUGUACUUAUUGAAAAAAAACAUUUGUACUUAUUAUUGUUUAAGUCUUUGAAUUCUGAAGUUGACGCCCUUCACAUGGUUUUCCUUCCACCGCUAGAUUUAAGGGGCUUUCAUGGAAACAGUCAACGCGGCUUUGAGUUUGACCUUUUGUUCCACGUUUUCACCUCGUCGGUUGUCCCCUCGGAUCUUAUUUAUAUUCUGACAAGAGAAUAAACGCUAGGGGACAAAAGACCCUUACAAAGAAAGGAAAUGUAAUUUAAUAUUUUUUAAUCGUCGGUGUAAGUGGAAAAUCGUUAGGCCAUGCUUGAAUAUCGUCGUUUUCCGUGAUCACAUUUCCCUAUCACCUUUUUUCUUUACAUAUAUCAAAUCGCUACAGUAAUUUUUCCAUGAAAAAUGACGGAAAAUGCAAUCCAAACAUAAUUCCGUCUCACUUUGAUAGGAUUGAUAUUUGUUUUUGACACAGUUUAAGAAAAGUUAUAAAUAAAUCUAACUUGUUAUCUAUCUAAAAUGCUCUUACAUUAAAUGGAAAAGGGCUAAUUAGCUUUGCAUCAACUUAGGUUAUACUUAAUAUUAAUUUACAUUAGACAAGAGUAUUUUAGAGAAGUUACAAGUUAAUUACAUUUUUCAAUUGAAAAAUGGAGUAUAAUUUGGGAUGGAUGAAAAAAAGGAAAACAAACCUAUCGAAGUGGAAUAGAGAGAGUUUUUUUUUUUUUAAGGGAUGGAUUGACUAGUUUGGGGGAUGGAGUGUAAGUGACAGAUUUUGAAUUCGAGUCCUCCUAUUAACGCAUAAAAAAAUUAUAAAAAAUUAUAAAAAACUUACUAUAUUUUAUUUUUUUUAAUGAGGGAUGGAUGAGAUUUAAAAAGUGAGAAAGUGUAGAGGGAUUAGAAUUCAGAACCUCUAUAUUCUAGGGUCCCAACCUUACUUUACUUAAAUUAGCAUUUGAAUGUGUACAUAGACAUAUAUUUUUCCAUUAACAUUUAGAUACUUACCCCACUUUAAUUUUAUUUAUUCAAAAACUAAGAGCUAGUUUUGAAUUUGACUUAUACUCUUUGAGAGCUUUUUAGAAAAAUAGUAUUAUAAAUUUUUUUUUUGAAAUAUGAUAUACGUCACAUAAAAAAUGUGAUUGAAAAAUUAAAAAAUUUUAUCAUGGUCCGCACGAACCGGUUGACAAGUCCAUUAUUUGAUUUUUGACUAAUAAAAAUGCUCUAAAUAAGACUGUGGAACCAACUAAUUCCACAUUAAACACAAUACAAAUAAAAUUUAUGGAUUCGUUAAAAGAAGAAAUCAUGACGCCCACAUUUUAUGAGUCUACCAAGAAGCAAAAAGGACGUUACUUGCACUAAAAACGAAGAGGAAAUAACUCAUGAUCAGAGCAGUACUCAGCACCCAAGCAUUAACUUUUUAUACUUAAAGCUGCUGCAGUAGUCAAGUGUCUAUAGCAUUAAAAAAGGGUUUGCAGGCCCAGCACUUAAGAGAUAUAUUAUAGUACUUAAAUUAAUUAAGUAGUAUUGACUAUUGAGAAAGGGAAUCUUAUAUUUAUUACAUCCAUCCACUCUAACUCUAUGAGUAGUAAUUUGUCGGUCAUAGGCUUGUAGCAUGAAGGUGCAAUUCAAUCCUUCCAUUAAAUUUCUUUUAAAGGGAUAAUUUCAUAAACCUCCCCUGAAAUUUAUGAUAAUUGCAGACAUACCCUUUAGGUUUAAAUAAUUACAGAAACCUCCCUUGAAAAAUACUUUGAAGCUCACUUUGCUGAUGUAAGCAAAAACUCUCCAUUGAAAAUCUUAAAAUGCCAUUAGAUGAUUUUCCUCCAGAAAAAUAGAAUUCCUUAGUUAUGUUAAAGCUCAAAACAUUACUCAUAUACUUUUAUAAAGUUCUCUAGUAAAUUUGUUCCAUUCCGCUAAAAAAAUGUUGAUGCCUACUUGACCAACAAAACUAAUUGAAUAAGAAUCUAUGUGUGGAGGAAAUUAAAGUUUUUAUUUACUCUAAAAUCACUACUAUAUGGAGUAAGAUUGGGUUUAGGUUUUGUAGGUGUUAAUGACAAGAUAGAAGUUCAUCACUCUUGUUCUUCUUUGUUUACUUUUUUCAAAGGAUUUACUAAAUUUCAUUUAAAAUGCAUUAGUUCUCUUCAUGGAGACUUUAAAUUCAACAUUGGAUGAAGGUUAAUUUUGUCAUUUUAAACAAUGAGGGGAGGUACGUGUAAUUUUUAAACUUGAAGAGUAUUGCCUGAAAUUGUUAUAAACCUCAGGGGAGGCUCGUGAAAUUAUCCCUGAGGCUAAUGGGGGACAAGAAUUGAGCUUAGAGGGUAUAAUAAUAGUUGCUUAAAAUUUAUCUAAAGUUUGUUUGCUUCAUCAGGCGGCAAAAUGCCAAAAUGUAAUUAUGAUCUCUCAGUUAUUGGAUUACGAAAAAUUUGCUUGUCGGGAAGAGAAUGAUAAUCCUUAUUAGUAGUAAUUACCCCUUAACAGUAGCACAAAACCAUUUAAAGAGGAAGAAAGGUUUAUGUAGGGAUAUACCAAUACUUUCUUGAAUUAAUUAUGACUCAUCCUAUAGAAUUUUGCAUGGAAAGUCUCAAAAGAUGAUUGAAUUGCUACUUUUUUGUUUAAUUGCAAUUGGAUUAUACUCCCUCCGUCCCGUUUUGUUAGUCUUGGUUUUUUUUUCACACAGAUUAAGAAAGUGUAAUUAAUUUGGUUGGAAACAUAAAUUUAGAUUAAUAAUUUCCUAAAAUACCCUUAUGCUAAUCACGAAGAGUGCCAAUUAAUAUCAGUUACAACUAAUGAAUUAGUAUUGGAAAAACUCAAUGUAUUCAAUGUAGUGGGUUAGUAUUUAAUAACAAUGUAUUAAUAACAAGAUAUUUAAUAAGGGUAUUUUAGACAAUUUGAAAGAUUACUACAUUUCUUAAUGGGAAAGUGGACUACAAUUUGGGACAGACGAAAAAGGAAAACAAGACUAUCAAAGUGGGACGGAGGGAGUAACUCAAUAGUCCCUUGUUGCAUUUAAGAAGAAUAAAUUUGGAAACUUUUAACUUGUUAAGUAAAAUAUGUAUUUUGCACUUAGAAAUACGAAUAUGUUACAAAAAAAAAAGAAAAUAAAAAAUGUACUGAGUAACAGGACCACUAGCAAAUAACUAAAUCUUAUAACUCAAUAAAAAAUAGUUAACAUUAAAUUAAUUGCCUCUAUUAUCCAUGCAUGUAAUGCAAUUAUAAAUUACCAUUCUAAAUUUUUCUUCCUCUGGAUUUUGCAUUAGCAGGAAAUGAUUGAAUAAUACUUCCAUUAAAGGGACCAUUUUGCAUUACCAUUCUUGUAAGUACCAUUUCUUUACUUGUAAUUUUCCUCUUCCGGCUGUAUUUUUUUUCCAGAAAAAUUGGCUUACUUGAUAAGCCACCCUUUGAAGAAACUUAAGCCAAGGAUAAUUGUAUUCCCCCUUCAGAAUUUAUCUUAUUAUAGAAAAUUCUCAGCUGGAGUUUAUGAAAUUUGUCCUUAUCAUCCCAGAGUAAAAGGGGACAAAAGUAAGCUGAUAUAUCAAAUGGGGAAGUUUGAUUUGCUUUUUGGGUUAUCUAACCAUGUUUUAUGGGCAUCUAACACAAUUGCUUCUUAAGAACAAGUUCGUAAAAACAACUUCAGUUUGUACAUUAUUUUUGUUUUGACAUUCUUAGUCUAACAAAAAAAUGUUUUUUCUGAAAACUUGUUUUCUUGUUUGUUUGUUUUUUUGGUUAUGGAGUUUUGAUCACUGCAUCUUCUUGGUUUUUUAUGAUGUAGUUGAACUAGGGUUUGCCUCUUUAGUUGUAUGCUCGUUUCUUGCUGAACAAUGAAAAAUUGCAAGUUUACAAAAAUAUUUUAGGUUUUAACAAAGUUCGAAUUCGCAAAAGGGUUUGAACCUUUGGAGUAAUAAAGCUCGUGUUAGAUUUUAUUUGGAGUUAAAGUGUUUUUGCUAAAAAAAAAAAGUCUUCCUAAUAGAAGAAUUUUUAGAGUGCUUGGAGUUUAACACUUUUGGUUUUAGAGACACUUUUAGAACAAAUUCAUAAUUGGUGCUUAACUAUUUUGUUCUAAAAAUAUUAAAAAUAAAGUUGUGCUGUAUUGUCAUAAAAUUAAAACUAAAUAACUAAGAGUAAAUCUUAUAUACAUUGACAGUGCAUACAUUAUCACCGUUAGAUUCAUGACACAUGUGUAAAAAUUAAAUUUUAAAUUCAAAUUUUGUAUAGUUGUUAUUAAUCCAACGCUGACAGUGUAUACACUAUCAGUGUAGGAAAGAUUACUUCAAUAAAAAAUAUAAAAUCCCAAUACAAAAGAUUCAUGUAUGUACGUUCCAGAAACUAUAGGAUUAGAUAUUAUUAAUUGCUUUUGUUGUAAGUUUCAGUGAAUAAAGUGUGUUACAAUAAACCAACACAAUCCCAAACAUUACUCUCAAUUUCAACCCUGAACCAUUUCAAGUACAUUUACUUUCACUUAUCCUUAAAUUUUCCUAAUGAGGACGAAUUUUUGUUGUUAAUUUCAACUAAUACAGCGUAAACUUACUAUUUCAGGAUUAAGUCAACUGAUUUGAAGUUUACACACCGAAAAUGAACCUUCUCAAAAAGUUCCAACUAAUACCUUCAACGGUAAUUAACCCUUGUUCAUGAAAGUGAUGUAUAGUUACUGGUUUGUGCCGAAUUUUAUCCACAUAAAGUGUUUAAUCACAAUAAUAUAUUCAGUCUUCCUGUUAAGCAUGGCUCCAUAAUCCAAAAAGAUACAGCUUGAAAUGAGCAUAAUAACUAGAUUUAGGGUGUGUCUAACGGGUGCCUUAUGGGUACUCGUUAAGAUAUAUUUUCACGUGUCGUAUUUUUUAAAAUAUAAGAUUAAUUAGAGAGUAAAUAAAUACAAGGGAGGGUAGGUAAGGUUAAAUAGGAAAAAUAUAUAAAUAUAAGGGAGGGUAAUAAUUUUGAGUAUUUGCAUAUACAUGGUAGGUUAGGUGAAUUUUAAGUGUGUUAACGAGUGACUUAUGGACACCCAUUACAAAAAAAUCCCUAGAUUUAUAUAUUUAACGAAAUAUAAAAUGUAUUAUAUUAGUCAAUCUAAAAUUAUCUCAGAUUUUCUGGUUUAAUUCCAAUGUUAUUCAGUAGGGUUGAAAGACUAAUCAAACUAUUCAAUAGUUGAAUUGAACUUGACUCGUUGAGAGUUCAUUUGAAUUUAGUUCACCAAUUAAUUUAACCAAACUUGACCAAUAAUCUGUGUUUGAUAAACUUUUAAGUUCAAUUCAAACUUGAUUCAAUUAGCAUGUAAAUGAAAUUUAUAUGUAAAGAGUUCAACCUAUUCAAUCUCGUCUCGAGUUCGGCUCGACGAAAGUUCGUUUGGGUUUGACUCGAGAAGUAAACAAGCCAAAUUUAAACUUGUUAAAAUAAUUAAACAAUCCAAACUUGGGUGUUUGGCUUAUUUUAGCUCGUUUACAUCCCUAUUUUUAAGACCUACCAUAGUUUAUAAUUUUUUUUUUAAAAAAUCUGUCAUAUAAUGUUUUCAAUUUUUUUUGGAUUCCAAGUUUAAAUUUUCAAAAACCAACUUUUACAAAAAUUCAGUUAAAAACAGGCCUUUCUAGGCUAAUCUACUCCACCUAUCUGCUAUUGCUAAUCUUGGUUCAUGAAGGCAUUCUCAGAAAUUUAUGGAAAUUGUGCAUUUAAUUCUAGUAGUACAAUGCAGUUUUCCAUCAAUUUCAUCAUAUGGGUACAAACAUUGAAUGCUGUACCUAACUUGUCAAGAAUAGAAACAUGUCAUAUGUGAGAUUCAACAAACUUCAUAUAAUCAUAUUUCCCUUUCAAACUCCCUUCUUUCAAAUCAGUAAAUUGAAAUUGUGAAAACCCUUUUGGGACUAUUAUCUAAUAUUAAUUGCAUGUUUUGAAAAGAUUGAUACAACUCAAAAUCACAUGGAGUCAACAUCAGAAUUUACAAACUCCAGCUACCCCAACUGGACAGGAACCUUUUUAACAGUCGAGCAAAAUACAUGCAGUGCGAUGUCGUUUUCUUAUGUUAUUAAUAUCUUUCUUGUGAAUUGUGAUCAACAUAAAAUUAAGUGGUAACGGAAAAUAAUAAGAAUUGACUAGUAAGAAAGUGAAAUCUGCAUCACCGACGCAUUUUUUUUUCUGACUUUAUUCUUUGCUUUAGGCAUUGUCAUUACAGCUAACCCUACUAAAAAGUAUUAGCUUUAUCAAGCAAAUUUUAUUUUUAUUUUACAUACUAUAUAUAGUACUCCUUCCGUCCCACUUUGGUAGUCCUAUUUUUCUUUUUUAUCUGUCCCAAAUUGUAGUCCACUUUUCAAUUGAAGAACGUAGUUGUAUUUUAAUUUUUCUAAAAUACCCUUAUUCAAUGUAAGUUAUUAUUACUAUAAACCUACCCCAUUUAAUGAGAGUUGAUUUUUUUUUUACCAUCAAUUCAAGUUCUCAUAAAGUUGUACUCUAAUUAAUGUGAGGGUAUUUUAGGAAAAUAGCUACAUAAAUUGAUUGUUCCAACAAAGUUAACUAUUUUUUUUAAACUGUGUGAAAAAAAAAAUCAGAACUAUCAAAGUGGGACGGAGGGAGUAUUUACACAUUGGAAAAGUACACUUUUAAUCUCUCAAGGUGUUUUCACGUACACAUUUAGUCCCUUGUACUUGAAUUUUUAUUGCAUAUGGUCCUUUGCUUGGUUUUCAUCUCAAUUGGGUCCUACAUGGCUACAUGUAUGAAAUACUUUACUUGGUCCAUUAUGUUUCAACAAUUAAUUUCUUUAUACUAAUUUAGUAUAAAUUGUUAACAAUUCAAGAAAAUUAAGGGAGCCAUGAAUACGUUACGAGACAAAAACACAAAUGAUCAAAUGUGUGGAAAAUAAAACAUGAGGGGCUAAAUUAAAGUUAGUACGUACUUACGAACCCCCAAAAAAAAACAAAGAAGAAGUUCCCCAUGCUCUUAUAAUUCUUUUUUAUACCAGAAAAAAAAUAAAUAAAUAAAAUGAAAUCUUGCAUUUUUUCCCCCAUUGAUAUUUAACUAUUUGAAGCUGCCAAGAGCAAAGAGCAAACAGACUUCAUUAUUUGUUCAUGUGAUUAUUCUAUUAUUGCAAAACAUAGGACCUGAGUUUCUUGUUUUGCCUGAAUGAGAACUAUUAAAUAUAUAUAACCCAUAGGCCACAUCUAACCAUUUUUUGGCAUGACAAGUUUACUACUAGUUCAUACUUGUAAAAGACAAAAAGUCGGCAACAAUUUUCCGAGUUGGCAAGAUAUUCAUCUACUAGGGAAGUUUGGUGGGCAAAAAGGGAUUUGUCAAAAAGAAUUAGCAGCAUUUUUUUCUCAAAUUGCAUGGGACAUUCCCACACAAGGAAUCAAGAGGGGAGUUUAGAGGGGCCCUUAGUUCUGAAAAUUUUUAGUAACAUUGGCGGUAUUUGCACUCAUGGAGACCCCGCAGUUGAAUUUGUAGUUCAAGUAGAUUUUUCCAUUUGUCAAAAAUAUCUAUUUGAGUCAAAAGGUUAUGCAAAAAGUUGUGUCAACUCUUGGAAAUCUAUUCAAAGCAAAGCUUGUUUUGAAGUAAUAUAACGGGAAAGAAAGAAAAGGACGUGGAAGGAUAAAGUUUUCAUGGGAUUGGAUAGAUUUUAGAGAGGAGGGAGUAAAGGAUUGGAAAGGAAAUGUUGAAAUUUAUUCUAGUUAUUUUGGAUUAGGUUGUUUUUCUUGCAAAAGUGGAUGGCAAGGAAGGGAAAAGAGACUAUGAUAAAUGAUACAAUUUAUAAUUUCUUAAAUUAUCCUUUUUCUUUCCAUGUUUACAAUUAAUAUAACUUUUCUUUAAUACAAUCUCCACACAAUGAUAAAACUUAAAUCUAGUUUUUUCUAUUAGUAAUAUUUGGGAAUUUUGAAUAUCAAAAUUAUUGAUGAGAUAUGUUAAUAUCUAAUUUUUUUUAUUUUAGUAGUUUUUUAAUAUCUUCCUAAAAAAAAUCAAUAUACAUUAAUUCAUUCUGGCACAUUAAUAUUUCAUAUAUUUUUAUGAGAAUGACAAGAUGGAAAAAAAUUAAGAGGUUAAGUUUUUAAAUUAUAUUCACAAGUUAGAUUUUAUUAAGUUGUGCAACAAUGUAAACAAUACAUAAUCCUUUCCUUUCUUUUCUUUUUCCUCUCAAUUUCAAAUAAUAUACCUAAUGUUUCCUUUCUUGUGUUUCUAUAUGAAAUUUAAAAUAAGAUGGAUGGAAAUCGCUUUCUUGUUCUUUUCCAUCCUUUCUUUUCCAAAGUGCUUUUCUUUCUGUUCCUUUCCUUCAAACCUAAUCGGUGCCUAAGACGCAUUUUGAAAUCAAUCCUCUUUGUUUUUCACUUUUCUUUUUGGUUGGUUGUUUUCUCCCCUUUGCCUCAAUCAGUGCACUAGUAACGGUCUAUAUACUUCACCAAUAGUCAAAAACGUCUGGACCAAUGCUAUGUUUCUCCAAUAAUAUCAAUUGGCCGACCUAAGUUGGUGUAUACAUUUGUCUCCAAAGAUUACACUAAACAACUAAAAUGCUUAGUGAAAUUUAAAAACAAAUAAUCACUUAAAGAAGAUGGCCAGUGUAAUUUUUACAUCCCAAAUUUUAUUCUCACAAUAGUUUUUGAAUAGCAUGUCAUAUUUAUCCUUCUCAAGUCCAAACGUAAUUUGGAUUUGAAAAGGGUAGUUUUAUCAUUUUAACAAAAAUAUUGGGAUAUCUCCGAUCAUGACAUACGUAUGCUGUUAUUAUUGCAUCGACUGAAAACCUUACUAAUUGAUCUUUACGGUGCUUCCUGUAUCAAUUAGAUCCUUUUUUAUUCAUAAAAAAGUAGCUAGAUAUAUUAUAUAUUUCUCGAUGAAUUGGCAAUAUCAUUCACCAAAGAGGAUGCUCAUGUGACUAUUAAUGACCACAUCACAAUUGUUGUUGAAGUAACGUCACUGUUCCUUUGAUUUAUAAUUCCUUCAAUGUGCAUGCGUAUGCAAAAUUGAGAAAAAAAAAUAAACAAAUAAGGCAAGAGACAGAUAUUCAUCAAUGAAAUUGAAGAGGGAUUGCGGGCUAGAAGAGUAGUCUAUUAUUUGGACUCAUCACCAUCAUGCUACGAUUAGUCUAGUGACCACUCAACAAUCAAAAUAAUGCAACUUGAGCGAAACCGUGUCCAAAAGGCGAUUAUGAAAGGUAAUGUCAAGGCGGAAAGUAGAGUUUUUUUUUUUUUUUUUUUUCCAGAGAACGCGGUGUAAUCUAUUUCAGACCUACUCCUAUUUUACACUGCGUGGAGAGGAGGACCUAAAGAGAUCCAAAGAGAAUACGGAGGGGACUAAACCACCACCAUCCAAAUGAGUGCCUACGCACUCGCUUGCAAACUUUUCCAGAAAAGUCUUAAGUUUUUAGAAUGCAGCGAAAUUGUGGUUCUUAAACAUCUAUCUCCAAUCAAUUUCUAAGUUGAUUUCAACGGCAAUCCUUCUUAAAACUACAAAAUUUCCCCGUUUAGAUUUAAAUUCCAUUCAAACUCGAGAAUGACAAGUUUGAUAUUUUAUCCAAAAACUGCGAUAGAACUGAAAUCUGAAUUAGGUAACGCUCGUCGUCAACUAUAGUUGAUCAAUUAGCUAUUGACACGCACAUUUGGCAAAAAUUUCUUCUUUUUGAUCUAGAGACUGACAAAAUUAAACCUUCCGCUGCUAAAAAAACUUAGUUGUUUGAUUGGUUAUUCAUUGAAAACUUUACAAGAUUUCGAUUGUUGUACUUAACUUGAUUUUAGUACACGAAAGAGAAGCAGUAGCCAUUAAGGCAAGUUAGGGGGUAGGAGCUGUCUCCAUGAACAUCAAAGGAGGAGGAAUCACGAGAAUGGGGAAAAUCAUUCCACAUGGGCAUGUGACAGUUUGCUUGGGGCAUGUGAGAUUGCCUCAUAGUCAUGGGCCACAGUUGCCUGUUCAACGAUAGACUAACGACCACGUUUCCGUUUCAACACGAUGACGUAUUAUUGACCAUUGUACUAGCAAACAAAUAGCAAUGGAUUCCUCAAUAUUCAAGCAGACUUUGGGGCGUGACAAGUUGCAAUUAAUCGAAUUAUAGGGUAGAAAAAAAACAAAAGAAAAGAAAAGAACCAUGAACAAAUUCCGAGCCAUAACGGGAAAUUUGUAAAGAAAAUUUCAAUUAUUAGAUAGUUUAAUUAUGAAUUUAGAAGAUCAAUGUGAAAAGAAAACGAUCUAAACGAAGCAUUAACUAUUCCUGUAAUCGGAGAACAACUUCAUAGUAUUAAGGUUAUAAUACAGAACAAAUAAUAAAGAUAUAGAUCUUACCUGCACCAAACAACUAUUUCAAUGAAAUCACAAACAAAAAGUUCUCAUUUAAAACAAAAACUGAUUCAAACAUAAACUACAAAUGAAAAAGAAAAAUAAAAUUAGAAAUAAUCUACUGUAAGCUCCACAAAAAUCCCCACUUAACAGUUAGCUAUAUGACUAGACAAAAAAUUGGAGACGUCAAAUCUACCUCCAGUUAUUUGCAUUUGCAUGAGCAAGAAGACACUAAUAUAUCAUUGCAUCAUUUGCUAUCAUGACUAAUUAGGAAUAUAGAUUGUGCAAGAUCAAAUCCUGGCUGAUCUUCUUGUACGCAAAAAGCUCAAUUUUUCAGCAAAUACAAAAGACAUGCAAUGAUUAGCAUAAAAAUUUGAUGGCUUGAGUGGAAAAGUUUGCAACAAUUGCAUAUGGCAGUGCUUUUAAGAAAAUUUACAACAAUUAAGGUUGGAUCAAUAGUUAUGUCAACUUUUGUUAAGGAGAAAAAAAGGUCAAGUUGAUGCAAAUUCUUAUACUUGGCUUGUGCCUCAUCUUUUCAUGGAUGGACUUGACGGCUUGCAAUUUAUUCAAUUAACUUGCGUGUUGAAUAUCUAUGCAAUAAUCCCUAAAAACGAAAACGAAAACUACUAACCAAACCAAUUUAAUUUUUACAUGCAGACCUUCUAAAAAGAAGAAUCCUCCGGUCCAUAACGGCAAGUCGGUUCGUAAAUACAUUCAGCUAAAUAAUAAUUAGUAUUUGACCUGAAUAAAAACCUUAAAAGUCACAAUUUGAUGGAAGAGACGAAAUGAAGAGUAAUAGCUCGAGAACCAUAUAUAUGAGUAAAAAUGCAGGAUAUCUUGGAUAAUGAUACUCUAAUAUUUGAAUUGAUUUUUCGAACUUUUGAGUUGAAGAUGUGAGAGAGUUAAAAACAUAAUUCAAAAUUAUAUAUAGCAAUCCCAAGAAAUUUUGGCUUGAAGAUUAGAUUAGGAUUAGGAUUAAGGGAAAAAAAAUCGAAAGAAUGGAAGAGAUAAUUAUGGAAGGAUUAUCUAAAAUUUCAUCGAAAAACUAUGGGACAACAUAUGUUGUUUGGCUAUUUCACAAAAUGCGUUGCAACCACUUGCUAUAUCGUUAAGCCAUAUAGGAACGAGACAAAAUAAAGGAAUAAGAAUGAAAGUACGACUUUAUAUAUGUAUAUAUAUAUCUUUCCUGCAUUUCCAACAUGGGCCGUUCAGAAACUGUUGAGCCUCUUCCUUAUGCAUUACUACAUCAUGAGCAUUCCAUUUAUUCAAUGGCUUGUGGGUCAGCUAGAAUACGUGGGGUUGGAUCGGCCCAACCACCCAAUAGCGGUUCAACUCUUCCGCCAUGAAAGUUAAUGAGCAAUCUGCUGAUUUGUUUCCCUGGUCCCCUCCCUAGCGCCUCCCAAAAACAAUUUCCUUCAUUUUUGUGAUCCAAAGAAAUUAAAGUCACUAUUCCAAGUGCUUUUGUUUUGAUAUACCUUUGAUCCAACGUUAUUAAGGUCACUAUCCCAAUUCCCAAGUACUUUUGCAUAGGCAUGUGGAACAAGGAAGGAAAAGGCAUUUGCUAACGAAACUUCCAUGUGCAAAACUUAGGUACUUUGUUCUAUUGUGGUGUAGCAUAUUCUUAGAGCCCUUUAUUGGACUCACUACAGUCUCAAGUGACCUUUUUUCUUUGGGAUGAUGGCUAUGGGUUUGCUCCUAAGCUUUUACCAAAUAAAUUAAUACAAGUGCAUGUACAGGCAUAAUUCUAGAAUAUAAGAACAAAAACUUCAUAUAUCUCGUUAGUCAUGUUUUCUCAUAUUAAGGACCAUGGAGAGUAGUACAUCUAGUAUUUAAAUUAAGGGUGUGUUUAAUAAAACUAAAGUCUGAAAACUGAAAUCUGAAUUUAUUAAGUUAUUGAAUUCUUAAGUAUUAAAUCUAAUACUCCAUCCGUCCCGUUUUGUUAGUCUUGUUUUCCUUUUUUGUCUGUCCCAAAUUAUAAUCCACUUUCCCAUUAAGGAAUGUAGUAAUCUUUCAAAUUGUCUAAAAUACCCUUAUUAAAUAUCUUGUUAUUAAUACAUUGUUAUUAAAUACUAACCCACUACAUUGAAUACAUUGAGUUUUUCCAAUACAUAGAUAAAUGAAAAGUCUAUCUUUGUUAUUUAUUGGCACUAUUGGCGGUAAUUAAAACAAUCAGGGUGCACUAUUGGCGGUAACUGAUAUUUAUUGGCACCAUUAACUGUAACUGAUAUUAAUUGGCACUCUUCGUGAUUAGCAUAAGGGUAUUUUAGGAAAUUAUUAAUCUAAAUUUAUGUUUCCAACCAAAUUAAUUACACUUUCUUAAUCUGUGUGAAAAAAAAACCAAGACUAACAAAACGGAACGGAGGGAGUAUAUUUGAGUACAUAUCACAUUCAGUGAUAAGUGAAUAGUUUAUUACUUAAUUUUAGAAAUAAAUUUAUUUAAGAAAUUCAGCGCUAAUUAAUUAAUUCAAAUAUUUAAUUUUUUGUUAUCAAACGGUUUGAAUAUGUUAAGAUCUGAAUUUAUUAAAUUUAAGUAUCAAAUUGGGUUAUCAAAAUAAGACUCAAGAGUCUUGAAAGUUGGCGCAAUUGUUGAGGUGCGUGGAAAAUUGUUCAUCGCUUUGGUUGUUCUCUUAUUCAACGCAUCAACUUCAACAUUCUUUCCAUGAGUUGCAACUAUUUCACUAUUUCUGCUGCGAUGACGUCGAAUUCUUGUCCAUCUUUGAUGUCUUGAUGUUUCAAGUAGUUGCAAGUUGCAACGCUUAAUUAGCCCCUCGCGUUCCUAGUUUAUCAUUUUUUCGUUAUAUUUUUUUGUUUGUUGAAAAAAAAUGAAAAAAAAAAUGAAGCUCCUCGCUAUUUUUUUGAUUGUCAGAUAAUGUUUUAAUUUUCCAAAAUUGCCCUCAUUUUAAGCGUAAGAAAAAUAUUUAUAUGCAAUUUAAUUAUCCCCAUGAACUAUGACUAUAGUUGUAUUAUGUCCCCUAAGGAAUUUUACAGGCAAUUGACCCCUACUAAUUUAAUUAUAUUUAUGUUUUUGUGUUAGAAAGCAAAUUUAAUUCAAAAAAUAAAUCUUUCGACACGUAUAUAUAUUGAAGUUUGCUAUUAACUAAUCAUUAAAAAUACUAUAUAGCUUAGUAAUGACAAGUGUGAUGGGAAAAAGAAGGAGAAAACAAAAAAAAUAAGAGAGAGAGAGGAAAUAAGAGAACAAAAUUAAAAAGGUUUGUUUGGAUAGAGUAUUAUUUGGAAUAAUUACUGUAUCACUUUUUGUGAUGUGAUGUAUGUGAGAUAAAAAUGUGAUUAGAAAUAUAAAAAGAUGGAUUGGAAAAUGUGUUUAUGAUACAAGCGAAAUAUUAUUUGAGAUAAUUUCACUGUCCAAAUAAAUCCAUAAAUAUCAAUGACGAAUUCAUCCUUGAACAUGAGGUAAGAGAUACACUGAGUAAGAGAUUAAAAGAGAGAGAAUAGAAAAAAAAAAUAGAAGAAUAAAAAUAAAAAUAAGUAUAUCAAUGGUGAUUUCAUUCCUAAACAUGAGUUUGGAGGUGAAUUGAGCACAAGGAAACUGCAAUUGCGAACUAAAGACUAGUUAUGCCAUCUUUUCAUUUCAAUGUUCUUUCGGGGGUCAAAAUGCAAAAAAGAUAAAGUUAGGGGCACAGUAGUUUUAGGGCCAAAAUAAUUUAGGAGGGUCUGCUGAAAUUGACCCGAACAGAAAUAUCAAAUCCCAAGUUCCCAACAACCGCCAACCAAUUUUGUGCUCUGGGCUGUGCUCUCCACACGUUUCUCUCGCUCGCAGCUUUACUAGGCCAACCAAACCUGCUCCAACUUUCCCCGCCGAGUCAUUCACCGGAAAAUCCACCUACUCCGUCGGUAACCCAUUUGCCCUCUCUUCUCAAUUCUCUAAAGUUUACGACUUUCUCUGCUUUUUAUUCCUCUGAAAAUCUGGAUUCACAUGUUUAGUUUCUAGAAUAUUCUCAUUAAAGUUUGUAUAAGAUUUAUUUAGUUCUUGGGAAAAAUCAUGAUUAUUAGUAGCUAAUUGGGGGGUUUUUUUUUUGCUUGUUUUGGGCUUUUGGUUUUGCAUUUAAUGUUAUUUAGCCGCUGAGAGAGAAAUCUUGUUGAGGUAAACGAUGAAUUUGUGACCUAAUAAUAUGUGGUUUUGAACUGUUCGAAGUUAAGCCCAUGUUAAGGUUUCAAGCAUUUAAUUGCUGUAGACGGACUAGAAAGUUGGUUAGCAUUAUAAAUUUUUUUUUCUUGUAGUUUUUUUCCGGGGGAAAACAUAGCUGCUCGCUAAAUGGGAAAAUUAUACAAAAUACAUGGGUAGAUAUAUGGGAAAUAAUGAGGAGGCAUUUUCUUGUUACAUGUGAUCGAAGAUGUAUGCUUGGUGGUGCUUUUAAACUAUUAAAAGUUCUUUUCAUCAACCCAAGGAGUGAUAAAGCAUAUGUUCCUUUCGCUUGAUUUUAUGGUAGCGUUCCUUGAGGUGGAUUAGCCCAAUUGGGGUUUGGGGAGUGUCCCAUGGUAAACUCUCCCUACUUGUAGGUGGGAGUUUGAUUGGCUAUCCUGUCACCAAUUAAUUGCAGAGAGCAUGGAAAUGUGCUGUUCUUGACUAGAGAUCGGGCAUGAAUCCAUCUAGUUCCCUUUUCCCCAAAAUCCCAGUUGGGCUCUGCUUAGGUGUGGGUUAAUGUUGUUAGUGCUGCUAGAAAGGUUGCAGAAUACUAAAUUACACACAGGUCUUUGUAUGUAUUUUGUGGUUGUAGGGGUCUUAGUCUACUGAAUUGAGUUGAGUGCGCAUUAUGUGUCAACAUGUGUAUUAGGAUCCUUUUGGUGGUUAACUGCACAAAGAUUGCUUCAAUUGGGAAUGUUGAAGAGAAAACUGUCCCUGGUGGGGGUUGUAAAUGAGCCAAAUCAGCCCACAUACUCUAAGCUUAGCUUGUUUAUUUGCCAAGCCAAACUCAAUUAACUAAAUUUGACUGAAAGUGAACGAUAAAAAUUUUGUCCGUCGCCUUGUGAACAAAAAUAUACUGGAUAAUAAGAUGUUAGAAUCUAAAAAGUGGGAAAUAGAGUUUGAGGCAUAUUAAUAUACUCUUGAGUUUCCUGCUGUUUACCACUUUAAGUGGUUGUUGAUGGUUUUUGGGGGUCAUAAACAUUUCAAUGCUUAUAUAUUUCUUGCAACACACUUUCCAAGUUUUCUAUCUGAUCAGCUUUCUGCUGACUAGUUUCCUGCCGUUAUUAUGCUGUGACUGGUUAGUGCCCUAGCUGGUUUUGGAUUCUUAACCCUGUGCUAACCACUAAAUCUGUUCCACUAUAGCUUCACCUGAUCAGAAGAUGCAAUACAUCUUGAGUUCUAACUCAGCUUGAGUUGCCAAAUAGGUGUAUUUUUGCUUGUAAUACUAAUUAAACCUGUUUUCAAAAUCUUGGAACAAUCAAAACAAUAAAGAUCGUUGUUAUCUCAUGUUUCUCUGCAAUUAUUGCCUGCUUUGUGCCAUCAGAAGAGUAGGUUCCAGUUCAUGUUUUAUAUGCAUUUCCUUUCUUCAUUUGAUGAAUGGUACUUUCUACAGCUCUAUCUACUGUCAUCCGUUCGUGCUUGCAUGACCAUUAUACUAGACAUGAAUUACUAGAUAAUGUUUCAUUUAAAUUAUCUUGAUCUUCUCCAACUAUAUGAGUUCUGCAAAUAUGAACUGUGGUAAAUGCUGUGUUGCAGAAACCGGUUUGGAGGUAGAAAGAAUGGAAUUUUUCUUCAAGUCAUUGAAUGAGGAGUCACGUGACUGCUCCUUUGAAGAGCAGGACAUCCAGAAAUGUCCAUUCUUGAGGAACGUCAGCAAACCAACCAAUUUCUCUUUCUCUUCGCUGAACCUCUCUCUUCACGUAAGAUGUUUAUUCCUUGCUUUGAUGAUUUGAAGGCUUCCUACUAAUUUACUUGGAGAAGCUAAUUGAGGUGAAUGUCUUUUGGAGGAUUGUGAUGCUCUGGCUAUUUGCUUUGAGCUCCAUGGAUAGUAUGCUUACCAUACCUUUGCCUUUAAUUUUCAGGUAAGAGGAUCCAAAGGACCAAUAUUUGAAGAUGGCCCCAGCUUCGAGACGGCCUUUAGACUUUUCCAUGGAAAAGAUGGAAUUGUCCCACUAUCUGGGAAGCCUCAGCUGCAAUUUGAGAAAAUUGAAGCAGAGCCUGCACCUAAAUUUGACCCUUUGGCUGCCAAAGCUGCGACCAUCAGUUUGUCAUCAUUUGGACCAGGUGGUCCAUUCGGUUUUGAUUUUUUCUCAGAAAAAUGGAAAAAGCAGAAAAAGAGUUCAGGAACAUCUAAAAAGAAGAAUUCACAUCAAGUAUGUUUCUUUGAACUUUGCAAAUAUUAUUGUUUCUGAAAGGGGAUUGACAUAAUUUAGUUCCCCAUUUCCAUAUCCAUAACAUGAACUUUUAUGAAAUUGAACCCUGAGGGCUUGCACAUGAUUUGCUGUGGUUUUGUUGUGAAACUGGUCCUUUGAAUAUUUAGUAAUAUUUAAUCGUCUUCCAGGGAGAUCCUUCAAAACAUGAGGCACUGGGAAAUGAAUGGUUGGAAACAGGCAAUUGUCCAAUUGCCAAGUCAUACCGUGCUGUGAGUGGUGUCCUCCCACUUGUAGCAGCAGCUCUCCGGCCGCCACCCGGAAUCAAGCUUAAAUGUCCACCUGCAGUGGUUGCAGCGAGGGCUGCCCUUGCAAGAACUGCUCUUGUCAGGACUCUUCGGCCACAGCCACUAACUUCAAAGAUGCUCGCCAUUGGUGCUUUGGGCAUGGCAGCUAAUGUUCCGUUAGGCAUCUGGAGAGAACACACUAAGAAGUUCUCAUUAUCAUGGUUUGUUGCAGUGCAUGCUGCAGUCCCAUUUAUAGCCAUGCUCAGGAAGUCUGUUGUUAUGCCCAAGACUGCCAUGGCAUUAACCAUUGCAGCUUCUGUCUUAGGCCAGGUUAUUGGUUCAAGAGCAGAGCGCCUUCGAUUGAAAGCCAAUGCUGAGAACGUAAAGAUGACAGCACUGAUAGUUCCAGCUAGUGUUAGUACUGGUUAUAACCUACUGCAGGCUGAUGGUGUACCCUCUGCUCAUUGUGGUAAGCAAGAGUUUAUGAGAGAUCAACUCCCCGACAAGGAUAUUAGCAUAUCUUCACCAGCCAGUGUCUGUUUCUGAAGUGGCACGGCAACAAUCUAGUAUAGUUACAUAAAUAAGAAUGGAGUAUUGCAUAUGCUAAGACAAUGUACUAAGAUACAAGUAAAUUGGACUUGGAAACUAUGAUGGCAAGCGGAUAAUGUGCUAUUUAUGAGAAUAAAAUAUGUAAUUUGUAUGCCGCGUGUGAUAUGAUGUUUUUGGUUGUUAGGAUGGGAUAAACUAAGACUUGAAGGUGUGCUGCAGCCUGUCAUUGUAUUGCUUUAAAGCAAUUAGUGCUUUGCUGAUUUUAUCUUUCUCCUGUUCCUUUUCAUACUUGAAUUAUAUCAAGAAACAUAUGGUGAACUGCUAAAAAUUGCUUAGGUUGUGAUUCUGAGCACGGUAGCAAAAUGUUUUCAAAGUGCAGCUGUGCUCAAAGCUGAAAACUGGUAGACUUUUUUCUUUAAACUUAUGAAAUGAUGAUCAGGGCCCUUCCCCAACACUUAAAACCACCGCUGGUCGUUAAGUUCAUGCCUGUUAUGACUGUAACUGAUUAUUAGCUAAGGAAUUUUACCACUCUCAACUGCAAGCGUUACUGCAACAGCUGAAUUUCCGACUGUACUGAAAAGGGGUUAAACGAAAAUCUACCUUAUAUUUGGCCUAAGUUACCUUUAAACUGACUACAUGCAGAUGGCUAAAAGUGUAAAAAUCUCAAGGUUGGAACUAAUUGAUUGCGGAGACAUGGUUUGGCAAGAGAAAUGCUAUGUUAAAAAAGCAAUCACAGCUUCUGCAUUUUUAUGUUUGGAUUAUAUUUUUCUGGAUUUUUUUUUGUAGAAAAAUUACUAUAGCGAUUUGAUAUAUUUGAGGUAAAAAAUUGAUUGAAAAAUGUGUUCACGGAAAAAGUAACAAUUUUCUCCAAACAAGACCAAUCAUUGAGACUGUGACAGCCCCACCUUCCCCUAAGGCGAACCAAAGAGGUUAGUGGACUGCCUGCCCAACUCUCGCCAGGACUAACGGUGCAGUUUAGAGCGAUCUAUUGCGUUCCGGGACUUAUAAACGCGCGUAAACAAGGCAAAAGGGCAAAAUAACCCAAAAUAAAAAAAAUGAAGUUCGGAGUCAGCCAUAAAUAGUAACCGACCCGUCAAAACGCAACCAAAUAUCAAACAAACAUUCACAUCUUGAACUUUAGCAAUUACAAUCCAAAGUGACAUACAAAAGUUUUCAAAAGUUAAUAUAUACACGGUUUGCCAAAUUGAAAGUGAAAACGGCCCUAAAGAUACAUUUAGGCUUUCAUUUCAUAUACAAUACAAAAGAGUUAUACAUCUAGUUCAUUCGGCAACCAUCUAUCAAGAUUCAUUCCAAAAAGAGUCAUAUUCCUGUAAGGAAAACAAAAGGAACGGUGUGAGCUAAUUGCCCAGUGAGAUACUAUCACUUACGCACCCAAGUGCAUAUAAGUAUCAAGCUUUCAUUCAAUAUUGUAAAAUAAGCAAAGACACACGUCAAAUAUAGUGAUAAAAGGAUACAGAUGGCUCUCAAGAGCCCUUUCCUCGUUUGCAUUUCUUGAUCGGACGUCAUUGACUCUCCGUCAAUGUUCAAAAGUACCAACCGUAGACUCCACUUUACUUCCACUCCUUCCACCUAACAUACCCCUACCGGGCCCGAAAUCCAAACACUUGCACUUUGGUUUUACUCGAGUAAACCGGAAUCGAGAGUCUCGCAUACUACAAGAUUCCAUAUAACACUUCCCCAAGGCAUAUCAAUUGGCACGACCAAGCCCUCGCCGACUCGAUUCAAUCAACUACCAAUGGGGUUGAACUCAAAAAUAACAAUUGUAGUCGUUGGAUACUCGUCCAAACGACACCAAGCCAUGUAUUUUAUUUCAAGUAACACUUCGUGUAACAUUCCAAUCACAUGAUAACAAUGAUAUAAAGCACAUAGUGAGAGUGAUAAAGUACACUUUCACUUCAAGCAAUUAACAUUCAAAGCACCAAGUUUAAGUAUCAAAGCCAUAUAUUAACAUACAAGUGAGUAGUACACUCACCAAGCUCGCAAAUGUGGUUUCAUGCACUUCCGUCAAAAGAACGUUGUGCACCACGGUCACGCCCUAAAACAUGCAAACAAAUACAAUGAGACUCGAUAACGAGUCAUAAACCAAGGCCAAACAUGACCCCAAUAGGAUUCCAUAAGCAUAUACAAACAUUAAAGGAAACCAGAAAAUUCGGAAAUGCAAUUAGCUUUGGCCCUGAAAAAAACAGUUUUUGUCCUCGUUUUGCGGUAAUGAUACCAAUUUCACUACGAUUAUCGGAUGAAGGUGUACGACCCACCGAUUCGAAGCUAAAAGACAGGGCUACAACAUCACAGAAGGUCACUCAACCCAGUUUUGAGUGAAAAUAGGUCAAAAAUGCAAGAUACUACAUCAAAACCGUAAAAACAGAUUCACAGAACGCAUUCUAGCGGAAACAUCAUAACUCAGGCUCUCCAAGUCCAAAUCCAGAAAUUCCAAAACUAGAUAAAAGCUAAGAAACAGGGCUACAUUUCAUUAGAAGGCCUCAAUAACCAAUUCGGAAGCAAUUCCAGCCAAAACAACCAAUUACAGGCGCAAUUCUUACAUUCGGGUAAAACCAGAACAGCUCUAGUAAUUUCGACUUUUCUCAUUCUACACUACUCCGAUUGACCUGAAAUUUUGUAGGCACCUCUAAAAUGUCAUUCCCUACAACUUUCAUGUUUUAAGCCAAGGCCAAUUCGGCCUCUAACUAGGAGCUAAAAAUUCGGGCAGAAUGCUCCCACUAGAACCCUAAUUUUCUGAAAUUUCUUCCAAACCAGAAAUUGGUUGCAAUUAAUCACUUUUUCCACCUCCUAGUGUCAUUAUAUACCAUUUCCAAUCAUCAUAGAUAGCCACACAAUCAUGCUUAUAUUAAAACAGAAAAAUCCCCAAAAAUAAUAAAACUUCAUCACUUCAACCACAAAUCAAGAAAUAAUCCAUAAACUUGCAUCUCAUACUACCACUAAGCAUGAUUUAAGCAUCAAUUAAAGGAGGAGGGUGGUUCUUCACAACUCACCUUAGAAACAAGAGAGAGUGAGCAAUUGGUCACCUUAACUUUCCAAAUAACUUCACACAACAACUCACCACCACUUCCUUAAGUGGUUUUAUGGAGCAAAAUCAAGGUUGGAUGGUUGGUUUUGAUGAUUUGGAGCAAGCUUGAAGAGUUUUCUUCCUUGUGCUUAGAGUAAGAGAGAGAGAAAGAGAGAAAGAAAGGGCCGGCCACUUCUUGAUGAUUUUUUGGUCAUUUUUGGUUUAUUUAAGUCAAAUGGUAAGAUCAUGAAUAGUGGUCUUAAGGUAAGAAGCAAUCACAUGGUGACACUUGUCACUUUUUAUUAAAUGCCUACCUAACUUCUCUCUCUUAUACCAAUCCACUUAUCAUCUCUUAACACCCGGUAAAUUAAUUUUAGUAUCCAAAACUUAACCUAAUUGGCCGAAUUUCUCCGAACUUUUCGCACUAUUGGGUCCCACGUCCGGUAUACGCUCUUAAUUUCUCAAAACCUAUUCGAUACUAGAAAAAUCAUCUAACAAUUAUAUCUGCUCCUUAAAAUUAUCUAGAAAUUUUUCUAAGCACGAAAAUGCAGAAAACAAGCCAUAAAAAUACGAGAAACCUAGAAAAUGAAAAUUACGGGUUCUCACACUCUCUCCCCCUUAAAAGAAUUUCGCCCUCGAAAUUUCUCACCUUAACUCACGAAAAGGUUAGGGUAUUUCGUUCGCAUUUCUUCUUCCACUUCCCAGGUAGCUUCCUCUACCCCAUGGUUUCUCCACAGUAUCUUCACCAAUGGAAUCUGCUUGUUUCUUAGCUCUUUGACUUUCUGGUCAAGCACUUGGACAGGUUUCUCUUCGUAAGCAAGCGAUUCGUCUACGUCGAUCUCCUCUGGUUGUAAGACAUGGGUUGGGUCGGGAUAGUAUUUAUUUAGCAUCGAAACGUGAAAAACGUCGUGAAUUCGAGAGAGACUGGACGGCAGCUCUAAUCGAUACGCUACCGCUCCUAUUCUUUGAAGAAUCUUGUAGGGUCCAACGAACCACGGUUGGAGUUUCUUUCCUUUGCCCGCUGUGACACUCCGUAAAGGGGUGACUUUAAGAAAUACAUGGUCUCCAACCUCGAACUCCAAAUCUUUUCUUCUAUUGUCUGCGUAGCUCUUUUGUCGGCUUUGAGCUGUUUGGAGUCGUUGCCGUAUCAACUUGACCUUUUCUCGAGCUUCCUCCAUCCAAGGAAUAGUUGCUGGAUCCAGUGCCUUCCUCUCGCCAAUUUCAUCCCAAUGAAUUGGUGAUCGACAUUUUCGUCCAUAUAAUGCUUCAUAUGGAGCCAUUUGAAUCGACGAAUGGUAACUAUUGUUGUACGCAAACUCUACUAAGGUCAUGUGUUGACCCCAGUUGCCUCCAAAAUCCAGAAUGCAAGUUCGUAACAUGUCCUCGAGAGUUUGGAUUGUUCGCUCCGAUUGUCCAUCCGUCUGAGGGUGAUAGGUUGUGCUUAAGUUGAGUUUCAUCCCUAGAGUCUCCUGGAACUUUUGCCAAAAUCGAGAUACAAACCGGGGAUCUCUAUCGAAGACGAUGCUCACCGGAACACCGUGCAACUUUACAAUCUCGUCCAUGUACAGUUGAGCCAACUUAUCCAUGGAAUACUUCAUGUUCACCGAUAAGAAAUGGGCCGACUUGGUUAAUCGAUCGACGAUCACCCAAACGGCAUCGUGUCCUCGCUGCGUUCGCGGCAAACCUGAAACGAAAUCCAUGGUGAUGUUUUCCCACUUCCAUUCAGGUAUCUCAAGGGGUUGUAACAAGUCCGAUGGUUUUUUAUGCUCUGCUUUAACUUGUUGGCAAACGAGACAUUUUUGCACGUACAGAGCGAUUUCCUUCUUCAUAUUAUCCCACCAAUAAUUUCCUUUCAGGUCUUGAUACAUCUUAUUACUACCCGGAUGGAUUGUAUACUUGGAUCGAUGGACUUCCUCUAGAAUCUCCAUUUUCAAUGAUUCAUCCUUCGACACCACUAUUCGGUUUUCAGGACCAAAAUUGAAAUCAGUGGUUUCUCUUUUUUUCACUUUCUCUCCCCACUUCCGUAUCAUCUGAUCCUCCUUUUGAGCUUCUUUAAUUUUUUCCAAGAGAGUGGAAGUCACUUUAAUAUUGCCAAAAAUCACCUUAUGGCUCCCAGGGCAGGGUUUCCAUUCACACACGGAGUCUAAUAAUGCCCACUCUUUGAUCAUUAGACUCGCGACCUGAGCUUUGCGAUUUAGGGCAUCGGCCACCACGUUUGCUUUUCCCGGAUGGUAGUUGAUGGUACAGUCGUAAUCUUCUAGAAAUUCCAUCCAUCGCCGUUGCCUCAUGUUCAAUUCCUUCUGGGAGAAGAGGUACCUCAGGCUUUUGUGAUCGGAGUAAACCUCGAAGGUUACCCCAUAUAGGUAGUGUCUCCACUUUUUAAGAGCGAAAACAACUGCAGCUAGCUCCAGAUCGUGGGUUGGAUAGUUCUGCUCGUGGGGUUUUAACUUCCUCGAGGCAAAAGAGAUCACAUUUCGGUUUUGCAUUAAUACACAACCCAGGCCUUCUCGGGAUGCAUCAGUGUACACAACAUAUCCGUCCACCCCGUUUGGUAAGACUAGAACUGGAGCCAUGGUCAAUCUCUUCUUUAACUCUUGAAAACUUGUCUCACUUCGAGCAUUCCAAAUGAACCGACCAUGUUUCUUUGUCAAAUCAGUUAGAGGACCGGCUAGUUUGGAAAAGUCCUUGAUGAAACGCCGGUAAUAUCCAGCCAGUCCUAGAAAGCUGGGGACCUCUGUGGGAGUUUCUGGCCUCUUCCAAUUAGUCACAGCUUCUAUGUGAGAACCCGUAUUUUUCCCAUUUUCUAGGUUUAUUUAUUUUCCGUGGCUUAUUUUCUGCAUUUUCGUGAUUAGAAAAAUUGCUAGAUGAAUUUAAGGAGCAGAUAUAAUUUUUCGAUGAUUUUUCUAGUAUCGAAUAGGUUUUGAGAAAUUAAGAGCGUAUACUGGACGUGGGACCCACUAGUGCGAAAAGUUCGGAAAAAUUCGGCCAACUAGGUUAAGUUUUGGAUACUGGAAUUAAUUUAUCGGGUGUUAAGAGAUAAGUAGAGGUUGCAAUUUGGAUUGAUAUGAGAGAGACAAGUUAGGUAAAUAGUUAAUAAAAGGUGACAAGUGUCACCAUUGGAUUGGUCUUGAAGUAAGACCACUAUUUCUUUUCUUACCAUUGACCAAAUAAAUAAAAAACUAACCAAAAAAUUCACCAUUUUCUCUUCUUCUUGGCCGACUCCUUUCAAGCACAAAGGAAAGAAAACUCUCCACAAUUUUGGUCUCCAACCUUGCUCAAUCUCCAACUUCAACCGGUUAAAUUUGUAAUUGCUCCAUAAAACUCCUCUACUUAGUGAUUUUGAGGUGAUUGGUGAAGUUGUUUGGAAAGUUAAGGUGACCAAUAGCUCUCUCUCUCUUGUUUUAAGGGUAAGUUGUGAAGAACCACCCUCCUCCUUUAAUUGAUGCUUAAAUCAUACUUAGUGGUUGUAUGAGAUGCAAAUUUAUGGGUUAUUUCUUGAUUUAUGGUUGAAAUGAUGAAGUUUUAUUAUUUUUGGGGAUUUUUCUGUUUUAAUAUAAGCAUGAUUGUGUGGCUAUCUAUGAUGAUUGGAAAUGGUCUAUAUUGACUCUAGGAGGUGGAAAAGGUGAUUAAUUGCAACCAAUUUCUGUUUUGGAAGAAAAUUGAAAAACCUAGGGUUCUUAAGGGAGCAUUCUGUCCGAAUUUUUAGGUCCUAGAUAGAGGACGAAUUGGCCUUAGCUCAAAACAUGAAAAUUGUAGGGAAGGACAUUUUAGAGGUGCCUAAAAAAUUUCAGGUCAAUCGGAGUAGUGUAGAAUGAGAUAAGUCAAAAUUACUAUUGUUGUUCUGGUUUUACCCGAAAUUGAGAAGUGCGUCUGUAAUGGGUUGUUUUGGCUGGAAUUGCUUCCGAAUUGGUUGUUGAGGCCUUCUGAUGAAAUUUAGCCUUUUGUCUUAGCUUUCAUUUGGUUUUGGAAUUUCUGGAUUUGGACUUGGAGAGCCUGAGUUAUGAUGUUUCCUCUAGAAUGCGUUUUGGUGAAUCUAUUUUACGUUUUUGAUGUAGUAUCUUGCAUUUUUGACCUGUUUGCACUCAAAACUGGGUUGAGUGACCUUCUGUGAUGUUGUAGCCCUAUCUUUUAGCUUCGAAACAGUGGAUUUUACACCUUCAUCCGAUCAUCGUAGUGCCUUUGGCACCAUUACAGCAAAAUGAGGACACAAUCUGUUUUGUUUCAGGGCUAAAGCUAAAUCAUUUCUGGAUUUUUCUGGUUUUCUCUAUUGUUUGUGUAUGCUUAGGGAACCCUGUUUUGGUAGUAUGUAGAUCUUGGUUUUAGUUUCGAAAUAGUAUAAAGUGCGUCGAAAUCCAAGUUCUGUAGCUUCCGUUAUGACUAAAACAAGAUUGAUCGUCAGAACUGCCUUUGAUCUGGACAGUUCUGACGGGUACUUUGGCACUCAAUUUUCGUUCUGUUCUGAGUGGAUUCAGGUCUUGACCAAAACAUCAAAGUUUUAGCCUUAUGUCUCAGCUUUCUAAUGCCUUUGGAAUUUCCUGAUUUGAAUUUGUGAGCUGGGAGUUAUGGUCCAGCAAACAUACCCUGUCCGUCACUCUAAAGUGCGAAUUUAUGGAACGAUUUUCCAUACUUUCGACCUAUUUCUGUUCAGAUCCGGAUUUAGGUGUCUUCAUGAAAAUUGUAGCCCUUCCUCUUAGCUUCGUAACGGUACCUCAUGUACCUUGAUCCGACAUUCCUAGUCUAACUUUUGAUCAAAACGGUUUGAGAAGGCAGAUUUGGCCAUUUCCGUUUGCCGUUCCGCGCGGGCGCGUUUGCCCAUUUUGCCGUUUCCGCACUUGCAUGUGCCAAUUUUGCCAUUUUGCUUGUUUUAAGUAUGUUAGUAGCCGUUUGUGAUAUAUUGUGACACAAUCUUCAAUUUCAGACGUUGGUGAGUUAGGUGGAGCUGGUUGAGCCUACUAGCUACUCCUCGCGGCACGAAUUUUGUACUUUUGCUCUUUUGUUCGUUGUGUAAGUAUUCAGGCCGCUCUUAUGUGUUAGUUGCUUAUGUGUUUCGAUAUGUAUGAAAAGGGUACCUAGGCGAGGGUGUACUUUAUCGCACUCGACCUAAACCCUAAUUUGCGUACACAUUUGUACAUGACAUAUGUAUAUGAAUCAUUUUGAAACUAAACCCCUUAAGCUUGUGGCUCGGGGUGACUUUUGAAUAAAUUUUGUGAAGUUUGUGAGUUUGGGGCCCGAUCUCAUGACCUAGAUGGACUAUUCGAGCCGGUUAGGGCUUGGUUGAAGUUAGUCCAACCUGAUUUGAGGUCACCAAGUUUGUGAAUCCGGUUCACCGAUUAUGUGGACCAAGUUUGUGACCCGAGCUUGUGAACCAAGCUCAAUUUCGUUCGCUCGAGCAAGUUUGUGAGGUGCCUGGCUAGAGAGGGUGAUAAGGUGUACGGUGGGUGUACAAGUGAAGUUCUACGGACUAUUAUUUGAGGUCGACGGAGUGUCGGCAGGAGGUCACACAUGGCAAACGAUCUGGCUUUGGAGCCACAUGUAUCCUUAUUAUGUGAUGUUACUUUUCUGCUUUUGCUUUACUCUUACUAUGUAACUGUUGUUACGUGGAAUUUACGCUUUUGCCCCUGUUUACUUACUAAGCAUAUAGUUUACCGCUUUCCUUUUGUUUUCCUUAGCAGGGGCCGACGCGGGGACUUUUGAGACAUACACUAGUAUAGUUAGGUUUGAUUGUAACAGUCGGACAGUUGGGAUGUUUGUUUUGUUUUGGUGGUUUGUAUAAGAACCCUCCAUAGGGUCUACCUUCUGCUGGUUGUUAUUUUAAUGUAUUAGAGUGGUUUGACUCGAUACUUUUGAAGAUGUAAAUAGAACUCUUUUGGCGUUAGAUAUAUUGUGAAUAGUAUGCUUGUGGGUUUAUCAAAUUUUAUUGUUUUGAAAUUUUGAGUCCCGGCGAGAGUUGGGCAGGCGGCCCGCCGAACCCUCUGGUUCGCCUUAGGGGGAGGUGGGGCCGUCACAUUCUACUUUCGCCGGGUCGACUGAAAUACCCUCUUGAGAAAUUACGUGUCCCAGAAAAGUAAUUUUCUCCAGCCAAAAUUCGCACUUGCUGAACUUGGCAUACAGUUGAUGGUCUCUCAGGGUUUGCAAGACAGUCUUCAAGUGUUGCUCAUGCUCUUCACGGGUCUUGGAAUAGACCAGUAUAUCAUCGAUGAAGACCACGACAAAGCGAUCCAGGUAGGGCUUAAAAACCCUAUGUAUUAGGUCCAUAAAGGUGGCAGGAGCAUUGGUUAGUCCAAAGGGCUUCACUGCGAACUCGUAAUGCCCAUAUCUCGAGUUGAAGGCGGUCUUUGGAAUAUCCUCCUUCCUAAUUAGUAACUGGUAGUACCCUUGGCGGAGGUCCAGUUUCGAGAAAACCACCGCUCCUUGCAACUAAUCAAAUAACUCAUCGAUAUGGGGCAGUGGAUACUUAUUUUUAAUUGUAAUAUUAUUCAGGCCCCGAUAAUCAAUACACAUCCUCAAACCACCAUCUUUUUUCUUCACAAAAAGUACAGGAGCUCCCCAAGGAGACCCACUCUCUUGAAUGAAUUCCCGCUCCAGAAGGUCCUGUAAUUGCAGCUUUAGCUCCUUGAGCUCAGCAGGAGCCAUUCGGUAUGGUGUUUUUGAGAUAGGUGAGGAUCCCGGUAGCAGGUCUAUUUUGAAUUCAAUUUCUCUUUCCGGAGGUAAGGCUACUAAUUCAUCAGGAAACACGUCCGGAAAUUCCUUCACUAUGGCCACAUCCUCCACUUUCAACUUAUCUGUGGGGGUGUUAAUCAAAAAGGCCAAAAAUCCUUGCGCCUCUCGACUUAGCAAUUUCCUAGCCCGAAUGCCCGAAAUCAAAGCAGAUGAGGCUAACCGACCCCUUAUAUCCAACCUUAAGGUCGCCUCACCAGGAAUGCGGAAUUCGACCACUUUUGUUUUACAAUCCAGUUAGGCAUUGUACCUGGCUAGCCAAUCCAUACCCAAUAUCACAUCAUAGCCCUUAAUGACCAAGCUUAUCAAGUCCCCUAGCAAUUUCCUUUCUCCUACCCACACUUCACAAUUCCUAUAAACCAUACUAGUAACCAACCGUUGAUUUUCCGUAGGUGUACUAACUUCUAGGUCGUAUGGUAAACUAGCAGGUUUUAUAUCGAUGUCACACAUGAAAUCAGGGUUAACAAAGGAAUGGGUGGCACCAGGAUCAAUUAAAAUUUUGGCAAAAUGGUGAAAAAUAGGGAUCGUACCUUCUACGACCUCUGAGGAAUCUGGGACCUGUCGAGGUUCUAAGGAAUAGACUCGAGCUGGCACCUUAGGUUUCGCCUCAUUCCCCUUAUUCGGUCCCGUAUUGGUCUUUGGCAUGGUUUGAGUUCCCCUUCCGUCUUGCGUUAUGAGUGGGCAGGUAGCAAGCUGGUGGUCUGCGCUUCCGCAACGCAGACAUUUACCUCCCUUCUUCCAGCAAUUGUCUUCAGAGUGAUUUGGCUUUCCGCAGUACCCGCAAGGUCCACGAGACGCCGAACCUGAGCCCUUCUGGAAGUUUCCACCUUGGCCUCUCCCGGCUGGCCGCCCCUAGACUGAGCCCCUCUGCCGGAACCUGACUGUCGUCCACCUCCAGCUCCGCGUCCAAACUUGGAGGGAGUACCUUUGUCCCCUUGUCCGGAGCUGCUUCCAGGAAAGCCCCGCUUUUUAGCUUGGAAGUUCCGGACUUGCAAUCGAGCACUCUCUACCCUUUGAGCCUUUUCUACGACCUCGCUAAAAACAUUGAUUUGAGCCACUGUGAGGUCCUUUUGGAUUUCGACGUUCAAGCCCUGAAUGAAACGCCUAAUUUGCCGUUGCUCCGUCAUGAUCAGCUCAGGCGCAAAUUUGAACAAACGGGUGAACUGGCUCUCGUAUUCCGCAACCGAUUGAGUUCCUUGGCGGAGUCGGAUGAACUCGUCUUCCUUCAUCUCCUGAACUAGAGGAGGGAAGAAUUUCGCAUUGAAUUCCCUGAUAAAAUUCACCCAAGUCCCGGGCGUUUGUUCCCGUUCCCAUUUUUGGCGUAUGACGUUCCACCAGGAACGGGCCGCCCCUUCUAACUGGAAAACGGCAAAAGUCACCUGCCGUUCAUCGGUGUAAUGCAACGCCGCAAAAAUGUCGACCAUCUUCUCGAGCCAUCGCUCGGCAACAUCCGGAUCAGGUCCCCCAAUGAACUUGGGUGGAGCAAACUUUUGAAAGCGUUCGAGAGCUCUGUCUUCACUCUCGACAUGAUUGCCAGGGUUUCCAGGAUUAGGGUUUGGAUUCUGGCCUUGUUGCUGCACCACUUGUGCCAGCAAGUUAGUCAUUUGCUGUAUAGCGGCAGCGAUUUGCACAUUGGGGUCAGGGUUAGGUCCAGUAGAGGUUUCCCCAGUACCCCUAUCCGGUGUGGGUUGUCUAUUACCAUGCCCACGACCCCGUCCACUACGUGUUCCUUCCAUAAACUUUACUUGGUCUAGGCAAUGGUACUAAACCAAUAUAAAACAAUGCAUGUAAGUAAAACCCAAAGCUUUUCCAAACAAAGAUAUACAUUCCAAACAAGGCAAACAACACAUAUAUAUACAAUCAGUCAAGUCAAGUACAAGCAUGGACAAUCCCCAUGGGAAUGGCCUCAUCAAAAGAAAUAUACACGUAGCUAAUCUAGCCAUACAAAACGAUUAGCUAAGACCCUUCUCUCUAUCCGCCCUAUAUACAAAACCAAAACUAUCUAAAACAACUCUAGGAGUCAUAACCUAGACCGAUGACGAGCUAUGAGACCCACCCGACGGAGUGGAUCCAACCCCAGCCUCAGGACCCGCGCAUGAGUCCUCGUCACUCACGCCCUCAACCACGUCAGCGCAAAGAUUCAGGAUCGAUGCAGCUCGAACCUUCACCUUGCGAGCUCGCUUACUCUCGCGCUCUUGGACCUCCUUCAGCUGAGUGCAGAGGUCAUCAACCCUAUCCUCGGCCUCAAGUACAUCGUCCUUCAGGCCCUCAAUGCACUCGGCCUGUCUCUCAUUGGCCACCCUAAGUUGGGUCACCUCGGCCUCCAGUCGAGCAUUCUCUCCGGCCAACUCCUUACGCUCCAUGUCCACUGCAAACACGAGAGCGUUCGGAUAGGCAUACUUAUGUUUACACUCACACCGUCGGAGACGGUUAGACGGGUUCCAGCGCACGAUGGCCCCUCCUGGCCGUAUCUGGUACGGGAUCACUGGGAGCGCUACACGAGGUCGCUCGCCUGCAGGGUCACCACUCGGUCCACUAGAUCCGUCCAUCCUACACCAAAAGCAAUUAACCAUAAAUAAUCUUAAAGGCCAUAAACAAUAAACCCUCAAAUCAAGCAUUCCCAUAACACCCAGGCUAAUUCAAACCUAGGCUCUGAUACCAC